rnacentral:lncRNA from 1 species
ACCUCAAUCUCGUGUAGUGUUUAAAUAUAGCUAAAUUCAUAAGGAAUCUUCUCUAGUUUUUUGCAAAAUCUCAACACCAGUCGUUCAAGAACAUGGAAAUGAUCAUUUAAGGAAUCUCAUUGUCCAAGAUCUGACACAAUAAUUCAAGGAAUUUUAGCUUUUGGAGCUCAUUAUCCUGUGUUCCAGAUUUUCCCUCAAAGACGUCCAACUCUAAUUUCAGAAUCUUAAGUGUGGCGCCUUAAUGUUGUCCCAACAAUCAAAAUAUUAGCGUGGAGAAUGUUCUACAAUGCGCUAACCACUAAAUGCAAUAUCCGAAGGAGGAUAGCAUGCAUGCCUCAUUUCUUUGUUUGAAAGCAAGGGCAGUAUGGAAUGAGUUAGAUGGGUGGGAAACCAUCAAGGGCUGUUUGACUCCACUGACAAUGGUGAGAUGAGCUUAGACCAUAAUAUAGAUCCAAUCACUUGUCAAACUAACCAUAAUGUAGUACAAUUUGCAACCGGAUCAUUAUUUAUUUUACUUACAAUAAAGAAGUCAUAACUUCAUGCUAACUACAAAGAAAAACAACUAACAAUUGACAUGGAGCCCGAAAUUAUUUUCUAAUCAUGAGGUGUGGGAUGUAAAGGAAUCUGUAGCAAGGAAAUUUAAAAAAUUUAAAAAUCAAUAAUAAAAAUGUUUAUUUCAGGAACAAAAAAAAUGAUGGAAUGAGCUUUGACUUACACAGUGUACACCAGUAGAACGAAGUUGUCUUUACGGCCAAUCGCUAUGGAUGGUCACAUCAAACUCUGUAUUACCAUAAUCCAGUUGUUCUUGACGAAUUUCCAGAGCUGAAUUUUCAACAUUUUCACCACAAUAAGAUAACUCAAUCCUCUUUAGUGUUGAAAUGUAACUAAAUUCAAAAGGAAUCUUCUCUAGUUUUUUGCAAUAUCUCAACACCAGUCGUUCAAGUACAGGAAAAUGAUCAUUUGACGAAUCCCACUGUUCAAGUUGUACAAAAUAUAAUUGAAGGAAUUUGAGUUUCCGGAACUCUUUAUCCUUCGUAUCCCAAUUUUUGCUGAAAAGGCGUAGUCUAAUUUCAGAUUCUCGAGGUUGGGCAAUGUCCCAAUUAAUGACAUAUCUUCCCAAGACAAACCAAGGUUAAUAAGAGUAAGCUUUUUGAUAUUCAUAGGAAUUUUAAACAUCGAGUAAUCACAUCCUAACAGUGUUCCUGCAAUUGUGAGUGUUUGAAGCUGAGAAAGAAAGUUGAGAUCAGGAAAGUAAUUGUCUAUUGAUAUGUAUUUAAGCAUACGAAGAUUAGGUGAACAUUUCAAGAUUUCUUCGUCUUCCAAAUCGACAAUCUGAACGAGACCAGGGGUUUGUAGGCAAUUUAUUCGGAAGCUAUCACUGUUCUUAGUGAAUCUUGCACCACCAUAGUAGCCACCUUUAUAGUAGAUACCGACCCUUAAAUGUCUCAACUUAGGCAUAUUGAGAAGGUAUGUCGGUACUUCAUUUAUGUCAUGCAAACAAAGAUAUUCAAGGUUAUGGAGUUUGCCUAUUGAUGGCUCUAAUUUUGAAAAAUCCAAGUAUCUUAUGUCAGGCACAAAUCUGAUUCCCCGUAGAACAUUUCUAUCACUGUUUAAAUCAAAGAUCCUAUUUUUUUCCAAAUUAUAAGCAAUGGAGAAGGCCUCGAAAAUAUUCUCGGAUAUCAAGACGCGAUGAAACUGACCCAUAUACAAGUGAUGGAGACGGCAAUGGUUAGAUACCAAGAAUUGACUAGAGAUGUAGAAUGAGGAUCAUCAUCAGUUUAACCACAUCAACCAGCAUCAGCAAUAGCAGCAUCAUUGACAUAAUUACAACAAAUUAGUAAGGAUAAAUUGGAAACUAAAGUAAAACAAGAAGGAAUAAGACAGAGAGAGAGUUAACUUACUGUUGAAAUAGAAAAUUUUCAUCUUCUACAACCAUUUUGCUGCACAUAUCGAGAACUAGAUCAUGAAGAGUACAUCCUUUUACUCCAUCGUCAGAUCUUCUUUUGGACACUUGAAGUAGGCUCCUGUUAACAAGUUCCAUUAAAUACUCCUCUGCUACAUCUUCUAAGGUCUUUUGCUCCCUUUUCUCUAUGAAUCCUUCGACUAUCCAUAGUAAUAAUAGUUUCCGAACUGGAAUUUCCUCGUCUUCCUGGAAUGCACUAAGAUAAAGGAAACAUGGCUUCAAGUGAUCUGGUAAAUGGAUGUAGCUAAGUUUCAAUGUGGGAAUGUAGUCGUCAGCUUUUUGGGAAAUGUAAGAACUUAAACUUUUAGCAACUUGUUGCCAUAAGCUUUCUUUUUUCUCCAUAUUUGAAAGAAUUCCAGCUAUCAAAACUACUAAAAGUGGUAAUCCCUUACAAUUUGCUGCAAUUUGCUUUCCAAUAUCUUGCAGCUCUUGAGGACAACAUUCUUUUUUGAACACCUUCUGCUCUAAUAAUUUCCAACUUUCGUCUGGUGACAGGGGAGAAGGUUCAAUGAUAACAUGAGAAAUUUCCGAUGCCACAUUUUUCAGCCGACUGGUAAACAUUACUCUGCUUCCAUUGCUAUCAUCUGGAAAUAACCUUUUCAAAUCAUCCCAUGCUUCUUUCUCCCAUAGAUCAUCCACAACAAUGAGGUAUCUUCUACCCUUUAAACUUCUGUAAAGAAGUUCGGCCAACUCUUCUUCAUCUUUUAUUUCUGAAAUGUCGUCUCUGUUAAGAUCACUUACAGAACUCAAAAUAUCAGUCAACAGCUUUCUCUUUUUAUAAGUUUGAGAAACAACACACCAAGAAAGCUUAUAAAAAUGGUACCGAACAUGGGAAUGAUUGUAUAUUUUCUUUGCUGAGGUUGUCUUGCCAAGUCCACCCAUUCCAACGAUGGAAAUAAUCUGGCGGUAGUUUGGUCCUCCAACAAGCUUGCUCACAAUUUGUGUUGUCGUGUCCUCUAAGCCCACAACGAUCUCUUCUACCAUGGGACUGCUUUUAUCUUGGGAUGAUGAUACUUCACUUGGACUUUCUGCAACUUGUAGGCUUCCAAUUCUAACUUCACUUGACAAUUCAAUAAUGUAAUAUUUAGCCUUCACUAGCACAAUCUCAAUCCUUUCUAACAGACCAAAAAUUGCAAGAUCCAUUUUGGUGGUGGUAACAAGAUCUGUGGUGAAAAAGAAAGAACGCAAGAAAAGUCCUGCUUCAUUAAAUACAGCUUCAAUUUCUGUGAAUAUACUCUUCUUCCAUAUUUCCUCCAAGAUUGGAAUCGGAUAAAAAAGAAACGCGAGCAGAAAUUUCAACCCCUUCCGAAGAAAUUCGAGUUGAUUACUCACAAGAACGGUGGAAUCCUUAUGGCAACUAAGCAAUUCUUGAAUAGUUUCAAAAAGAAACACGACGAAGAUUUCCCAAUGUUUAUCUAACAUUAAAUAUUUUAUGAUGGGUGUUUCAAUUGUGAAAAACCUUUUAAGAUUUGGCAUGGAAGCGAGAACGAUUUCUAAAAAGUUUUUGUAAUGUUCAUUAUCGUGAUGAGAAAAGAUCUCUUCGUAUAAGAUGCAAUCGGAGGCCGAAUCAUCAAGAUGCUUCAACAGAUAAUACAGAUCGUAAAUAUAAAAUGGUCCGUAGCCGUCUAAAUGGUCGCGUUCAAAUACUCCUUUUGCAUAUUUGAAAAAAAUUAAAAAGUGUGGACCGAGCCAUUGAAAGCUAACAUUUUUUUCUCCUCCAUCAAGCCUUAAAGGUAGCAAACGAGAAAGGAGAUCUUGGCUUUUGACUAGACGAGACAGAUUUUCGUAAGAGAGAUCCUUCAUAGUCGAUUGGGACGGAAAGAAAGAAAAACACUCCAUUUUUGGUUUGGGCAAGGGCAAAAGGCUGAGCAAAGAGAGAAUAAUGAGAGUGAAUUUGUCUCAUGAACCUCGGACUUCGGUCUUGAGUUUCUUGGUUUGCUGAAAUGUAGUGCUAAAUCUUUACCGGAGGUCCAAGUUUUUGUCUAAUAUUGCUUCAAUAUCCCUCUGGAGCUUUGCCUCAAAAACUGAAAUAGCAGGAUCUUUAUAAAUGAAGACGAACUUGAUUUUUUCUUCUUCAUUUGUAAUGGGAAGAUUGGCAUCGUCAUUCAAUUCAAAAUCAUUAUGUGUACCCAAUUUUCCUUGAAGAAGGUUCAAUUUUGGCGUAAUUAUCGAAUUUUUGCAUUCCUCUUAGCAAUAGCACUCUUCAGUCCUCUCAUUCACAAUGCCGUCUCAAAUUGCCCGUCCUUGUCUUUCUUCUUGUUGUCACCAAGUUUCCGCUUCACAUCUUUGUAAUUCCUGAAAAUUGUAGUAUAUUCUAUUAGCAGAAUCUUCUCUGUCCUCUAGUCCAUUCAAGAGCAUCAACUACCAGUUUAGAUCUUCUUUCUUCUUGUUAGGAUUUAUGUUGUAUUGGCAAUUCUGUAGACAAAAUUAAGUCCAAGUUAAAUUAUGUUAGGAGUUUAUUGAGUUGUGAUUAAAGUCAAAAGAGUUGGAAUUGGUAGUCCAAAAUGUUCAAGAAGAUCACAUGUGAUAAAUGAAAAUUUAAUUAGAAGUCUAAAAAGUGUCAAAGAGUCGCAUAAAUUAUGUUCCAAAUUCUCAGUUGUAAAUUGCAACGCAUUGUUAACAAAGAAAUCAUUGGAAUUUGGACAAAGGUGUCUAGAAGAAUUGUAUCCCUUUAAGUUAGCUUUCCAAUGCAUUUUGAAUCAACUCAAUCAGAUAUCGGUAGUGAAAGUUAUGAUGAAAAUACUGCUCAAAUGUCACUGGCUUGAUGCUUGAGCGGCAGUAUUACAUGUUAACCCUAGUUCGUGUCUUUCAAAAAUUUUAUUUGGCCCAUGCUACCUAAUUACCUCAUACUAUAAAUACCCAAACCUAACAUGUUUUUUGGUGUGGUUGUUCAUUAUAUUACUUCUUCAUAAUAUCAUUCCAAAAUCCAAGAACACGUUCAAGCAUUGAGAUUAAUCAUUUAAUUCUUGAGAUCAUUCAACCACAACUUUGGGAAAACACCAAAUUUAUGUAAUCCAAAAUACCAACUUUCUAUACACAUAUAGGAAGGUACUUUUUCAAUAACUUUCAGAGGCUGCUGAAGAUUGAGAGAGGUUGGAUCAGAAGUAUAGGAAGAGUACAAGAAUGAGGCAUUUUUGGUGAUCAACAGGAGAUAGACAAUUUCAUAAGAUCGGGAACAUGUGUGAGUGAAGCAUGUUCCAGUGGGUCGUGGGGAUUGCAUGAAAUUUUCUAGACUGGAUCGUACUGUAAAUUCAUCGUUGUUUAUAGUUGAGUUUACUUAUUUGGUCCCAAAAUUUUUACCUAGUUGAGUUUUCUUCGUCAAUAAUCUUUUAUGUUAUUUACUACUUUUUGAUUAUUGUAUGAUUAACAAUCUAGAAAUAAUUAAAAAGUGAGUUGUUGCUUUUGAUUGAUAAUUUUAAUUCUGCACCUAUUCGCCCCCUCUAGGUGAUCUUAGGGUCGAACUAGUAACUUUCAAGUGGUAUCAGAUCCUAAAAUUGAUCCUUGACCAUAUAGACUUAUAUGAGUUAACAUUAUCCAUUCCUCAUUAUUUUGAUGGUAGUACUAUGCAUAUUAGAAGGUUAGAAUAAGAGCCUUCCUUUAGUCUAUGAAUGAGCGUAUUUGGUUGAUUGUAGUAAAUUGUUGGGCUGUCCCUUCUAGAACCGUUAAUGGUGUUAUCACCCUCACUCCUAUUGUUAAUUGGUCGAAAUCUAAUUUAGAUAAGUGCAAUUGGAGUGGUAAAGCCCUACAUGCGUUAUUUAUUGUAGUGUCCUUAGAAGAAUUUAGGCAUAUAUCUAUGUGUGUGGUUGCGAAAGAGGUUUGAGAUAUUUUACAGACCACACAUGAGGGAAAUCAUUGUUCAUGCAGGUAUUUCUAGUUAUUAAUUCUCAAUUAAUUAAGAUUCACAUUCAUUUAAUCAAUGUUUGUAUUUAUAUAUGCAUUUCAGUGUUUUUAUUUCUAAUUAUAAGUUAAUUAGAGUUUCACGUUCAAGAAUGAAUUUCAUUAUUAACAUCCGUGUAUGCUAAUUAGCAAAAAAUUUCACUUAAUUGAAAACUAAAUUAUAUUCAUUUAGUAUAAUUGAUUUAAAAUUCACUACUACAUAUAUAUAUUCCCGAUAUUAAUUCCAAAUUAAUUAACAUCCACAUUAAUUAAUGUAUUGUAUUUGCCAUUUAUCUUCAUUUAUGAUUUAUUUGUAAUUCUAAUAUUCACAUUCAAGUGUGCAUUUCACGAUUUACCUGCAUGUAUAAAAUCAACUAUUUAAAUUUUAUUCGCAAAUUGGUUGUCAUUUCAUAUCAGUCAUCCAAUAUUUUGUUUUUCUUUCUAACACACCAACGGACUGGUUUUAGUCAAAUUGAAGUUUGCAAUGACAAUAAAAAGGGUCCAAGGGUAGACAAUACUCAUGUCAGAGUAUAUAUUCCACAACAUGUAUUCUUGUAUGGACAGUUAUACAUUGCACUUUGACAAGUAAUUUCUAUAGCAACUACAAAGGUUUUAAUUAAGUCAAAUACUCCUAAUCGUAUAUAAAAUAUAAUGUUAUAAAAAAAAGAUUCUUAUUGAAUAAAUUGAUUUUUGUUAAAUAAUUUUCAUAUUCACACAUUUUGAAGUAUUAUUUUCAUGUCACUUACAAAGCAUUUCAAAAUAAUGUGCAAUUCACAUUAAAAAUCAUGUUAUCUUCUUUUUUCUUUUCUUUUUUCCUUGCAAGCUGGCCAAAAAACUCGGCAAAAUCGUGUUCGAUUCACCAGUUUCCGAUUGAACCUAAAUUUUAUUGGAUUAUUACCGAUUUUUUUUUAUCUCUAGUUACAAGACAAAAAGCAAAUUGAUUACCCAAAUAGUUAUGGUUUUUCAAAUUGAUCGGUCUGGUUCGCGUUUGAAAAUAUUGCUUAUAACGCUCGAAAAUUACAAUAGUAGAGAAAUACAUGAAAAGAAAAUGAAUAAAAGAAAUUUACAAGUUAACAAAUUCGAGACUGAGAUGUAGAAACAACCAUUUUUCAAAUUAUCCAUAAUAUAAUACAACUUGCUACCGAACCAUUUUUUAAUUUUGCUUGUAAUAAAAAUUCUUAACUUCACUUUCGCAAUAAAGAAAAGACUAUGAAAUAUAAAAUAAUUUAAUCAAAUAAAUUAAUAGAAAUGUUUUUGUGUCAGGCCCAAAAAAAAAAAAAAGAGAGAGAGAGAGAAAGGAGGAAAAAAAAAGGUAUGAUGAACUUUGACUUACACCACGUACACUAGUAGAACAGAGUCUCUUUACUCCCUAAAUGUAUAGUCACUUCAAACUCUUACCAUAAUUGCGUUAUUCUUUGCGAAUUUGCCACAAUAAUAUGCCUCAAUCUCGUCUAGGGUAGUGUAUAAAUAUAGCUAAAUUCAUAAGGAGUUGUCUCCAAAUUCUUGCAAGAUCUCAACACCAAUCGUUCAAGUGCAUGGAUAUGAUCAUUUGAGGAAUUUCAUUGUCCAAGAUCAUACACAAUAAAUCAAGGAAUUUGAGUUUUUGGAACUCAUUCCCUCAAAGAAGUCCAAUCUAAUUCCAGAAUCUUAAGGUUGGGCAAUGUCCUAAUUAAUGACAUAUUUUUCCAUGGUAAACUAAUUUUAAAAAGAGUGAGUUGACACGACACAUCUCAAAUCACCAUAGUGGAUCUGAAACGUGACGUGCGUCGAAAAUAGAUGUUGACUAGAUGUCAAAUCUAUCACCAAGGCUGACUAUGAGUUAUUUCAAAAAAUAUAUUAAAAUCAAAUGCUUAUGUAAAACAUAAUGCGAUGAGCCCAAAUUAUUUACUUCGUACUUCAUCAAUAUGAGUUAUAACGCUUAACAUGUCGUAUGGCUCUCAUUCUGAAAUCAUUAAAGUCUUCUAACUAAAAAAGAAUCAAUUGCUACCUGUAGGAAAAUUACGAAAAAAUAUAUGAGUUGAUUGCUCAGUGAGUGGAGAAGUUCGAAAAUAAUUAUAUUGUUUCAAUUUUACUUUUUUAUUGAAAAUCGAAUUCAUAUCAUUGAAUAAUUCACAUCAUAUAAUUAUAGUCAAAACAUGAGACAUCCACAUAACGUCAUAAUAUACAUUUCAAAUCAUGAUAUAAACAUGAGCUGAUAAUUAUACUAUAAUCUCAUCACAUCAAAUGUACUGAAAAAAUCCACAAAAAAUGUACCCUCUGACUGAAAUAUGUAAUCCUCCGCUCGAGCUAAGAACUUUCGCCACGGGCCUUUGGCCCCUUUCGUGAAUGAAAGCCGACAUCAAGACCUCUCGUAAUCAAUUCUUGAACACAGUCAAGGCCUCUCUGUGAACUAUAUGCAUAUGUUCAAGACCAAUACCAGGUCAAGAUCCCUCCGUGUAGGAUAAAACAUGGCCAAGACCCCUCUACGUACUAGAAGAAAUAUAUAACUUUUUUAGCUAAUCUCAAUAUUACAUAUCUCACAUACCAAAUAAAUCUCAAUAUCAUAUGUCUUACAUACCAAAUCACAAAUGUGUCGUAAAUAAUUUUUGAGAUAUGUAUCAUAAUAAAAGAGAUUUCCAUAAUAAUCAUAUAAUGAACACAUAAUUGCACAUACUUUAAUAAUAUACUUAAUUUAUAAGUAAUUUAAAAAUAUUUAUAUUUUUCCACUCACAGUAUGUUCGCAAAUCAACUCGGUUGGUAAGCUAUCCCGAAAUCCGUAUCGCCUCCUGAAAUAUGAUAUAAUUUUUAAAUCAACAAUUAAUUAUUUUAAAUAAUUUCAAAAAUUAAAUAGGCGAUACCCAAACUUAAUCAUUUCACGUUUAAGUUAUUUCUAAAGUCUCUUUAAUCACUAAAACUAAUUUUUCUUUCAUUUAACUCAACUUCAUAGCUUAUUAUACUUAACACUUUCAAUAAAAUUGAAUUUAAUCUAACAAUCUAAUAAUUAUAAAAUUAAACAUAACUUGAUAAUAAGUAACUUUUUAUUUACCUUUCAAAAUUGAGGAAUUCAAGUCUAAUAGUGUAGACUACUUUUUUCUAACAACUUGGCAAAAUUUUCUAAUUUUUUUCUCUCUCUCUCCUCUCUCUCUCUCUCUCUCUCUCUCUCUCUCUAUGUGUGUGAAAUGAAAUGGAGUUUUGGAUUUGGAUGACUUUAUAUAUAUAUCCACCUGCUGCCAAUUCAGUCGUCCUUUUUUUUUUUUUUUUUUUUUUUUAUUUUUCCACUCACAGUAUGUUCGCAAAUCAACUCGGUUGGUAAGCUAUCCCGAAAUCCGUAUCGCCUCCUGAAAUAUGAUAUAAUUUUUAAAUCAACAAUUAAUUAUUUUAAAUAAUUUCAAAAAUUAAAUAGGCGAUACCCAAACUUAAUCAUUUCACGUUUAAGUUAUUUCUAAAGUCUCUUUAAUCACUAAAACUAAUUUUUCUUUCAUUUAACUCAACUUCAUAGCUUAUUAUACUUAACACUUUCAAUAAAAUUGAAUUUAAUCUAACAAUCUAAUAAUUAUAAAAUUAAACAUAACUUGAUAAUAAGUAACUUUUUAUUUACCUUUCAAAAUUGAGGAAUUCAAGUCUAAUAGUGUAGACUACUUUUUUCUAACAACUUGGCAAAAUUUUCUAAUUUUUUUCUCUCUCUCUCCUCUCUCUCUCUCUCUCUCUCUCUCUCUAUGUGUGUGAAAUGAAAUGGAGUUUUGGAUUUGGAUGACUUUAUAUAUAUAUCCACCUGCUGCCAAUUCAGUCGUCCUUUUUUUUUUUUUUUUUUGACUUUUCAAUUUUUGACACUACAAUUUGAUAAAGGUAUUACAUAGUUUUCAAUAAGGAUGAAGGCACUAGUGGGGUGUUCAGGGAAGAUUGGUGGCAGGCUGGUUGGCGCCUUAACGUGGUUCCAAUAAUCAAAAUAUUUGCAUGGAGAUUUUUCUACAGUGAUCCACUAAGAGCCCAUUUGGCAUAGUUUUUGAAAAGCCAAAAGGAACUUUCGAGGUUCAAAAGUUACUGUUUGACCCGUUUCGCUAAUUUUGUUAAAGUGCUUUUAUUGGUUAGAAGAACUUUUUGAGGAAGUUGGUUUAAUGUGGUUUCCUCUAAAAGCACUUCCGGACUAAAAAAUGCUUUUAAAUAUUAGUUUUCAAACAAAAAAUAAAAUAUCUUCCUCCAAAAGUAUUUCUACAAGAAGCAAAAGUAAAAACAAAAGUUAUGCCAAACGGACUCUAAAUGCAAUCUCCGAAGAAGGGGUGUAAGUCAUGUCAGGUGUUCCCGUUGUGGACUACAAGAGGAUAGCAAGCAUACCCUAUUUAUUUGUUUGAAAUCAAAGGUGAUUUGGAAUGAUUUAGAUGCAGGGGCGGAUUUAAUGGGCGAUCGUCCUAAUUGGAUUCGUCGGGAAGAAUUAUUAUUAUUAUUAUUAUUAUUAUUAUUAUUAUUGCUGAUAAUAGAUAGAAAUUUUAGAUUAUAUAUUUGAUAAUUUAAAUUAAUAACAAAUAUCUCUAGUAGAUCAGCUGGUUAGUCCUAUUACUAUUGAAUUAGAGGUCUUGUGUUUGUAACUCUUUAAGAGCAAUAUUUUUUAUAAUUUUUGUAUUUCAACAAUUUUUACUAAAACAAAUACAAGAAAGGUGAUUCAAACUUACUAUAUUUCUUAAAUAUAUUGACCACUUUACCAUUAUGACACUUAUUGAUUUUUAGCAUAUAAUGUAACAAAAUAAUAUAUGUUCAAUUGUACUGGUUUAAUGCAAGUAGAAAAUUUUUAACCGAUGCUUUGUCCCUCUUCUUGAUUUUCUUUUUCUUUUUCUUUUUUUCCUCUAAUCAAUUGAUUUGAAAGUUUGGUCAAAUUUGUAGGAAAAUUGGCUUUAGUAUCAUAAGAAAUAUUUCAACAAAACUUAUUUAAUUAAUACAAGGUUCUACUUUUCGUACACAAAAAACCAAUUACGAAAAAGUUGAAUCAUACAAGCACAUAAAAUUGAUAUAAGUACAUAAUGUUAAUAAAAUAAAGUUUGUUUAAUUAACUUUAAUUGCAAAUUGAAUAUUAGCAUUUUGUUAAUAUAUAUUGCCUAUUUAAUUGAAAAAUAAAUUAGGGUAUUUUGAAGAUUAUGGAACAAUUUUUUCAUCCAAAAUGAAAGUUUGUACCUAAUUUUAGUUCUAGUGGAGUAUCUAGUUCUUUUACCUCUAAUCCGUACGAUUUUUUGAAUAUUAUUUAAUUAAAUAUUAAAAAAUCCCGCUAUCAUGGACGUUGACCACAAUAGUAAGCUUUCAAUGCUCGCGGUCCGCCCUAGCUGAACUCAACUCCUGGAUUCGCCCCUGAUGGUCGGUGCAAAUAGCAUUUUAAAGGAUACAGGUAAUGAAUAGAAUAGAAAUUGAUAUUGGAGGAGAAAGUUUAUUCCAGCAACGUACUCAAGUUAUAAUAAUAAUAAUAAAACAUAGGUCAGUGUGUACAGUCAAGAAAACAAUUGGAUAUAUAUAUAUAUAAUUAUGUAACUUGAUUAUUACUAUUGUUGAUGAAAUAAAUUGUCCAAGUGUUUUGAGUCGAUGUCGAGUAAGAUGGAUGUGUUUUGCUCAAUAGAUAGUAUCUUCGCCUUUUUUUCAUUAAUCUUCUCUAGAGAUAUACAAAACAAAUGUUUUUUUUCUUUUGAUAUAAUGACAAUAAAUAAAUUAAAUUAAAAUAAAAAGAGAGAGAGAGAGAGAGAGAGAGAUGAUCGAUUCAGCUCUGACUUUCCAAAUCAAAUAUUUGUUUUGUAAAUAAUUUUUCUUGUACGUUUUUAUUUACCUUUUCAAUGACUUGCAUUUGGGGAUUGAAUUACAUUUUUUGAAUGAAUGGAUUUCAUCAAAAUGGGAAGCCUCCAUGUUUAUUCUUCCUUCGACAAUCAUAGCUAGUUGUCUUUAGAAUUUAAAAUGGUAUUAGAGAAUAAAAAGAACGAGCAAUUGGACAAGAAAGAUGGUUCCAGUGAGGUAUCAGUUGGUGAGUUGAUUUAUACUAAACUUCAAUUUAAUUUCUAAUUUCGCCAUUGUUUUACAUUAGUCACAUAUUGUUCCCCAAACAAAUAGAAAUUACUUAGCUUACUUCAUAACUCAUUCAGUGUAUUAACGCUCUCUUGACAUGCCCUAGUGGUUAGUUGGCAAGUCAUAUAGUGAUUACGUGAAAGAUUUAUUGUGCUAUACCUUUUGAUUAAAAAAAUUUAUCAAUUCGAGAAACAACAAGCGAUCAAAUUGUGAAAUUUGUAAAACAAAUUAAAAUGUAACCACUGCAAUUGAAACUUACUGGAAAAAUUAAUAAUCAUGAUCACAUGUAGGUUUUCUUUUGCUUUCUUUUUUAUUAAUCGGAAAUUAUAUAUAUAUAUAUAUAUAUAUUACUUUAAACUGGCUUAAAGAAAGUCUUGUGAAAAAUCACUGCAUUUUCACCUUCGAGUGAGCGGGAGGCGUCUUUUGAUUCAAAUAUCUCGAUAACUUCGGGAAAGUGCACAUGCACAUUUGUCUAUUCUAAUAUACAACAUAGAAAAAACAUUUAAAAAUUAACAUUGUACUAGUAAAUUGUCAGAGCAUUUACAAUUCAAAGAAGACGUUGAAAGAUUGAAGUUUUGAAAUACCCCCAUUCUUCUAAUUUAAUUUACAAAACGACCUCCCAACUAUAGUAAAAUAAAGAAAAACUGGGGCAAAUUCAAUCAGGGUCACUAAACUUUCAGUAAAAUCUCAAUAGAGAUGCUAAAUUUUAUUUUGACUCAAUUAGGAUCACUAAAUCUCAAUUUAAUUUCUAAUUUCAUCGCUAUGUUACAUUAUGUAUUAUAUUGUCCGAAAUUGCUUGGUUUACAUCAUAACUCAUUUAGUGUAUUUAUUAAUUUCAACACUUGAUGUGAUUUAGUGGUUAGUAGGCAAGUGAUGCAGUGAUUACAUGAAAGAUUCGUUCCAUUAUGUUUCUUGAUAAAAUUUAUCAAUUUAAAAAAUGACAUAACUUUAAUAAUAUGAACACAUAUGAUAUGGAAUUGAUGAUCAAAAGGGAUCCUCCUACAUUAUUGUUAGUUGGAGAGGCACAAUCAAACUUUGUACAAAUCAAAUUCUUUGUUCUCGAUUUUUUAAUGAUUUAUAUUUGACCUGAGAAAAUGUAGAUUUAUAUUUAAAAAAAUUUCUUCAUUAAUAUUUUGAUCGCCAUUUUCAUCAUUUUGAUUUAUAACAGUCAUUUUAUUAAUAUUUUGUUCAUCACAAGAAAAUGCAAACUUAUAUCUAAAAAAUCUAUCGAAUUUAAUACAAUCAAUCAAUUCAAGUGAUCGAAAGGGAAAACAUAUAACAAAUAUUCAAUCAAAUAAAUACAAUUCAUUAAAUACAAGUUAAAUUGAAUAUAAUUAGUUCUAACAUAUUCAAUAUACACAAACAUGAUAGGAGAAAAUGCAAAUUUAGGAUCUAAUUAAUUAAAAAUUUGAUCAGAACGUGAAAAUUUGUAGUAGAUGUGAUAAUUUGUUGAAAAAUUAUAGACAAAUUUUAAAAAAAUUAGAAGGGUUAAGGUUUUGAUAAAAGAUGUGAGGGAGAGAGUAAGAUAAAGUAAAAUAAAAUAAAAUUAAAAAAUUCAAAUUUAUUGUGAUCUUACCCUUGUUUGGUGGGGUUAAAAUCAGAUUUUUAAUAUAUUUUGAUAAAAUUUAAAAAUUUAAGGUUUUCAUGAAAUAUAUUAUUAAAAUUAACUGCUAACUUUGAUUUAAAUUAAAAUUUAGAUUUCAAUCGAUACCAAACAGGACUUAUCCUCCAAAACAAAAAAAAAAAAAAAAAAAAAAAAAAAAAAACUCGAAAGUUAUGGACCCCCUGGGACUCCUCUUAGAUCCGCCAGUGCCCCGAGAUAAUUUGAGAACCCUUAGUAUCAAAAGCCCGACAUAUACACAUAAUUAUGUGUCGCUCAAGCCCCCAGGGCAUAUCUCCCAGUGGCAAAGGGGAGGGCGGAUAGGGCUCAGCGCGGCAGUGUGCAGAGUUCGAUUCCCCGCAAGGUGGAAUUGACUUUGUUGCAAGCGGGAGUUACCAUAUGGGUUAACAGCCUUGGCCUAUCCAUAUGCUCUCCACCCUGGCUCCUAGGAGGCACAUCCUGCGAUUUACCUCCUCCACGAUGGCCCAGGGCAGGGUCGGUGGAGGCCCUUAAGGUUGGGGUUCAACCUUUUUUUUUUUUUAUGUGUCGCUCAAUUAUGCACAAUUUAUUAAUAUUAAAAGAGCAUGAAUAAUCAUGUCAAAUACAUUUAUCAAUAGUUUUCUCUGGGGGCGUGGGAAAUGGGUUAUGGGUCAUUGGACCGCGGACCGACAAAUCAAUUUAUAAUUUAUAUUUUUCUUUAUUAUUUUAAAAUUUGCAUGAAACAAACAAAUAUGACCUAUAAUAAUAGUAAAUUCACGAACUUUCAUAUAAAAAGAAGUCAAAUAAUAUCAAGUCCGAAUGAAGCACUUUUUAGUUUAUAAAAAUGUAAACUUGUAAUGAAAAUGGAUAGGAGAAAGCUAAGAAAAAAGAGGUGGAGAUCACAAUAAAAUUUUUGAAAUAACGGAGAAGAUGGUUAGAAAUGAUACCAGUGGUUGUUUGGUAAAAACAUGUUUCUAAACUUGUCGCAAUAGAGAUGCACAAUUAAUAUAUAAAAUUAUUGCAGUUCAACUGUUAACCUCAUGUCACCGGUCGACCUUUUUUACCCAGUUAUUGUGGUUGUUCGUAAUGUCUUAUUCAAUUAUGAUAGAGAACCGAGUAGAUUAAUCGAUCAAUUAAUCAGCCAAGUCAAAUCAAGUUUAACAAUAAUGAAUGAGAGGUGUAUGUUUUCUAUAAUGAAAAUAAUUUAUUAUAUUAAUUCCAGAGUUCAAUAUUAUUAAGAGUUGUAAUUAGAGGGCAAGUAUUAUUAAAGGGUAAAAUGUUAUUAUAAUGUUGCAUAUAAACCAAUACAUUUUGAUUUUUUAUAUCAUUUAGUUAUGUCUCCACAAGUGUGCGAGUAUAUCGAGUUGAUCACAGCACUAAAAACUUCCAAGUAAAGACACUAGUACAUUUGGAUUUCGUUGGAUAAGAAAAUGUUACCUAAUGUUAAAGAUGCGAGUGGAGGGUUAAAAUGUGUUAGGCCACAGUAGUGGACUAAUAUAAAAAUAAACCAAAUGGAAAUUUUAGUAAUUUUGUAAGACUUGAAGGCUACCAUUGCAAAUUAUGACUAAAUGAACCAACCUUUUUUCUUUAUCAUAUUCGUUUUAGUAGAUUCAAUCUCAAGCUCUAAGCCAAGCUAAUCAGUUAGCUAGAUGGAGUAGUAGAGAAUAGAAAAUAGAGAAGUCAUCAAACCUUAAUAUUUCAAUUGUCCAUGAUCCAAUUGACUUGAUAUCGAACAAAAGAUUCAGAACCAUUGACUUUCAAAUCCACAAGUUUAAAUCAAGAUGCCUUUGUGUAGUUGAGAGAUAUAACCUUCUAAACAUUGACAAAAUUUGGUGGACUAAUUCUUUGUUGAAUUUAAUUUGGUAUCUCCAUGAAUUCAUCAUUGAAAUUUUUGUAACUGUUGGAUGCCUCUAUUUAAUGCUUGGGCAAAAUCUCUUGUUAUUCUGUUAGAGAGAUUCGAUCUUCGAUAGAUUAUUUAUUGUUGGUGUGCCAAGAUUUUAUGUUCUUGGUAGUAUUGAUUAAAGAGAACAUUGUAUUCCCAUCGUUGAUUUUUCCCCUUUGGUUGACAAAUGUUUUUCCACGUAAAAUAAAUCUAGUGUUGAUUGCAUUUAUUAUCACUAUGCAAUAAUAUGUUUAGAUAGAGUUUAGUAGGUGCUUUAAACAACAAUAGAGACAAAUUAUCACUCUUAUAAGUAUCAAAUAAGAAACUUGAGUAGCCUCAUUCACUUAUGAACCGAGAUCGACUUGGAAUUUUUAUUCCUACUUUCCAAACCGAUACAAUUAAUACUAUUAUGCUCAAACAACAUCAUAUCCCGACACACUAACGUCUCAUUAUGUAACUAGGAUGGAAUUUUCAAAUAAAACAAGACCUUUUCCAAGCACAAAAUUAGAAACAUACAACUAUGACUACCUCAAGAUUUUCACUCUUGAAAAUACAUCUCAAGUCCAACAACGAAGAGGAUAAUUUUCACUAAAUUACGUCUAUUUAGAUGGUAAUAUCACAUGAACGAACGAUUGUAACCAUACAAAAUUGAAGACUAAUUUGUUGUGCAAAUGUAUCCAAAUUUCAAGUAGAUUGGACCACGAUUCACUGAGUGCCGAGGUUCGAUCAAACCUUGCCAACUGUGAUUUUGGUUCUCUAGUUUUGCUAGAUGUGUUUAAUUUAUGGCUGAUUUUGAACUCCAAAUCAUCCUUACCAAAUGAAAGACAAAUAAAAGUUAUGGUUCUUUAAUCAUGUUACCUAUAUUACCAAAGUAACCCUUCACGUCUUGCAAAAUAUCAAAAGUAUCAUUCAUUAUAAAUUAUUAUUUCCCACUAAUACUUUGUAUCCCAACAAAUAAACAAUUAACAAUUUUCAUCAAACUCCAUUGCCAACCAAACAAAAGUUGAAUUGAAUGCAGAUAAUAAACUAAUCUGUCCCUCCCUGCUAUGACUCAGCAUUUCAACUUAUGCCAAUCUCCCUGCCAACUUAUCUAGCUGCAUAAAAGAAAAAGGAAGUCACAAGUAUCAAUUUCUCCAGUUUUCCAAGAAGAUGAGUAAAAAUAAGGGGCAUAUCGAAACUGAGGAAGUCAAAGAAGACGAGUAGAAGCGAGCCAGGUGAUCUAGCUGUUCUGUUUAUCGGCUUCUCUUGCCCUGGCUUGUUCAACCCGCACCUCUGUCUCGAAUAGCCUAUCCCCCAUAUUCUCAUUUGUCACAGCAUUCUCAUUGUCGACGGGUUGGGUCCAAGCUUGGAUUUUAGAUGUUUCAUUUCUCAAGGGCAGUCGAUUGCGGCCGUAGCUCAUGGUUUUCGAGCAUUUUAGUAGGCAACUGGUUGGCCAAAAAAGCCUAUAACCUCCUGCAUCUUCAUAGAAAAUGAUAUGAGCAUGUGUUGAGCAUCUUUAAGAGGCUCUCUAUUUUUAAAGAGUAUUACAUAAUUUAUAAAGCAUCUAUAAAUUUAAAGAAUAACAAUUUAUAGCUAAAUUCAUAAGGAAUCUUCUCUAGUUUUUUGCAAAAUCUCAACACCAGUCGUUCGAGUACAUGGUAAUGAUCAUUUAAGGAAUCUCAUUGUCCAAGAUCUGACACAAUAAUUUAAGGAAUUUGAGCUUUUGGAGCUCAUUAUCCUCUGUGUUCCAGAUUUUCCCUCAAAGACAUCCAACUCUAAUUUCAGAAUCUCAAGUUUGGCGCCUUAAUGUUGUCCCAAUAAUCAAAAUAUUUGCAUGGAGAAUGUUCUACAAUGCACAAACCACUAAAUGCAAUCUCCGAAGGAGGAUAGCAUGCAUGCCUUAUUUCUUUGUUUGGAAUCAAAGGCAGCAUGGAAUGAGUUUGAUGGGUGGGAAACCAUCAAGGCCUGAUUGACUCCAGUGAAAAUGGUGCAGCAGGGAAAGUGAGAUGAGCUUAGACCAUAACAUAGAUCCAACCACUUGUCAAAUUAACCAUAAUGUAGUACAAUUUGCAACCAGGUCAUUAUUUAAUUUACUUACAAUAAAGAAGUCGUAACUUCAUGUUAACUACAAAGAAAAGAUUGCAAACAAGAAAAACGACUAACAAUUGACAUGGAGCCCGAAAUUAUCUUCUAAUCAUGAGGUGUAGGAUGUUAAGAAAUUUCUUGCAAGGAAAUUUAAAAAAUUUAAGAAUGAAUCAUAAAAAUAUUUAUUUCAGGAACGAAAAAAUGAUGGGAUGAGCUUUGACUUACACGGUGUACACCAGUAGAACGAAGUUGUCUUCACGACCAGUUGCUAAAGAUGGUCACAUCAAACUCUGUAUCACCAUAAUCCAGUUGUUCUUGACGAAUUUCCAAAGCUGAAGUUUCAACAUUUUUACCACAAUAAAGUACCUCAAUCUUCUGUAGAGUUGAAAUGUCACUAAAUUCAGAAGGAAUCUUCUCCAAAACUUCGCAUUCUAGCAACACCAAUUGUUCAAGUACAGGAAAAUGAUUGUGUGACGAAUUCCAAUGUUCAAGUUCUAGAGCCUCUAAUUUAAGGAAUUUGAGUUUUUGGAACUCAUCAUCCUUGGUGUCCCAAAUUUUUCCUGAAAAGUGGCUGCCAUAUAAUUUUAGAAUCUCGAGGUUGGGCAAUGUCCCAAAUAAUGACAUCUUUUCCCAAGGCAAACAAAUUCCAUGAAAACUAAGCCUUUUGAUAUUCAUAGGAAAUUUAACCACCGAGUAAUCGCCUUCGAACCAAUGUCCUAAAAUUGUGAGUGAUUGAAGCUGAGAAAGGAAGUUGAGAUCAGGAAAGUGAUUGCCUGAGGAUUGGCAUUUAAGCGUAAGAAGAUUAGGUGAAUAUCUCAAGAUUUCUUCGUCUUCCGAAUCGACAAUCAUAACGUGACCAAGGGUUUGUAGGCAAUUUAUUCGCAAGCUAUCACUAUUCUUAGUGAAUCUUACACCAUCAUACUUGCCAUUGAUACCUAAAUGUCUCAACUUAGGCAUAUUGAGAAGGUAUGUUGGUACUUCUUUUAUGAGAUCCAAACAAAGAUAUUCAAGGUUAUGGAGUUUGCCUAUUGAUGGCUCUAAUUUUGAAAGAUCCAAGUACCUCAAGUCAGGCAUAAAUUUGAUUCCCAGUUGAACAUUUUCAUUAUUCCCUGAAUCCAAGAUCCUAAUUUUUUCCAAAUUAUAAGCAAUGGAAAAGGCCUCGAAAAUAUUCUCAGAUAUGAAGACUUGAUGAAACCGAUCCAUAUACAAGCGAUGGAGAUGGCGAUUCUUAGAUAGCACGAAUUGACUAGAGAUGUAGAAUAAUAAGAACAUGGAGGAUCAUCAGUUUAACCACAUCAACCAGCAUCAGCAAUAGCAGCAUCAUUGACAUAAUUAUGACAAAUUAGUAGGAUAAAUUGGAAAAGUGAAGUAAAACAAGAAGGAAUUAGAAAGAGAGAGUUAACUUACUGUUGAAAUAGAAAAAUUUCAUCUUCUACAGCCAUUUUGCUGCACAUAUCGAGUACUAGAUCGUGCAGAGUACAUAUUUUUACUCUAUUGUCAGGUCUUCUUUUGGACACUUGAAGUAGGCUCCUGUCAACAAGUUCAAUUAGAUACUCCUCUGCUACAUCUUCUAAGGUCCUUUGCUCCCUUUUCUCUAUGAAUCCUUCGACUAUCCAUAGUGAUAAUAGCUUCCGAACUGGAAUUUCCUUGUCUUCCUGGAAUGCACUAAGAUAGAGGAAACAUGGCUUCAAGUAAUUUGGUAAAUGGAUGUAGCUGAGUUUCAAUGUGGGAAUGUAGUCGUCUGCUUUUUGGAAAAUGUAAUAACUUAAACUUUUUGCAACUUGUUGCCAUAAGCUUUCUUUUUUCUCCAUAUUUGAAAGAAUUCCAGCUAUCAAAACUACUACAAGUGGUAAUCCCUUACAAUUUGCUGCAAUUUGCUUUCCAAUAUGUUGCAGCUCUUGAGGACAACAUUCUUUUUUGAACACCUUCUGCUCUAAUAAAUUCCAACGUUCGUCUGGUGAGAGGGGAGGAGGUACAAUGAUAAAAUGAGAAAUUUCCGAUGCCACAUUUUUCAGCCUACUGGUGAACAAUACUCUGCUUCUGUUUUUGUCAUCUGGAAAUAACCUUUUCAAAUCUUCCCAUGCUUCUUUAUCCCAUAGAUCGUCCAUAACAAUGAGGUAUCUUCUACCCUUUAAAUUUUUGUAAAGUUGUUCGGCCAACUUUUCAUCUUCCAUUUUUGAAAUAUCGUCUUUUUUAAGGUUACUUAAGGAGCUCAAAAUAUCUUUCAACAGCUUUCUCUUAUUAUAAGUUUGAGAAACAGCACACCAAGAAAGCUUAUCAAAAUAGUACCGAACAUUGGAAUGAUUGUAUAUUUUCUUUGCUAAGGUGGUCUUGCCAAGUCCACCCAUUCCAACGAUGGAAAUAAUCCGGCGGUAGUUUGGUCCUCCAACAAGCUCGCUCAGAAUUUUUGUUGUCGUUUUCUCUAAGCCCACAACGAUCUCUUCUACCAUGGGACUGCUUUUAUCUUGGGAUGAUGAUACUUCACUUGGACUUUCUGCAACUUGUAGGCUUCCAAUUCCAACUUCACUUGACACUGCAAUGCUGUAAUAUUUAAUCUUCACUAGCACAAUCUCAAUCCUUUCUAACAGACCAAAAAUUGCAAGAUCCAUUUUGGUGGUGGUAACAAGAUCUGUGGUGAAAAAGAAAGAAUGCAAGAAAAGUCCUGCUUCAUUAAAUACAGCUUCAAUUUCUGUGAAUAUACUCUCCUUCAGUUUUUCCUCAUAGCUUGGAAUUGGAUAAAAAAGAAAGGUAAGCAGAAAUUUCAACCCCUUAGGAAGACAUUCGAGUCGAUUACUCACAAGAACAGUGGAAUCCUUUUGGCAUUUAAGCAAUUCUCGAAUUGUUUCAAAAAGAAAGUCGAUGAAGAUUUUCAGUUCAGUGGGAUGACACUGUGUUUCAAUUGUGAAAAAUUUGUUAAGCUUUGGCAUGGAAGCGAGAAUGAUUUCUAAAAAGUUUUUGUAAUGUUCAUUAUCGUGAUGAGAAACGAUCUCUUCGUAUAAGAUGCAAUCGAAGGCUGAAUCAUCGAGAUACUUCAAUAGACAAUAAGGACUGUGCAUAGUAAAUGGUAUGCGGCAGUCUGGAGAGAAGCAUCGCAAUAAUUCUUUUACAUAUUUGAGAAAAGUUAGAAAGUGUGGGCCGAGCCAUUGAAAGCUAACAUUUUUUUCUCCCCCAUCAAGCCUUAAAGGUAGCAAACGAGAAAGGAGAUCUGGGCUUUUGACUAGACGAGACAGAUUUUCGUAAGAGAGAUCCUCCAUAUUUGAUUCGGACGGAAACAAAGUGAGAGCCUCCAUGGACAAAGAGAGAGCCUCCAUAUUUGGUUUGGGCGAAAGGCUGAGCAAAGAGAGAUCCUCCAUAUUUGAUUCGGACGGAAACAAAGUGAGAUCCUCCAUUUUUGGUUUGGGAAAAAGGUCGAGCAAAGAGAGAGCCUCCAUAUUUGGUUUGGGCAAAAGGCUGAGCAAAGAGAGAAUAAUGAGAGUGAAUUUGUUUCAAGUUUUUCAAAAAAUAAACCCAAAGCAAAGGUUGAACAUAUCAGCAAAAACAAACGAAGAAAAAGCUCCGUUCUCUGGCUCUCUCUCUCUCAUAAUUUCAUAUGCCUUCACAUAAACAAAGCAAAAGUUAAAAAAAGUCGUUGCUUUUUUCGAGAAAAAAUGUGUGGAAAGGAAAAAAUGAUUUGUCACCAUCAGUCCUUGCUUUAAUAAUGGCUUUAAGAUAAUGCACAAGAGAUCAGUAUAAAAUCCUAAGCGAGAUGUUUGUCAAAUUUUACUUUAUAAGGUCCCAUUUGUUUUUUAUUCUUUGGUUCGAAAAGUAAAAAAUAUGAUCGUUAUUCAUCACAUCACUCCACAAUAUUUGACUUUUCUUUCUUUUGUGUGAAUUUUGUAACAACUAUAUUAUUCAUUAUCAUUCUUAUAAAAAUGAGAAUCAAACGAGGACUAUAAUUUAAAUUAAUGAAACACACUUUUUUUCCACACAUAUUCUAUAAACCAUGAAAACUGGCAUUUUCAUUUGGAAUUCGAAUCAUACACAACUAACAAUUAUCCCCCUCAACAAUGCAUCUGUCCUUGCUUUAAUAAUGGCUUUAAGAUAAUGCAUAAGAGAUAAGUAUAAAAUCCUACGCAAGAUGUUUGCCAAAUUUUACUUUGCAAUUUAAAUUAAUGAAACACAUUUUUUUCACACACAUAUUCUAUAAAGUAUAAACCACGAAUUCAAAUGGGCAUUUUCUUUUGGAAUUCGAAUCAUACACAACUAAUAACUAUCUAAUUACAUUCGUAUAUUUCAACAUAAAUUUGCAUAUCAAAUGUUUGGAUAUUCAGACUUCCAAUAAUUUACUGAGUGACCAUAAACUUAAAUUUGAACACUUUAGUGCUACAUAUACUACAUUUGAUUAUACAAAUAUUAUAUUUGAAGCAUAUUUAUAUUUUAUUUUGAAAAAGACUUUGUUCCACCAAUAUCAGCUUCCAAAAUUUACAUUUUUUAAUAAGUCAUCUUUAUUUAGACCAAUUGGCCGUGUACGCAAUUAGAUAUAUAUAAUGUACGUUAAUAGAGGGGUGGAGGUGCCACCACACUAAUUUUGAAAAUUCAAUACUUCGUUCGAUUUUUUUUUUCAAAAUUUUCAAAGAAGUCCUUGUAGUUUUCAAUUUUUGCCCCCCACAACUAAUUUUUUUUAUUUUGUCAUUUGCCCCACAAAUCUUAUCUUCUAGCUCCACCCAUGCUAACUGCAAAAUAAAUUUGCCCCACAAAUCUUAUCUUCUUGCUUUAAUAAUGGCUUUAAGAUAAUGCACAAGAGUCAAGAGAUAAGUAUAAAAUCCUAAGCAAGAUGUUUGCCAAAUUUUACAUUACAAUUUAAAUUAAUGAAACACACUUUUUUUCCACACAUAUUCUAUAAAGUAUAAACCAAUUCAAAUGGGCAUUUUCAUUUGGAAUUCGAAUCAUACACAACUAAUAACUAUCUAAUUACAUUUGUAUAUAGUCAACAUAAAUUAGUCAACAUAAAUUUGCAUAUCAAAUGUUUGGAUAUUCAGACUUCCUAUAAUUUAUUGAGUGACCAUAAACUUAAAUUUGAACAUCUUAAUGCUACAUAUACUACAUUCGAUUAUAAAAACAUUUAUUUGAAAUUGUUUCGCUCGGGUAGUCGCUAACAAUUAAAAAGGGAUCAGACAAUCGUGUAAGGAACAAACCUCUUGAGACAAAAUUCCAAAAGGGGUGUUUUAUUGGCGAUGAAUUUACAAUUGAAACUAAACAGAAUGCCUCCAAGGGACGCAAGCACACGAAUACUGAAAAGAAAUGUUUAAGUCUAAACUAAGAAAUUGAAAUUACAUAUUCUCUAUUUGAGAGUGUUUGAUUCGAGUUCCUUUGCUCUAUGUCUUUUCUUCCUUUUAUAUUCCCUUGAUGAUCUCUUCGUGAUCAACCGUUUAGAAACUGCUUAAUUGCUUUAUAACUGCCCACUUUCUUCAUGGUGGCUAACUUAUCGUGGAACUGCAGUCUCUAACUGCUGUCAUUACUCUUUGUCGUUCAACCGUCUUCAAUGUAAGGAACAAACCUCUUGAGACAAAAUUCCAAAAGGGGUGUUUUAUUGGCGAUGAAUUUACAAUUGAAACUAAACAGAAUGCCUCCAAGGGACGCAAGCACACGAAUACUGAAAAGAAAUGUUUAAGUCUAAACUAAGAAAUUGAAAUUACAUAUUCUCUAUUUGAGAGUGUUUGAUUCGAGUUCCUUUGCUCUAUGUCUUUUCUUCCUUUUAUAUUCCCUUGAUGAUCUCUUCGUGAUCAACCGUUUAGAAACUGCUUAAUUGCUUUAUAGUGCCCACUUUCUUCAUGGUGGCCAACUUAUCGUGGAACUGUCAUCUCUAACUGCUGGCACUACUCUUUGUCGUUCAACCGUCUUCAAUUGAAUUCCUUGAAUCGUGGAACGUGAUAAGAUUACUUAAUAACUGGUUCGAUAACUGCAUUUUUGGAUAACCAUAACAUCCUAUGUUUGCUAAGAUCCUGGGUGAUUCGAAGGUUUGAGCGAGAACAGGGUCAUAACCCUGGGCGACUGCAAGGCACUUCAUUCGCUCAGAUCUUGAGCGUCUUGCAAGUUUGGGCGAUGAUGUUACCGCGUUCGUGGGCUUCCAUUGCAUUCAUUAAUAACCCUAUUUGGGCCUUUAUCCUGAAUUGCCCAAUUGGACUUCAUUCUUUGGGCUAUUCGAUUUGAGCUGCACUUUUAGCGUGUCAACAGAAAUAUAUUUAUAUUUUAUUUUGAGAAAGACCUUGAUCCACCAAUAUCAACUUCCAAAAUUUAAUUUUUUAAUAAUUCAUCUUUGCUUAGACCAAUUGGCCGUAUAUGCAAUUAGAUAUAUAUAAUGUACAUUAACUUAGGGGAAGAGGUGCCCCACGGUAAUUUUGAAAAUUCAAUACUUUGUCCAAUUUUUUUUUCAAAAUUUUCGAAGAAGUCCUUGUAGUUUUCAAAUUUCCCCCACAACUAUUUUAUUUUAUUUUAUUUUUUGUAAUUUGCCCCCACAAAUAUUAUCUUCUAGCUCCGCCCAUGCUAACUGCAAAUAAAUUUUAAAUGCACUUGGUGAAAAUUAAUUUUCUCAAUCGUUUCAUGGCCAUCCAAAGAAGAAAUCAAAUAUAGAAUUUUUUUUUCGACUUAACGCAAAAUUCAGUCAUCACAUUCCCGAACACCCCAAGCAGAAUAUGGAAACAAGAGAUUAUGGAUGACAAAAUUUCCACUUCUAAAAGUUUCAAUAACAUCACAAAAAAUUCUGAAAUGUUAGUGAUUUAAGUAGAAAUAGAGUUUAAAAAGAAGUAGGAUUUAAAAAUUUCAAAUUUUUAACUUCAAUAGGCCAACCAUACAUUUAAAUUCUAUCCGAGGAUGCAAAGCAGCAUCUAAUUAAGACGAUUGCUGCAAGAUGCAUGGACUUGUUAAAUCAUGUGCAUGCUUACGAGCAGGCUCAUGGACCAGACCUUGAGCUUGCCCAAAGAGUUAUGCUCUUGACCAUUCACAAGACCGCUCUUUUUAAGAAAUCGGAGUCAUGCUCUACACAUGACCAGUGUUUCAAUGAGCCGCACCAAUGGGUUGAUCCCAAUUUAGUAGUCCAUAUAAGCCGACAAACUGCUUGAGAUCAUUGUCAUCGUAACUUUAAGAUGAACUAGAUUUAGAAAUUUAAAUUAAAGAAAAAAUAAAUUUAUAACUAAAGUAUUGAAAAACGCUAUUUAAAUGAAUUUUGUAACUGAGAAGCUUGCAUCCGAGAUAAUUUAGUGGAAAGCCACGAACCCCAAUUUAUAGUUUUCUAUAGGGGCAUGGGAAAUGAGUUAUAGCUUAUUGGGUCAUUGAGCCUAGAUCGACGAAUCAAUUUUAGUUUUGUAUUUUCUUAAUUAUUUUCAAAUAUACAUGAAACAGUAACAACUGUUACAUAUAAAAUGACCUAGAUUUCUUUUCAUGUUUUACAAAUGAAGUUAAAACAUAUUUUGUAUAUCAUAUUGUUGUAUCUUCACAAGAGUGUGAGUAGUUUAAGUUUGAUACAAACUUACAAGUAAAGAGACUUGUAUAUUUGGAAUCCACUGAAUAGGAAAAUGUGAAUAAUUAAUUUUACUAACUUGACUAAAUGCCUAUUUCAAUUUUGUGUGGGUAAUGAGCCUUAAUUCACGGUUUGAUCUCUUUGAGAUAUUAAACACCGACAUUAUUGAUACAUCAUUAUCAAUUACAAAAUGAACACUUGUAUCUGUUUAUUUGUAAUAAUACAAAUUUGAAGACUAAUAUGUUGGGUAAAUGGAUCCAAAUUUCAGGAAGAAGCAUUGAGUACCGAAGUUUGAUCAAAUUGUGCCAAAUUUGAUUUUCGUUCUCUGAUGUUGCUCGUGAUUUGUUUGGUGCUGAUUUUGAACUCUAAACCUCACUAACCAAUUGAAAGACAAAUAAAGUCACGGACCUUAAAUCAUGUUCGCCUAAAUUACCGAAGUAUCCCCUCAAGUCUUGUAAACUAUAAAAGUGCCAUUCCUUUUUAAUUUUUAUUGUCCCCUUGUAUGUUGCAUCCCAAUAAAACAACAAUUUUUCAUCCAACUCCAUCAAUAAAUAUUCAGCGGAGAGAUUAUUGAGUUGCUAAUCUAAGAGCUUUGGACAUCUGAUUAUUUUUUAAGUUUACGAGCUUUAAUUUUCUCAUAUGCCUUUAGUGAAAUUAAUGUCUUCCAUAUCAUAGGCAAUUGGUUGGGAAAAAGCCUAUAAACGGCCAAAGUCUCAAAACUAUGAAGUUGCUUUUUAAGUUUCAUUGAAAUUAAGUAUGUCUAGAUAACUUACUUUUUUCUUAUUUUUAAGUGAUGAAAGGCUUGUAUUUUCUUUUUAAUUUACGAUCCUUAUUAUCUAAUUGGAUGAAUCUAUUUUAUACUUCUUGUCGAGUAUAAUCGCCACGACAACGGUGCGUCUAGGUAUAGCGUUAAAAAUAUUGUUGGUCACGUGACUUGUAAUGUUGUUUUGGUUUGAUCGUUAGAAUUUCUUUUGGUCAAGUGAGGGACAGAAAUUUCAUUUUUUAUAAUCAAUUUAGUUACUUUUUCAUGUUGAAUUAGAGAAAUUCUGUCAUGGCCAACAUGAUUGAUAACAUGGCAUCGGAAAAUUUUGUUAGUGCAUUAUUCCUGUCUUCUAGCCACGUAAAAUGCACAUUGUUGAAAAGGUAGUCUUUUAGAAUUUAUAGAGAAACAAAAAUUUUAAAAAUAAACUAUAAGAUUGCACAAUCAAUUCAGUGAUAACUAAACAAAAAGUAACAAGUGUUGCGUGUUGUCACACCUGUCCUACACACCUGGGCCAAUGGUACACUCAUCCUGAUCCAUGUGGCAUUCCCGCCGAGGUGGCCCACAUUGCCGAGGUGGGUUAUAUCCGAAGUGCUUCUAACCGAGGCCCAUGACCCGAGUCGGGGAGCCUUUGGAUGUAGCUGAGGUCCUCAAAUGGACGAAGCCCCGAAGUUGAUGCACGAGCCUCUUAACCACAAGGAAACAUCCUCCAUGGUCACUUCUCCCAAGAGAUUGCCUGCACAGAUCUUAUUCGAAUGAUUGAUGGAAUGUUUGUCAUAAGCAUAAAGGUCAAGUCUUGUCACUAGCAUAGAGGUCCUGCACAAGCAAUAAAUGCGCCGUAAGCUAGUAAGUCAAGUCCCAUGCCUAAGAACAGACAUUUGAACUAAGGAGAUGAGGCCACGUGCCACUUCAUCCAAGGGCUCCCAUUCCAUAUGUAUCACUAUAAAUACCCCCAUUGUAUGACGUAAAAGGCUAAUGCAAGAAUCAAUACAAAAGACUACAUUUACUCAACUCUCUCAGUUACUUGCAAUACACAAAUCGAACUUAUACACUUUUACACAUACAUUUACAAGCACCGGUUGGUAAUUAUUGUACAAUCGAAUUACGAAUAACCCGCCGGAUUCCAAACGUUACUGUCCCGCAUCGUUGGGCUACUCCCACGCCCCUUUGAACAACUCGGUUAGACCGUCCACGUGUCUUAGCGUGUUGGACAUUCGCCCACGCAAGCGCGGGUGGGACCAGCAUUUGUUGGCGCACUUUUUAGGGUCAACAGAUUGGCGCCGUCUGUGGGAAAUCAUACCAUAACCACGAGCUACCUUGUGGUAAAAGCUUACUGAGAAACAUUUGGGCAACCCCCCUUGAAAAAGGAUUUGUUCUUGAAAAAGAGCAGUAGGAACCCCUACCACUUGGAGAAAUCUAAGUUUGAUAAAAAAAAAAAAAAAUGAGUUCUAACGAAGAUACUCCCCCAAGGAGGGUAAGAGAAAAUACGAAUAUGCCUCCCCAGCCUGCUGUCCCAGCAGCUCAGCAGAGGCUCCACCACCACCAAAGGAGAGGUGGGAUGCGUGCGACAGCACGACUAUCAAGAGAAAUGGCUACCAUGGCAGCCAACAUGAGGGAUAUAGCCAACCAAAACUUGGAUGCAAGGUCAAGGAGGUCUCCCCAUUCCUCCAUAUGCCCCCCAUGGGCACUAUCAGCAAGAGAACGAGGUCCAAAGUCAUAGGGCUGCCUCGCCCGACUAUGGUCGAGGCGAAAGCCCAUUUGAGAGGGAAGUGGGAGUUGACAUUUCCUCCAACUAUGCAUCUGGCCGACCCUCCGAGGUCCAAAUGAGCCCUGAUAACUUUCCACCUCCAUAUGAGCAAGACCCAAGACAGAGGAGAGUAGGAAGUGUUUUUGACAGAAUCAGCCCUGUCGAACCAAGACCCAGUCAACAGCAGGCUUAGCAGCCUCGGACGAGGCCACAGCCUCCACCUCCGAUGCCCCAGCAGCUAGAGAGAAGGCACAAAAAUGCCCCCCGCGCUGUCCUGCCUAGAAGUAGGCCGCAAAGGAGGGAGGAAGAGGCUAGGAACCGGCCCGGACCCUCUCACCAACAACCGAGGUACGAGGCCGAAGACUACGAUUCUGAUGAGCAACAGAGGUCCUAUGACUUGGACGAUGAUGAUGAGAACCUGCCGUUCUCAAGAGAACUGAGAAAUGCCCAGGUCCCGGGCCACUAUGUCAUGCCAAAAAUACCAAAGUAUGAUGGGAGAGGUGACCCAGAAAAGCACCUCAACGCUUACAAAACUCACAUGAACCUGAGGGGCGCCACCCCAGCUGUGAAGUGCAGAGCAUUCCAUUUAACCCUCAAUGGAGCGACUGAAAUCUGGUAUAGUAGGCUACCAUCUGGGAGCAUCCGAAGCUGGCCUGAGUUCAAAACUACCUUCUUGAAGAGGUUCGCAAUGAGCAAGGAAGGAGAGGCCCCCAUUCAGCGUCUUCAAGACAUGAGACAGGCGCAUGGCGAGUCCUUGAAAAGCUUCCUAUCCCGCUUCACCGACAAGAUGACCUACUGUGUACAAGUCACCGACAGAGAGACACUAUCUGCAUUGAGAGGGGGAUUGAACAUGAACACCCUAUUCUGGAGGGAUGUGCAGAAUCAAGACCCAACCACUUAUGACGCCUUACUAGAGAUGAUGAGAAGGGAGAUAAUCAAUGAAGAAUUGAUUGAGCAUAGGAACAGGGCCAGCAGGGGCCUCCCACCUCCUCAAAGACAGCGAGGUCGGGGACCGACCUCCCACCUCAUGGACUACCAGAUGAACCGAUCUGGAAAUGAGAACUCCGGCCAAGCCCUGGCCACUACAACUCUGAACGUGGUGCCAACCUUGGCGUAUGAGGAUGUCAACUCAACCGCUGACCCACAUCAGAUACAGGCCCAGCAGGGACCCCGUAGAGGGAGAGGCCGAGGCCGAGGCCGAGGUUUUUCACCUAGAAAUAGGUCCAAUCCAAACCUCCCUGGAUACUGUUUGCACCAUAGGUCCUACGGGCACGACACCGCGGAUUGCAGAGAUUAUGCACACCGCCCCCGGCAGGAACCAGCCAGGGAAAGACAUAACUCGUCCCAGGCGAACAGGCCCCCGCCCAGGCAAGACAACCGACAUGGGCGUGAGGCGGCCGCUCCUCGUCCAAGGGAUGUCUCCCCAAGGCGAAGAGAGCAAGACACAGAGAGGCCCAGGAAAGGGCGUAGACACCGAAGAAAUAGGCAAGCUCAAGAUGAGGCCCUUAUCCACGAGAUAGACACCAUAUUUGGAGGCCCCUAUGUUGGCGGUGAAACACGGAACGCCAAAAGAAAUUAUGCUAGGGAGGCUAAGAACCCCCCUCUGACAAGCUACAUUGUGGAUAGUAGCUCUCAAAGAAACCAAGUACCACCCAUUGUCUUCACCCAGGAAGACGCCGAAGGAGUUCAUUACCCCCACUGCGAUGCGCUGGUGGUGAGGGCUGUCAUAGCCCGAAAUGGGCUCAAACGAAUGCUAGUCGACAACGGCAGCUCCGUCAACAUCUUAUUCGGGUCCACCUUUGACAAGAUGAUAUUGGACCACCAGUUGACGCCCACCACCACUCCAUUGUACGGAUUUACCAGAGAUAGCAUCACUCCGAGAGGAAAGAUAACACUGGCAGUAGAGAUGGGAGAAUCUCCUCAAACUACAAUGAACUUUAUGGAAUUCCUCGUAGUCGACAGGCGGUCGGCUUACCACGGGGUCUUGGGCAGACCGGCCCUAAAGGAAUUGGGAGCAGUCGCCUCCAUCCACCACCUAUGCAUGAAAUUCCCAACAGAAAAUGGGGUGGCAACGGUGAGAGGCGACCAGAGAGGUUCGCGAGAGUGCUAUCUGAGCUCCAUUAAGAAGGUAGAGCCCCGGGAUGUCCACGUGAUCAUGGCUGAUGUGGUCAUGGCGGAUGUUCCAGGUGACGCUCCCACUGACCAGGAAGAUAUUGAUAUGAUUGACGCACCGCUUAUUCAGGAGGUGUUGAUCGUUGAUGAGAUCGACCCCCGCAUAAUGGAGCAUGAGCCUCAAGCGUCCCCUGUAGAGGAACUUGAGAGCUUCUCAACCGACCCUCGAGAUCCGUCUAAGGUGUUGAAAAUAGGCAGGGGCUUAUCCAACAUCUUGAGAGAAAAGGUCAAGGACUUCUUAGGCAAGAACAUUGACGUCUUCGCCUGGAGACAUGAGGACAUGGUGGGCAUAGACCCCAAGGUCAACUGCCACCACUUGAAAAUUGAUCCUAAUUUUGCCCCGCAUAGGCAAAAAAGGAAAGCCCUCAAUCCAGAGAGGUAUGAGGCCCUAAAGGAAGAGGUUCAGAAGCUCAUCCAAAAUGGCUUCAUCAGGGAGGCCACUUAUCCGAAGUGGGUCUCCAACCUGGUCUUGGUUAAGAAACACAAUGGAAAAUGGAGAGUAUGCAUCGACUUUACCAACCUUAAUAGAGUUUGCCCGAAAGAUAGCUUUCCACUCCCAAGAAUUGACCAAUUGGUGGACUCCACGGCUGGGCACGAGUUGUUGAGCUUCAUGGAUGCAUACUCCGGCUUUAACCAGAUCCCCAUGCACCCGGCCGAUGAGGAGCACACCUCUUUCAUCACGGAUCGAGGCCUCUAUUGCUAUAGAAUGAUGCCUUUCGGGUUGAAAAACGCCGGAGCAACUUACCAAAGACUCGUGAACAAAAUGUUUACCGACCUCAUUGGCAAGACAAUGGAGGUCUACGUGGAUGACAUGCGGGUAAAAAGCCUAGAAGCAGAGAACCACAUAGUGCACCUCAACGACACCUUCCAAAGACUAAGAAGGUACCGGAUGAGGCUCAACCCAUUGAAAUGUGCCUUUGGGGUGGCUUCCGGCUAGUUCUUGGGGUACAUGGUCAACUAGCGAGGAAUUGAAGCAAAUCCCGAGAAGAUUGAGGUUCUGUGCCAGAUGAGGUCCCCUCAAAAGCCAAAGGAGGUGCAAAGCUUAACUGGACGAGUGGCAGCACUUAGUCGCUUCGUCUCCAAAGCAACUGACAAGUGCCUCCCAUUUUUCAAAGUGCUCAAGGCUGGGAAGAAAUUCCAAUGGACUGAGGAAUGUGAAGAGGCCUUCCAAGGAUUGAAAAAGCACUUGGGGCAGGCCCCCCUCCUCUCCAAGCCGAAGUCUGGCGACAUUUUGCAACUAUAUCUUGCCGUCUCCAAUGACGCCAUCAGUUCGGUUUUGAUUCGAGAAGGAGGGUCCACCCAACUUCCCGUCUACUAUACGAGUAAAGCGCUCCUAUCGCCGGAGACCCGAUACCCCGAUAUGGAGAAACUUACUUUGGCCUUAAUCACGGCCUCUAGGAAAUUGAGACCCUACUUCCAAGCUCAUACCAUCCAUGUACUUACAAAUUUUCCCCUGAGGCAAGUACUCCAGAAGCCCGAUGCCUCGGGAAGAUUGUUGAAAUGGGCAGUGGAACUAAGUGAAUUUGACAUUAUGUUCAAAGCAAGGGUAGCCAUCAAAGGGCAAGCUUUAGCAAACUUCGUCGCUGAAUUCGCCAACCUACCCGAAGUGGAUAAAAUCAUGGAAUCCGUCGAACCCCCCACGUGGAGCCUCUUCGUCGAUGGCUCAGCUGGGGAAAUCGGCUCAGGUCCCGGGGUUGUCCUCAUCAGCCCCGAGGGUCACAAACUCACCUCAGCCGUAAUGUUCGUAUUCAAAGCCACCAACAAUGUUGCAGAGUAUGAAGCACUCCUUGCAGGCCUCAGACUGGCCAAGAAAAUGCAAGUAAAGAAGCUACUCGUUAGUAGUGACUCCCAGCUGGUUGUUAGCCAAGUCAAUGGUAACUUCUCAGCCAAAGACAAAACGAUGGCCUCCUAUCUGAAAAUGGUGAUGAACCUCAUCCCAUCCUUUGAGAAGUUCGAGUUAACCCAGAUUCCCCGCAUCGAAAAUACUCAUGCGUAUGCACUCUCGAAGCUGGCUAGUAGCAAAGACUCAGAGCUACUCACUGUAGUGCCUAUCGAGCACCUCCUACUGCCUUCUACCGAGGCCCCUAAUGUCAUGUGGGUCAGUGGAACCCCCACCUGGAUGCAACCAAUUAUAGCAUAUCUGAAAGACCAGGUGCUACCCACCAACAAGAAUGAGGCUUACAAGCUAAGAAGGAGGUCGGCCCAUUUCCUCUUCAUCGAUGACAUUCUCUACAAGAGAAGUUUCUCCUCUCCACUCUUACGAUGCGUCGGAGGAGAAGAGGCUACCAACAUACUAAGAGAAGUCCACAAGGGAGUGUGUGGCAACCAUUCUGGAGGCCUAUCUCUCGCACAAAAAAUACUGAGGCAAGGAUACUACUGGCGCACCCUGAAACGGGAUGCCCUCGAAUUUGUGUGAAAAUGUGAUAAGUGCCAACGAUUCUCUCCCGUUCAAAGACGACCAUCACAAGAUUUGACUGCAGUCUCCAGCCCCUGGCCUUUCUCAAAGUGGGGUGUGGACCUCAUAGACCCUCUACCAAAGGGUAGAGGAGGCGCAAGUUUUGCAAUAGUGGCCAUUGAUUACUUCACGAAGUGGGUCGAAGCUGAACUACUGGCGAAAAUCACAGAAGCAAACACCUCUAAGUUCCUAUGGAAGAAUAUCAUUUGCCGGUUCGGAAUUCCCUACUCGAUCGUCUCAGACAAUGGCAGGCAAUUCGAUAGCAAGAAGGUUAGAGAACUGUGUGAAGACCUUGGCAUAAAAAAGCUCUUCUCUACACCUCACCACCCACAAGCUAAUGGCCAAGUCAAAGCCGUAAACAAGACAAUCAAGCACGUCCUGAAAAGGAGGCUUGAUGUGUCCAAGGGAGCUUGGUUUGAUGAGCUGCCCCAAGUACUUUGGGCAAUCCGAACCACCACCAGAACCCCAACCGAGGAGACCCCUUUCCUCAUGGCUUUUGGGACUGAGGCGAUGAGCCCCGUGGAGGUCGGACUCCCAUCCGGCGUCUGCACUUCAGCGAAGUGACCAACGACGAGCUCCUGAGGCUAGACCUCGAUUUCAUUGAGGAGAGGAGGGACGACUCCCAGCUAAGGCUAGGCACCUACCAAAGGAAGAUGACAAGGUACUUCAACUCCAAAGUCAAGAAGAAGUCUUUCCGAAUCAACGAUCUAAUACUCAGGAGGGUCUUCCCAUCUUCAAAAGAACUCGGUUCCGGCUUCCUGGGGCCGAACUGAGAAGGUCCAUACAAGAUCAGAGAAGAAAUCCGACCUGGAACCUACUGGAUUGAAGACAUGGGCGGCAAGGCACAACCCCGUCCAUGGAACAUUGAACACCUCAGAAUCUUUUAUCAAUGAAUUGUAUCAUGCUGGAUGACUUUCCCAGCCUUUGUAAUAUUUCUAUGGCUCAAUAAAAUUCAUUGAUUAAAUUGUCAUACUACGUCGUCACCUUGGAGGAGAGGCUCGGGACCCACCUAUGGGCCACCUCGCUCGAACUCCGAGGCGCUAGCACAUGCCUCCCUUUGGCCUUGCUGAAUGCCAAGGGGAGAAGCCUCAACAUGGCUGCACCAUCCACCAUGUCUGGGAUGCGUCGUCACCUCGGAGGAGAGGCUCGGGACCCACCUCUGGGCCACCUCGCUUGAACUCCGAGGCGCUAGCACAUGCCUCCCUUUGGCCUUGCUGAACGCCAAGGGGAGAAGCCUCAAUAUGGCUGCACCAUCCACCAUGUCUGGGAUGCGUCGUCACCUCGAAGGAGAGGCUCGGGACCCACCUCUAGGCCACCUCGCUCGAACUCCGAGGCGCUAGCACAUGCCUCCCUUUGGCCUUGCUGAAUGCCAAGGGGAGAAGCCUCAACAUGGCUGCACCAUCCACCAUGUCUGGGAUGCGUCGUCACCUCGGAGGAGAGGCUCGGGACCCACCUCUGGGCCAUCUCGCUCGAACUCCGAGGCGCUAGCACAUGCCUCCCUUUGGCCUUGUUGAACGCCAAGGGGAGAAGCCUCAAUAUGGCUGCACCAUCCACCAUGUCUAGGAUGCGUCGUCACCUCGAAGGAGAGGCUUGGGACCCACCUUAGCAACUUUGACCUCCUCUGCAAGGGAGGCAGCCUUCCCCUUCGAGGCGUGAGUCCUUGUCUGAAAUUCACUUAAUGCCUCCCUACAUUCGAGGGCGAGGCCAAAGGUCCGAGCGCUUUGGCUCACCAGUGCCCUUGUGAGGUCGGUGGCAUCACAAGACGAGGCAUGAAGCUGCCACCUCUCCGUCCAGAACUUGUAAAAGCUCUCGGUGGCACUUCUAAUUUCCUCAGGGAGAGCCUCCACCAAGGCUGGGGCCAGCUCAUCCUCCCUCCCAGCUAGGAAGUUUGGAGACUUCCCCUUCUCCCGAACCGGCUUCCCCUUCGUCGCCUCCUCUUCGGCGGCUUCUGCAGCUCGCCUUGUAGCCUCUUCUCUGGCCUCUUCAGCCUCCACCUCUCUUACCAUCUCCAUUUUGAUGGCCUUAGAGGCUGCAGCAAGGAGCUGCUCACCAGUCUGUUCUGCCCUAUGGGACACUGUGGUCCCAAACUUGCCAGCUGAGCUGGAGAUGUACACCAGCUUCCUCUUCUUAGUCUCCUCAGAGACUUUUUCCUUGCCCCGAGGCUCCUUAGGCUUCUCUGGCGUCUGAGUAGACGCCUCCUCCAAGACCCUGGGAGUGCAGUCCUUCGACAGGCACUCAACCCUGCCUCGGACUUCCUUUGCUCCACUGGACCUAGGCUUCAGGGGCCUCGCCUUCGCAGUAGAAGUGGCCUUCAAGAUGGAGGCCAUAUCCGGAUCUGGGUACUCCCUCAUCUUGAAUUUGUCUGCACAACAUAUCAGAUUAGCAUCAGCAUAAGAAACAUUCAGAAUAAAAACAUCAAGUGUUGGGGCCCCAUACCUCUGGAUGCCAUCAGCUCGAAGUCCAAGAAGUAUCUACUUCUGUCAAUCAGGUGAUCAAAGUGUCGAAGCUUCAGAGGCCUCUUGUAAAUGUCCUCUAUCACCUCAAAUUUCUCCCUGCUGAGCUCGAACCUCGUACUACUAUCUGCAAAGACGAACCUCCAACAGUUAGACGAAUAAAUAUUCUGAUUUCAAAACACAAGCAGAGGUCGGGAGACUCACGAGCUUCGUAGUACUGGGUCGGCACUGUGCAUGACAGGGCUUUGUCACCCUCCACUGCCUGCCAUUUACCUCGCACCCAGAACCAGGACUCCUUCCACCCCUUGAUGGAAGAAGGAAGUCCCACCAUAAAGGGUGCGUGAGCCCCCCAAGGCGUGAGGUAGUACCACCCCCUUGACUCCUUCCCAAUUACCCGGGGCUGGAACAGGGUCAUGAAGACGUGAAGAGGCAUGUCCUCCCCAAGUAACACUUCCUUCCACAGGAAGUAUGAGCCGACCAGCUGGCUCCACCCAUUCGGCAGAACCUAGGUCGGCGACAGCAUGAAUUUCCUAAGCACCGCCCUAAAGAAGAGGUGCAAAGGAAGACGCAUACCUGCUUUGAACAGGUAUUCACUCACGGCCACGCAGCCGGGCCUCGGAUAGCAGGCCCGCUCAUUCGGUUUGGAGACUAACAUCUCUAUGUUAUGAGGCACACUAUACCUUUCCCUAAGUUCCCCCAACCUCUUCCCCGUCAUGUUCGAGGGCACUCUAGAAGCCCCCCACUCCUGGGUAUAAUCCACAGCCUCCUCGGCCAUGGCAUACCUAUCCACCUCGGACGUCCCCCCAUGACCUACCCCAUGAUCUAAAGACGCCACUGUAACAAGUUCCCUACCCGAAGUGGACUCCAUUUUUUCAGAACAAAGACAGUAACAACGGUUUUUUAUGCAAAAAAUACCUAAAGGAGUUCAACACAAACGGAUACUGGUAGGAAUCUAAUCGCAGACAACCUCGACGCCAGAAAAUGGGAGAUUUGAGAGAAUUUGAGAAUGCAAAGUAUUCAAAAAUCCUGGAAAUUGGGAUUUUCUCGCCUUUUAUAAAGGUCCAAGACGAACCCCACCCGUCAGAUCAAAUCUCAGUCAAUCCGAGCCCUCCAUUUUAGAUCCAAUCCGAGGCGUUGAAUUCAAACAGUUUUUAAAUCCUACGCCUCCGUUCUAUGCGUGCCUCCCACGCACCUCUCCAACGCGUCUGCCUCUAGAAACGCCAGCUGCCCUCAUAAUUGCAUUUUAAUUCGACGGUGCCACCACCUUGGAAGUCGUAACGGUUCAGCUACCUUUCCUCGAAAAUAAGCACAAAACAUCAAAUCAUUGGCACACCGACCAAUGCACAAUCAUUACCAUUGGACCUCGGUAAGCCCUCAGGGUCGGCUUCCUCAACCACCUCGACUUCCUCCUCGCAUUCAGCGUUCAAGCCUCGCAGGUUCGGUUCCUCAACCACCUCGGCUUCCUCCUCGCCAUUCAGCGUUCAAGCCUCGCAGGUUCGAUUUCCUCAACCACCUCGGAUUCCUCCUCGCAUUCAGCGUUCAAGCGUCGCAGGUUCGGUUCCUCAACCACCUCGACUUCCUCCUCGCCAUUCAGCGUUCAAGCCUCGCAGGUUCGAUUUCCUCAACCACCUCGGCUUCCUCCUCGCAUUCAGCGUUCAAGCCUUGCAGGUUCGGUUCCUCAACCACCUCGGCUUCCUCCUCGCCAUUCAGCGUUCAAGCCUCGCAGGUUCGGUUUCCUCAACCACCUCGGCUUCCUCCUCGCAUUCAGCGUUCAAGCCUUGCAGGUUCGGUUCCUCAACCACCUCGGCUUCCUCCUCGCAUUCAGUGGUCAAGCCUCGCAGGUUCAGUUUCUUCAACCACCUCGGCUUCCUCCUUGCCAAUCAGCGUUCAAGCCUCGUAGGCUCGGUUUAUUUAACCAACUCGACUUCUUCAUCAUUCACCCAAGCAACACUUCUCAAACUCUAACCAUGAUAUAAAUACCUAUGCUUGGACUUAGGGGACUAUUAUUUGGGGUCCUAAAAUUCUUUCAACUUACUCCAUCAAAGUCCACACAUUACAUUAAUGAUAAUACUUGGACUUGGGGGACUAUUGUUGUGUGUUGUCACACCUGUCCUAUCCACCUGGGCCAAUGGUACACUCAUCCUGAUCCACGUGGCAUUCCCGCCGAGGUGGCCCACAUUGCUGAGGUGGGUUAUAUCCGAAGUGCUUCUAACCGAGGCCCAUGACCCGAGUCGAGCCUUUGGAUGUAGCUGAGGUCCUCAAAUGGACGAAGCCCCGAAGUUGAUGCACGAGCCUCUUAACCACAAGGAAACAUCCUCCAUGGUCACUUCUCUCAAGAGAUCGCCUGCACAGAUCUUAUUCGAAUGAUUGAUGGAAUGUUUGUCAUAAGUAUAAAGGUCAAGUCUUGUCACUAGCAUAGAGGUCCUGCACAAGCAAUAAAUGCGCCGUAAGCUAGCAAGUCAAGUCCCAUGCCUAAGAACAGACAUUUGAACUAAGGAGAUGAGGCCACGUGCCACUUCAUCCAAGGGCUCCCAUUCCAUAUGUAUCACUAUAAAUACCCCCAUUGUAUGAUGUAAAAGGCUAAUGCAAAAAUCAAUACAAAAGACUACAUUUACUCAACUCUCUCAGUUACUUGCAAUACACAAAUCGAACUUAUCCACUUUUACACAUACAUUUACAAGCAUCGGUUGGUAAUUAUUGUACAAUCGGAUUAUGAAUAACCCGCCGGAUUCCGAACGUCACUGUCCCGCGUUGUUGGGCUACUCCCACGCCCCUUUGAACAGAUCGGUUAGACCGUCCACGUGUCUUAGCGUGUUGGACAUUCGUCCACGCAAGCGCGGGUGCGACCGGCAUCUGUUGGCGCACUUUUUGGGGUCAACAACAAGACCAAAAUCCCACUUGGAGUUUAAGUAAGAAGAAGAAGAUCCUGCCAUAAAAUGCAAUGAAAAGAAUAAACAUCUUGGUAUUAAGUUUUUAAUACAAAUUUGAUUGUUAGUUGUCUAAGAUUCUCUUGACCCCCUUCCUGACCCCUCCCAUGAUGGCAUGCUCAUGGAACUUUAAUAAAUGCGUGGCAAAGACACUUAAUUCCAAGGCUACAAAUACUGAACUUAGCAUCAAUAUAGGAAAAUUAUUUCUUAUCUAAUGAUGUCGCAUUAUGUAGCUGUCGAUAUUAUCUUUGCAUCAUUUCAAAGUUGAAAGUAUUUGUUCCUUUAUUAAUGGCUACGAGUGUAGUAUUAAUGCUCAUUUUCACUAUCACACCUUUAUCAUAUUAAAAAAUGUAUGGUUCUACUUUUCCUUUUACUAGUGCUAUGUAAAGCAAAGCUCUAAAGUUGGAUUCUCAACACAUAAAUAAUUAAAUUUUAUUCUUUCCAAUGCUUAUUUUCUCUAUCACACCUUUAUCAUAGUAAAAAAUGUUAGGUUCCACUUUUCCCUUCUUCUAGUGCUAUGAAAAGCAAAUUUCUGAAGUUGGAUUCUCAACAUGCAAAUAAUUACAUUUUAUUCUUUCCAAUAAUUUAUUUUUAUUUAUUGAAUAGCGAAUGCAAUAAGCAAAAGCAGUCAAUACGAUUGAUGAGAACGUUGAAGAUUUAUGAUUAGAGUCUAGAGAUGUAUCGUUUGUAUAUAAUGUAAUUUCAAAUAAAAAUUCCAUAUAAAGAGGCAUAUGCCUUUUUAGAAAUAAUUACAGUAGAACAUCGCCUGCUGGCGUCUUUGUUCUCCAUAAGUUGUACUUUGUUCUCUAUAAGUUGUACAUUAAUUUGUUAAUAGCCUUGGUUAUCGACUUAUCGUAUGCAACUUGUUCAGGAAAAACCCUAUAAACUUCGCAUUGUGAGUGUCGCUCAAGUUGUUCGUCAAAUAUUUUCGGGCACCGUAGCAACUUUGUUCGAGAAAAGCUAAACAGUGUGCCCCAGCCAUUGAUAGCUGACAACUUUUUCUCUUCUAUUGACUGCCUUUAGACCAUUGACUGAGUCGGCACGUUCUCACUUGAAGUUCACAUGCAUUUCUGUCUCUUCUGCUAAUAAAAUAUUAAUUAUUUGUUAGCAUUAAUGAUGUCCUUAACAAUGUUAACAGAAUAAUCUCAUGCUUUUAAAGUACUAAUUUUUAUGAGGAAAUAUAGUUUAAUAGCCUAAAUAGAAGGUUGAUUUUCCAAAUUAGCCUAAGAAAUAAAAACAUUUGAAAACUAGUCUCCAAACAACUAAAUUUCCAAAAAUACCCUUAAUAGAGAAAUUGCAACCAAAGCCAUUACAAUGUCUAAAAAUCUCCAAAUAAGUCCUCAAGAAAAUAUAGAUCAUAAAUUUUUAAUAAAUUUAGAUCCAAAUAUUAUACAAAAUUUUAUUGAUCUAAAAAUCUAUACAGAAAACGAAUUAAUCUAUCUAGAAGAAGAUCUGAAAGACUUCUUUAUAGAAUAUUUAGACCCAAAAAUAAAAAAUAAAAAUGAUUCCAUAGAUAACGAAGCAAUCAAAAUGGAAAAAGACAUAUAUAAAUUAAUUCUUAAUUUAAGAAGGAGAAUUGAAAAAUUAAACAUAAUUAUUCAAGAAAAAGUAUUAAUAAAAAAUAGUGAAUUUUAUAAAUUCUAUUGUGACAUUUUAAAUACUUAUGAAAAAUCUAAUUGGCUAAAAAAUAUUAACCCCUCCGCUGCACACUCCGAUCAAAUGGUAUCAGAGCCAAGUUACGAACCAAAAAUUAUGAUGAAUAUAGUAGAUGAAGAAAAUAUAAUUGAAGAAUUUUUGGAAAAAGUUAAAAAACAUAAAAAACCUAGUUAUCCCUAUUUACCUAAAAACACUACGAAUGAAAGUUUUGAGGAUAUACAUAAAAGACUAGAAAAUCUAGAAUAUAAUCUACAAGUAGGAAAUGCAUUAUUAGAUAAUAAUCUUAGAGGAAAAGAUAGGAUUAUAAUAAAUCCACCUCAAGAUUUUAGAAUAACAAAAAAUAAAGGAAAAAAGCAUGAAGAAAAACAAUAUAUGAUAACAGAUGUAGAAGAAAUAGAACAAAAAUUCUUAGAAUCUACAGGUGAAGAGUAUAAAGAAUAUAAAAAGCAGUUAGAAGAAUUAACUGAAAAAAUGGAGAAUAUAAAAAUGAAUACUAAUCCAUCUUCAAGUCAUGAUAUAAAAGUAGAAUUUAGUAGUGAUGAAGAACAAGAUUUCCCUAAUGGUACCCCUAUACCUGAUAAGGCUGAUGUUAAUCGAUAUAGAAAAACCCAGAAAAGAUACACUGGUAAUGUAAGAAAACAAUCUAUAAAAGAAAUAAAUCCAAUGAAAUCUUAUAAUGAACCAAUCCACACAACAGGAAUAUGGUUAGAUUUAGAUUGUGUAGAUAAAAAUAAAGCUAUUGAAACAUGGAUAAAAAGUACAGAUUUAGCUAUACAAUUUAAUAAAUGGGAAACAUAUACGGCUUUUGGAUUUAUAGAACACACAUUUAGAGGAACUGUCUCUGAAUGGUGGAGAAAGUUACCAGAAACCAUCAAAGGAGGUGUAAAAUAUGGAGCAAAUAGAACUGAAGUACUAGAUAAUAGAAAUUCCUUAAAUGAACAAAAUAUACAAGAAAUAUUAAAAAGAUUUGAGAAAAUCUUAAGAAUAGAAUUUCUAGGAAAUAGACAUACCUCUAAUGAAGAAGAAAGAACACAAGAAGAAUAUAACCAAGGAAUGAUUGCAAUGGAAAAUCUAAAAAUAUGUGAUAUGUGUGAGUUAGAAAGAUAUACAUGUAAAUUUGAAGAAUUAUACUAUGUAUUAAAUCAAGGAGACUAUCAAGAAAAUAAACCUAUUUUAAGAUCUUACUUUACAAAGUUACCAUUCCCAUGGGGAAUUAAGUUACUAAAAGAAUAUGAGAAAUUAUUGCCUCUAGGAAAAGAGGAAGGAAUUGAAAUAGAUACUCUUGGAAGUAGAAUUGAAUUUACAAAAAGAAUGAUAAGUAUGUGGUGUAGAGAAGCACUAGAAAAUAAGAAAGCUUAUAAAAUAAGAAAAAAUUCAUUAUGUUGUUACAAAGAUAAUGGUCAGGUAGAACAAUUUGGAUGCUAUAAAAAGAAGUUUAAACCAUAUAAGAAAUAUAAAAGAAGAUUCAAAAACUAUAAAAAAUUCAAUAAAAGAAAUUUUAAACCACAUAAAAAAUAUUUCAAGAAAAGAAAUUGGAAUAAGAAAUCUAAACCAAGAUAUAUCAAAAAAUGUAGAUGUUUUAUUUGUAAUGAAGAAGGACACAUUGCCCCUCAAUGUCCUAAAAAGAAAGAUAGACAAAAUAUAAAAACUCUUAGAAUUUACGAAAAAUUCCAAGAAGAUAGUGAUAUAGAACCAAUUGAAUAUUUUGGAGAUCUAAGUAGUGAAUGUAGUAGUAUUUAUGAAUUAGAUACAUCCUCAUCAGAAGAAGAAGAUUAUGAGGAAAUUGUAUAUAUGAAUCAAGAGAUACAACAAUCAGAAAUAGAAAUAGAAACAACUGAAGAAGUUGAAAAUUCUAUAGAAGGUAUUAAUCAGGAAAUAACUUUUGAUAUUAAAAAAUAUGCAGGAAUUACUAAAAAGAUANNNNNNNNNNNNNNNNNNNNNNNNNNNNNNNNNNNNNNNNNNNNNNNNNNNNNNNNNNNNNNNNNNNNNNNNNNNNNNNNNNNNNNNNNNNNNNNNNNNNNNNNNNNNNNNNNNNNNNNNNNNNNNNNNNNNNNNNNNNNNNNNNNNNNNNNNNNNNNNNNNNNNNNNNNNNNNNNNNNNNNNNNNNNNNNNNNNNNNNNNNNNNNNNNNNNNNNNNNNNNNNNNNNNNNNNNNNNNNNNNNNNNNNNNNNNNNNNNNNNNNNNNNNNNNNNNNNNNNNNNNNNNNNNAGUACUAGCCAUCAUAAUAAUUUAAGAAAAAUAACUGAUAAUAUUAUCAUACACAAAGAUUUUGAAGAAUUAGCACAGUAUAUACCUCCUAGGAAAUACCAAGAACAUGAAGUCACUAUACCAGAGCAAAUAAUGCUUGAUUUCCAUAAACAAGCCAGAGAAAUUAAUUCUGAAGGAAAAUUAAUAAGAAGAAAUAGUGUCAGUUUAGAAGGAGAUAAUCUUAUAGCAAGAUUUCCCUCUAGACAAGAAUCUAAGAUAAGCAAACUUAAGAAACUAAGCAUUGAUAAACCAUCAAGUUCGCAAUACUAUAUCAAGACAAGAUAUGUGAACCAAGAAGGAUGUAAGAAGAAUCUUCUUGUCCUCAUAGAUACUGGAGCAGAUAAGAGUCAUGUAAAUGCUAAAUUUGUUAGUCAUCUAACAGAAUUCGAGAUAUCAGAACCAUACAUAUUUAAAGAUUAUUUAGGAAAUAAUCUUGAAAUCAGGAAAUAUGUUAAGUUUCCUCUUAUACUUAUAGGAGAAGACCAAAGAGAAUAUACUAAAGAAAUAAUUCUAUACAAAGAUGAAUUAUAUGGAUUAGAUCGUUCACCUAUUCUAUUAGGAAUGAACUUUCUUGAGAAAUAUAGUCCUUACAAAAUUUGUCAAGGAUAUUUAAAGAUAACAGUUGACGAUAAUCCAAUUAUCAUUCCAAGAAUAGAUGAAAAUAUGAAAUCAUUGUUAUCAUGGAAAGAGUAAUUAGUACUAAUCCCAUGAGCCCAUAUAUUGAAAUUAUACUCAAUAUAAAGGAUUAUUGUAGAAUUAAAUUUCAUGCUUACUUAGAUACAGGAAGUACAAUAAGCUUAUGCUUACCAAAUGUACUACCAUCUAAAUACUGGAAAUAUAAUCCAAAGAAAGUGGUAACUGCUACAACAGCAGGAGGAAAUAAAGUAAUAUAUAAUAAGUAUGCUAAUCAAGUACCUUUUCUAAUCUCUUUUAGAGAAGUAUUUGUUGAUACAAUAUAUAUGUCAACCACAAUUGGAUGUGAUAUUUUAUUAGGACAGAAUUUCCUAUUAAAAUAUGAACCAUUUACACAAUAUAUUGAUAAAUAUAUGUUCACAACACCUUGUGCACAUAAGAUAUUUACACCAAAAAUAAAUAAAGCUGUUACAAUAGCAUAUAGAGAUAUAAAACAUCAGAGUUCUUCAACCCAGCGUGGUGGAUGUUGGAAUACAGAAAAAUUUAAACCAGUUACAGUAUUAAAAAUGACAACAGAAAAUAGGUUAGAAAAAUUGAAAAGAGAAAUNNNNNNNNNNNNNNNNNNNNNNNNNNNNNNNNNNNNNNNNNNNNNNNNNNNNNNNNNNNNNNNNNNNNNNNNNNNNNNNNNNNNNNNNNNNNNNNNNNNNNNNNNNNNNNNNNNNNNNNNNNNNNNNNNNNNNNNNNNNNNNNNNNNNNNNNNNNNNNNNNNNNNNNNNNNNNNNNNNNNNNNNNNNNNNNNNNNNNNNNNNNNNNNNNNNNNNNNNNNNNNNNNNNNNNNNNNNNNNNNNNNNNNNNNNNNNNNNNNNNNNNNNNNNNNNNNNNNNNNNNNNNNNNNNNNNNNNNNNNNNNNNNNNNNNNNNNNNNNNNNNNNNNNNNNNNNNNNNNNNNNNNNNNNNNNNNNNNNNNNNNNNNNNNNNNNNNNNNNNNNNNNNNNNNNNNNNNNNNNNNNNNNNNNNNNNNNNNNNNNNNNNNNNNNNNNNNNNNNNNNNNNNNNNNNNNNNNNNNNNNNNNNNNNNNNNNNNNNNNNNNNNNNNNNNNNNNNNNNNNNNNNNNNNNNNNNNNNNNNNNNNNNNNNNNNNNNNNNNNNNNNNNNNNNNNNNNNNNNNNNNNNNNNNNNNNNNNNNNNNNNNNNNNNNNNNNNNNNNNNNNNNNNNNNNNNNNNNNNNNNNNNNNNNNNNNNNNNNNNNNNNNNNNNNNNNNNNNNNNNNNNNNNNNNNNNNNNNNNNNNNNNNNNNNNNNNNNNNNNNNNNNNNNNNNNNNNNNNNNNNNNNNNNNNNNNNNNNNNNNNNNNNNNNNNNNNNNNNNNNNNNNNNNNNNNNNNNNNNNNNNNNNNNNNNNNNNNNNNNNNNNNNNNNNNNNNNNNNNNNNNNNNNNNNNNNNNNNNNNNNNNNNNNNNNNNNNNNNNNNNNNNNNNNNNNNNNNNNNNNNNNNNNNNNNNNNNNNNNNNNNNNNNNNNNNNNNNNNNNNNNNNNNNNNNNNNNNNNNNNNNNNNNNNNNNNNNNNNNNNNNNNNNNNNNNNNNNNNNNNNNNNNNNNNNNNNNNNNNNNNNNNNNNNNNNNNNNNNNNNNNNNNNNNNNNNNNNNNNNNNNNNNNNNNNNNNNNNNNNNNNNNNNNNNNNNNNNNNNNNNNNNNNNNNNNNNNNNNNNNNNNNNNNNNNNNNNNNNNNNNNNNNNNNNNNNNNNNNNNNNNNNNNNNNNNNNNNNNNNNNNNNNNNNNNNNNNNNNNNNNNNNNNNNNNNNNNNNNNNNNNNNNNNNNNNNNNNNNNNNNNNNNNNNNNNNNNNNNNNNNNNNNNNNNNNNNNNNNNNNNNNNNNNNNNNNNNNNNNNNNNNNNNNNNNNNNNNNNNNNNNNNNNNNNNNNNNNNNNNNNNNNNNNNNNNNNNNNNNNNNNNNNNNNNNNNNNNNNNNNNNNNNNNNNNNNNNNNNNNNNNNNNNNNNNNNNNNNNNNNNNNNNNNNNNNNNNNNNNNNNNNNNNNNNNNNNNNNNNNNNNNNNNNNNNNNNNNNNNNNNNNNNNNNNNNNNNNNNNNNNNNNNNNNNNNNNNNNNNNNNNNNNNNNNNNNNNNNNNNNNNNNNNNNNNNNNNNNNNNNNNNNNNNNNNNNNNNNNNNNNNNNNNNNNNNNNNNNNNNNNNNNNNNNNNNNNNNNNNNNNNNNNNNNNNNNNNNNNNNNNNNNNNNNNNNNNNNNNNNNNNNNNNNNNNNNNNNNNNNNNNNNNNNNNNNNNNNNNNNNNNNNNNNNNNNNNNNNNNNNNNNNNNNNNNNNNNNNNNNNNNNNNNNNNNNNNNNNNNNNNNNNNNNNNNNNNNNNNNNNNNNNNNNNNNNNNNNNNNNNNNNNNNNNNNNNNNNNNNNNNNNNNNNNNNNNNNNNNNNNNNNNNNNNNNNNNNNNNNNNNNNNNNNNNNNNNNNNNNNNNNNNNNNNNNNNNNNNNNNNNNNNNNNNNNNNNNNNNNNNNNNNNNNNNNNNNNNNNNNNNNNNNNNNNNNNNNNNNNNNNNNNNNNNNNNNNNNNNNNNNNNNNNNNNNNNNNNNNNNNNNNNNNNNNNNNNNNNNNNNNNNNNNNNNNNNNNNNNNNNNNNNNNNNNNNNNNNNNNNNNNNNNNNNNNNNNNNNNNNNNNNNNNNNNNNNNNNNNNNNNNNNNNNNNNNNNNNNNNNNNNNNNNNNNNNNNNNNNNNNNNNNNNNNNNNNNNNNNNNNNNNNNNNNNNNNNNNNNNNNNNNNNNNNNNNNNNNNNNNNNNNNNNNNNNNNNNNNNNNNNNNNNNNNNNNNNNNNNNNNNNNNNNNNNNNNNNNNNNNNNNNNNNNNNNNNNNNNNNNNNNNNNNNNNNNNNNNNNNNNNNNNNNNNNNNNNNNNNNNNNNNNNNNNNNNNNNNNNNNNNNNNNNNNNNNNNNNNNNNNNNNNNNNNNNNNNNNNNNNNNNNNNNNNNNNNNNNNNNNNNNNNNNNNNNNNNNNNNNNNNNNNNNNNNNNNNNNNNNNNNNNNNNNNNNNNNNNNNNNNNNNNNNNNNNNNNNNNNNNNNNNNNNNNNNNNNNNNNNNNNNNNNNNNNNNNNNNNNNNNNNNNNNNNNNNNNNNNNNNNNNNNNNNNNNNNNNNNNNNNNNNNNNNNNNNNNNNNNNNNNNNNNNNNNNNNNNNNNNNNNNNNNNNNNNNNNNNNNNNNNNNNNNNNNNNNNNNNNNNNNNNNNNNNNNNNNNNNNNNNNNNNNNNNNNNNNNNNNNNNNNNNNNNNNNNNNNNNNNNNNNNNNNNNNNNNNNNNNNNNNNNNNNNNNNNNNNNNNNNNNNNNNNNNNNNNNNNNNNNNNNNNNNNNNNNNNNNNNNNNNNNNNNNNNNNNNNNNNNNNNNNNNNNNNNNNNNNNNNNNNNNNNNNNNNNNNNNNNNNNNNNNNNNNNNNNNNNNNNNNNNNNNNNNNNNNNNNNNNNNNNNNNNNNNNNNNNNNNNNNNNNNNNNNNNNNNNNNNNNNNNNNNNNNNNNNNNNNNNNNNNNNNNNNNNNNNNNNNNNNNNNNNNNNNNNNNNNNNNNNNNNNNNNNNNNNNNNNNNNNNNNNNNNNNNNNNNNNNNNNNNNNNNNNNNNNUUGAUUCUGAAAAGAGUUUGGAUAGAGGUGAAAACAGAGACUCUGGAUACUGUGAGAUAGCGUCUGUGGAAACACGGCUAGUUCUCUAGAAUGAGAAAUGCAACCUUAAUUGAAAAGCCUUUUGCGGAAGCAGUUGUGGACCCAAAUGAUUUCAAAAACAUUUUUAAUCUUUACUUGAUUCAGAAGAUUGAUUAAGUACAUGCAAAGCAUCUAUAAGAGCAUACUGGAGGGAAAACCUGUUUAUUCCACUUGAUUACUGUAAGUUAUUUACUUAUUUUUACAUGCUUAUGCUUUAAUUAUCUUUAAUGAACAAUUCACAAGCAUCCACUUCUAUUGUUAAUAAUGAUAAUAAUCUCAUUUUAUUUUUAGAUGAAGAAGAUGUUUCUUUUCUGCUUAAAUUAGAUGUAAAAUCUGAUGUUAUAUUCCCUAUUGGUAAAGAAAAGAUUGAAGAAAUAUAUAGAGAUAUAGAUUAUAGUUGUAAGAAUGAUAUAGGUUUUGAUCCUGUAAGAACUCAUAAAGAAAUAAGGAAAGUAGAAGAUAUUAUAAUUAAACAUACGGAUAUCCAAGAAGAAAUUUCAGUAGGAUUAUUUAAUGGAUAUAUAACUAAGAAAGGUCAACCUAUAAUCUUUGAAGAAUUAUUAAAAUAUAAAGAAUAUUUAAAGGUGUUCAAAAGAUUGAAAAAUAUAGAUAUAGGACCUGAUUGACAAUUCCUUAAAGAUAUAAGAUAAAUCUUGCAAAUAAUUUCAUUAAGGGCAAUAUAGUACUUUUAAUAAGAAAGGCUAUUAUGAAAAAUAGGAAGAAUCUACCAGCCAUCUUCAAAGUUGUCCCUAAUUUUUAUGGUACACCUUUUACUAUUUCUCUAUCAAUCGGAGAGAAUUUUUUUAUUAAUCAUGAACCCACUUGGCUUGAGAAAGAAGACCUUUUCCAAGCACAAAAUUAGAAACAUACAACUAUGACUACCUCUAGAUUUUUACUCUUGAAAAUACAUCUCACGUCCAACAACGAAGAGGAAAAAAUUCACUAAAUUAUGUCUAUAUUUAGAUGGAAAUAUCACAUAAAUGAACAGUUGUAACCGUACAAAUUUGAAGGCUAAUGUGAUGUGCAAAUGUAUCAUAAUUUCAAGUACAUUGGACCCCGAUUCACUGAGUACCGAGGUUUGAUCAAAUUGUGCCAACUGUGGUUUUGGCGUCUAAUUUUGCUUAUGCUUUAUUUAUGGCUUAUUUUGAACUCCAAAGCACUCAGACCAAAUGGAAUGUUACGGCUCUCAAACCAUGUUAACCUAAAUUACCAAAGUAAACCUUCACACGUCUAGCAAAAUAUCAAAAGUACCAUUCAUUGUGAAUUAUUAUUUCCCACUAAUACUUUGUAUCCCAACAAAUAAACGAUUUUCAUCAAACUCCAUUGCCAACCAAACAAAAGUUGUAUUGAAUGCAGAAAAUAAACAAAUAUGUCCCUCCCUGCUAUGACUCAGCAUUUCAACUUAUGCCAAUCUCCCUGCCAACUUAUCUAGCUGCAUAAAAGAAAUAGGAAGUCACAAGUAUCAAUUUCUCCAGUUUUCCAACAAGAUGAGUAAAAAUAAGGGGCAUAUCGAAACUGAGGAAGUCAAAGAAAAGAGUAGAAGCGAGCCAGGUGAUCUAGCUGUUCUGUUUCUCAGCUUCUCUUGCCCUGGCUUGUUCAACCCGCACCUCUGUCUCGAAUAGCCUAUCCCCCAUAUUCUCAUUUGUCACUGCAUUCUCAUUGUCGACGGGUUGGGUCCAAGCCUGGAUUUUAGAUGUUUCAUUUCUCAAGAGCAAUCGAUUGCGGCCGUAGCUCAUGGUUUUCGAGCAUUUUAGUAGGCAACUGGUUGGCAAAAAAAUCCUAUAACCUCCUGCAUCUUCAUAGAAAUGAUAUGAGCAUGUAUUGAGCAUCUUUAAGAGGCUCUCUAUUUUUUAAAGAGUAUUAUAUAAUUUAUAAAGCAUCUAUAACUUUAAAGAAUAACAAUUUAUAGCUAAAUUCAUAAGGAAUCUUCUCUAGUUUUUUGCAAAAUCUCAACACCAGUCGUUCAAGUACAUGGAAAUGAUCAUUUAGGGAAUCUCAUUGUCCAAGAUCUGACACAAUAAUUCAAGGAAUUUGAGCUUUUGGAGCUCAUUAUCCUUUGUGUUCCAGGUUAUCCCUCAAAGACAUCCAACUCUAAUUUCAGAAUCUUAAAGUUUGGCGCCUUAAUGUUGCCCCAAUAAUCAAAAUAUUUGUGUGGAGAAGUUGUAACUUCACAUUAAUUUACUUACAAUAAAGAAGUUGUAACUUCACGUCAACUACAAAGAAAAUAAUUGCGAACAAGAAAAACAACUAACAAUUGACAUGGAGCCCAAAAUUAUUUUCUAAUCAUGAGGUGUGGGAUGUAAAGGAAUCUCUUGCAAGGAAAUUAAAAAAUUUUGAAAAUGAAUAAUAAAAAUAUUUAUUUCAGGAACAAAGAAAAUGAUGGGAUGAGCUUUGACUUACAAUCAAAAGCUACUGAUGGUUACAUCAAUCUCUGUAUUACCAUAAUCCUGUUGUUCUUGACGAAUUUCCAGAGCUGAAGCUUUGACAUUUUUGCCACAAUAAGUUACCUCAAUCUUCUCUAGUGUUGGAAUGUUACUAAACUCAGAAGGAAUCUUCUCCAGACCUUCGCAUUUUUGCAACACCAAUCGUCCAAGUACAGGAAAAUGAUCGUGUGACGAAUUCCACUGUUUAAGGUCUAGCGAAUCUAACUUAAGGAAUUUGAGUUUUUGGAACUCAUCAUCAUUGGUGUCCCAAAUUUUUCCUAUAAAGGCAUUGUAUCCUAAUUUCAGAAUCUCGAGUUUGGGCAAUAUCCCAAUUAAUGACAUCUUUUCCCAAGGCAAACAAAUUUCAGAAAGAGUAAGCUUUUUGAUAUUCAUAGGAAAUUUAACCACCGAGUAAUCACCUUCGAAUGCAUAUUUUGAAAUUGUGAGUGAUUGAAGCUGAGAAAGAAAGUUGAGAUCAGGAAAGUAAUUGCCUGGUGGUGAUACGCAUUUAAGUGUACGAAGAUUAGGUGAACAUCUAAAGAUUUCUUCAUCUUCCGAAUCGACAAUCCGAAUGUAACAAAGGGACUGUAGGCAAUUUAUUCGGAAGCCAUCACUAUUCUUAGUGAAUCUUACACCAUCAUACUUGCCACCGACACGUAGAUGUCUCAACUUAGGCAUAUUGAGAAGGUAUGUUGGUACUUCAUUUAAGUAAUGCAAACAAAGAUAUUCAAGGUUAUGGAGUUUGCCUAUUGAUGGCUCUAAUUCUGAAAAUUCCAAGUACCUCAAGUCAGGCAUAAUUUUGAAUCCCAGUCGAACAAUGUCAUCAUUGCUUGAAUCCAAGAUCCUAAUUUUUUCCAAAUUAUAAACAAUGGAGAAGGCAUCGGAAAUAUUCUCAGAUACCCAGACGUGAUGAAAACUACCCAUAUACAAGCGAUGGAGAUGGUGAUGCUUAGAUAUCAAGAAUCGACUAGAGAUGUAGAAUAAGAAGAACAUCGAGGAUCAUCAUCAGUAUAACCACAUCAACCAGCAUCAGGGAUAGCAGCAUCAUUGACAUAAGUACGACAAAUUAGUAGGAAAAAUUGGAAAAGUGAAGUAAAACAAGAAGGAAUUAGAAAGAGAGCGAGUUAACUUACUGUUGAAAUUGAAAAUUUUCAUCUUCUUCAACCAUUUUGCUGCACAUAUCGAGUACUAGAUCGUGAAGAGUACAUACUUUUACUCCAUUGUCAGAUCUUCGUUGGACAACUUGCAGCAGGCUCCUGUUAAUCAGUUCCAUUAGAUAUUCCUCUGCUACAUCUUCUAAGGUCUUUUGCUCCCUUUUCUCUAUCAGUCCUUCGGCUAUCCAUAGUAAUAAUAGCUUCCGAACUGGAAUCUUCUCGUCCUCCUGGAAUGCACUAAGAUAGAGGAAACAUGGCUUCAAGUGUUUUGGUAAAUGGUUGUAGCUAAGUUUCAGUGUGGGAAUGUAGUCGUCGGCUUUUUGGAAAAUGUAAUCACUUAAACUUUUAGCGACGUGUUGCCAUGAGUUUUCUUUUUUCUCCAUAUUUGAAAGAAUUCCAGCUAUCAAAUGUACUGAAAGUGGUAAUCCCUUACAAUUUGCUGCAAUUUGCUUUCCAAUAUCUUGCAGCUCUUGAGGACAACAUUCUUUUUUGAACACCUUCUGCUCUAAUAAAUUCCAACUUUCGUCUGGGAACAGAGGAGAAGGUUCAACGACAACAUGAGAAAUUUCCAAUGCCACAUUUUUCAGCCGACUGGUAAACAUUACUCUGCUUCCAUUGCUAUCAUCUGGAAAUAACCUUUUCAAAUCAUCCCAUGCUUCUUUCUCCCAUAGAUCAUCCACAACAAUGAGGUAUCUUCUACCCUUCAAACUUUUGUAAAGAAGUCCCUCCAACUCUUCAUCUUUUUUUUCUGAAAUGUCGUCUCCGUUAAGGUUACUUACAGAACUCAAAAUAUCAGUCAACAGCUUUCUUCUUUUAUAAAUUUGAGAAACAACACACCAAGAAAACUUAUGAAAAUUGGACCGAACUAUGGAGUCAUUGUAUACUUUCUUUGCUAAUGUUGUCUUGCCAAGUCCACCCAUUCCAACGAUGGAAAUAAUCUGGCGGUAGUUUGGUCCUCCAACAAGCUUGCUCACAAUUUGUGUUGUCGUGUCCUCUAAGCCCACAACGAUCUCUUCUACCAUGGGACUGCUGUUAUCUUGGGAUGAUGAUACUUCACUUGGACUUCCUGCAACUUGUAGGCUUCCAACAACUUCACUUGACACUGCAAUACUGUAAUAUUUAAUCUUCACUAGCACAAUCUCAAUCCUUUCUAACAGACCAGAAAUUGCAAGAUCCACUUUGGUGGUGGUAACAAGAUCUGUGGUGAAAAAGAAUGAAUGCAAGAAAAGUCCUGCUUCAUUAAAUACAGCUUCAAUUUCUGUGAAUAUACUCUUCAUCUGUUCUUCAUCAUAGCUUGGAAUUGGAUAAAAAAUAAAGGUGAGCAGAAAUUUCAACCCCUUCUGAAGAAAUUCGAGUUGAUUACUCACAAGAACGGUGGAAUCCUUAUGGCAACUAAGCAACUCUCGAAUAGUUUCAAAAAGAAACUCGAUGAAGAUUUCCCAAUGUUUAUUUACUUUGAAAUUAUUUGUGAUGGAUGUUUGAAUCGUGAAAAACUCGUUAAGCUUUGGCAUGGAAGUGAGAACGAUUUGUAAAAAGAUUUUGUAAUGUUCAUUAUCGUGAUGAGAAAAGAUCUCUUCGUAUAAGAUGCAAUCGAAGGCUGAAUCAUCGAGACGCUUCAACAGACAAUAUGGAUUGUGCAUAGUAAAUGGUCUGCAGCAGUCUGGAUAGAAGCAUCGCAAUAAUUCUUUAACAUAUUUGAGAAAAGUUAGAAAGUGUGGGCCGAGCCAUUGAAAGCUAACAUUUUUUUCUCCUCCAUCAAGCCUUAAAGGUAGCAAACGAGAAAGGAGAUCUGGGAUUUUGACUAGACGAGACAGAUUUUCGUAAGAGAGAUCCUCCAUAUUUGAUUCAGACGGAAACAAAGUGAGAUCCUCCAUUUUUGGUUUGGGAAAAAGGUCGAGCAAAGAGAGACCCUCCAUAUUUGGUUUGGGCAAUUGGCUGAGCAAAGAGAGAAUAAUGAGAGUGAAUUUGUUUCAAGUUUUUCAAAAAAUAAAAGGCAAAGGUUGAACAUAUCAGCAAAAACAAACGAAGAAAAAGCUCCGCUCUCUCUCUCUCUCUCUCUCUCUCUCACAUAAUUUCAUUUGCCUUCAUGUCAACAAAGCAAAUGUUGAAAAUUUCAGCAAAAGCUAAAAAUCAUUGCUUUUUUCGAGGAAAAAAAUAUUUAUCCACCUCAACAAUGCAUCUGUCCUUGCUUUAAUAAUGGCUUUAAGAUAAUGCACAAGAGAUAAGUAUAAAAUCCUAAGCAAGAUGUUUGCCAAAUUUUACUUUGCAAUUCAAAUGGGCAUUUUCUUUUGGAAUUCGAAUCAUACACAACUAAUAACUAUCUGAUUACAUUUGUAUAUAUUCAACAUAAAUUUGCAUAUCAAAUAUUUGGAUAUUCAGACUUCCAAUAAUUAACCGAGUGACCAUAAACUUAAAUUUGAACACUUUAGUGCUACAUAUACUACAUUUGAUUAUACAAAUAUUAUAGUUGAAAUAUAUUUAUAUUUUAUUUUGAAAAAGACCUUGUUACACCAUUAUCAGUUUCCAAAAUUUACUUUUUUUAAUAAUUCAUCUUUGCUUAGACCAAUUGGCCGUAUACGCAAUUAGAUAUAUAUAAUGUACAUUAACAGAGGGGCGGAGGUGCCCCAAAGUAAUUUUGAAAAUUCAAUACUUUGUUCGAUUUUUUUUUUUCAAAAUUUUCAAAGAAGUCCUUGUAGUUUUCAAUUUUUGCCACCACAACUAUUUUUUUUUUCUUUUUGCCCCCACAAAUCUUAUCUUCUAGCUCCGCCCAUGCUAAUUGCAAAAUAAAUUUAAAAUGCACUUGGUGAAAAUUAAUUUUCUCAAUCAUUUCGUGGCCAUCCAAAGAAGAAAUAAAAUAUAGAAUUUUUUUCCGAUUUAAUGCAAAAUUCAGUCAUCACAUUCUCGGACAUCUCGAGCAGAAUAUGCAAACAAGAGAUUAAGGAUGGAUAUGACAAAAUUUCAGCUUCUAAAAGUUUCAAUAACAUCACAAAUAAUUCUGAAAUGUUAGUGAUUUAAGUAGAAAUAGAGUUUAAAUAGAAGUAGGAAAUUUUUAAAAUUAAAAUUUCAAAUUUUUAACUUCAAUAGGCCAAUUGUUUGGUGCUUCUCUGAUGUUGCUCGUGCUUUGUUUGGUGCUGAUUUUGAACUCUAAAGCUCACUAACCAAUUGAAAGACAAAUAAAGUCAUGGACCUUAAAUCAUGUUCGCCUAAAUUACCAAAGUAUCCCCUCAAGUCUUGUAAACUAUAAAAGUGUCAUUCCUUUUUAUUGUCCCCUUGUAUGUUGCAUCCCAAUAAAACAACAUUUUUUCAUCCAACUCCAUCAAUAAAUAUUCAGCGGAGAGAUUAUUGAGUUGCUUAUCUAAGAGGUUAGGACAUCUGAUUGUUUUUUAAGUUUACGAGCUUUAAUUUUCUCAUAUGCCUUUAAUGAAAUUAAUGUCUUACAUACAGGGACGAACCCACAUGGGGUCGUGUGGGAUCAAAUGACCCCACAAAAUUUUUCCUUUUUUUUUUAUAGUAUACUUUGAUGCAUUUGUCGGGAUGUCAAAUGAAGUCAAAAUAUUGCAUUCUUAAUGCCAUUUCGAAGUGUUCAUGGCCUAAUUUUUCACUCAUUAAUGGCAUUCGAAGUGGUCAACUAUAACAAAAGUUAUAACAUGUUAAAAGGGGUACUUUUAAGAAUAGGCAGGUCAAAUGACCACUUCACCACUUUAAUCCAAAAUUUUUGCCAAUCUUCACAAUAGCCUUUUCUAGGUUAAAAGACAAAAAUAACCUUAAGUUGUUUAUAAAAUUACAAUGGCAUAAUUUUGUUUUAAAAGACAAAUAUAUCCUUAAGUUAUAAAUUAAAAAAUCAAACACUUUUUAUUUCUUAAUAUUUAACUACUUUAUUUAAUUAUUUUUUUAAAACACCUACUUCAAUAAAAAAUAAUAAUAUUUAAUUUAAUUACUUCUUAAAAUAUUCACAAAACUUCAAUAAAAAAAUUAAUAUUUAACUUAAUUUCUUCUUAAAAUAUUCAGAAAAAUAAAUAAAAAUGAAAUCGAAAAAUUAUUCCGGGCAGUUCGGAUCCGGACUCGUGUGGUCCGUAACGGACCAUGGUCCGGACCCGGACCGUCAGGGUCCGGGCGGGCCGGCCCAUUUAUUUAUUUAUUUAUUUUUUUAAGAGAACAAAAUUUAAAUCUUAUAAUUUAAAAAAAAAAUUCUAAUAUAAUUCGUUUCCCAUAAUUUAUUUUUCAUUUUUUUCUUCUUUUAAUUUUUUGCUCAUUCAUAUAUGUAUUUUUUUCUUGAAUUUAAUUUAUUUUUCAUUAAUUUAAUUCAAUUUAUGUAUUAUUUAAUUUUUAUUUACUCUUUUUAAUGUGCGAGUAAAUGAUAUUAUUUCUUACGUACAAAUGCAUGUAAUUUGAUUUGCUAAAUUUUAAAAUAUAAUAAAUGUUGAUAAUUUCUUAUAAAUAUUUUUAACGUGUAUUAUUUUUGCAGAAUAGAGUACCACUUAGACAAUAUCAUGAUAGCUCAUUUUGGGAAAAGUUACGUUGUAUCGGUAUUGGAAGGACUCAAUGAGGAACAUAUAGUCAUACUCCGUCGAUCAUUCCUAUGGUCCGUCUAUCCGUUGAAGGGCAUGUAAUUUUUCGCCCAGAUUAUUGAUUCCUUAUUAUUUUGGCUUCGAAAGCCAGUCGAUCGACCUUUGAAUAUAACUAUGACUAAAUAAUUAAUUAAAUAAACAAAAUAAUCAAUGAAAUAUUUAAAGAAGAAAUUAAAUUAAACAUUAAUUUUUGAUUUCAGUAAGUCUUUAAAAUAAAUAAUUAAAUAAAGUAAUUAUGAUCAUGUCUGAUUACGAUCCUAUAAGCAAAUUAGAAGACUGUACUCAAUCCAACAUGUGAACUCUCACCAGACUCAUAUCUCUAUCUGAUUACGAUCAUGUGAACAAUUUUUUAUAACAAUUAUCUCAAGAAUAAUGUUUAGAUAUGAAAGAUUGAUAGGGUUUCGGCUUACUGGGAAUUAGAACUAAUACAUUUUCUAGCUAUUUUAUGAAAGUAAAAUGUAGUAUUACUAGUUAUGUAACUUUAACAUUUCCACACAAUCAAUACGUUCUGUCUUUCGUUCUUUUCAAACCACAAAUAAGUUCAUUAAUUAUUUAGGCAUACAAGCAGUCAUUUUUCUAUAUAAACCACAACCCAUAAGUAAAUAAUAUAUUUAAAAACAACAAAUAAAAGAAAGAACAACGAAAACAUUAAUUUUAUUAAAAAGUUCACAACACAUGUCCUCACCCGAUAUCUAAACUAAACUAAACUAAAAUUAUUCCAAAAUUAUAUGAAAUGAAAAAAAAUAUGUAUUUUCAACAAUCCAAAAUCAUAAUUCAACAAACUAUAUCAACAAAUCACGUCUAAAGUUUCAGAACCCUCGACAUAAACUUUCAUUUUCUUAACAUUUGACGCUUGUCUGCCAUUCUGAAUGAAUUAUCAGUCGUUUUUGCGUGUUAGUCUGCUAAUUUACCUGAAUUGCCUCUUUCUCUCUUUUCUUUCGGCAAGUCUCAAGAUCCCAUUCAAGUCAUUUUUCUGUUGUUCUUUCUUUUAUUUGUUGUUUUAAAUUUAAUAUACACUUAUAAGUUGUAGUUUGGAUAGAAAAAUGACUGCUUGUAUACCUAAAUGAUUAAUGAACUUAUUUGUAGUUUGAAAAGAAUGAAAGACGGAGCAUGUUAAAAUGUUAAAGUUCCAUAACUAGUACUACUACCUUCUACUUUCAUAAAAUAUUUGGAGAAUGAAAUUUAUUAGUUCCGAAUAAGUCGAAAUUCUAUCAAUCUUUUUACAUCUAAACAUUAUUUUCGAGAUAGGUGCUAUUCACCAUGGUUUCAUUGUUACACACAGAAUUUGUUCACAGGAUCGUAAUCAGAUGAAGACAUGAGUCUGGUGAGAGUUCACAGGCUGGAUCGAGUACACGAUCUUUUAAUUUGUUCAUAGGAUCGUAAUCAAACAGGAUCAUAAUUACUUUAUUUAAUUAUAUAUUUUAAAGACUUACUGAAAUAAAAAAUUAAUAUUUAAUUUAAUUUUUUCUUUAAAUAUUUCAUUAAUUAAUUUUUUUAAUUGGUUAUGUAUAUUGUUUAGGAAAGCUGCAGAAGCUCAUAGCUUUGGAGAGUUUGAUAAGUUCAUGAGCGAAAUAGAACAUAAAUCACACUGGUGCAUGAGAAUAUCUAACAAAUAUGGAAGUCGAACAUUGCAUGGUAACAUUUUUCAGGAUUUCGAUACAACAUGAUGACGUUGAACAAUGUGGAGUCACUCAAUACAUUAUUCAAUAAUGCUGAAACUAUAUUUCCUCUACCAAAUGAAGUCGAGUGAGAAGUUCCGAUUACAUUGUGAUUGUAGCACUUAGUAAUUUGUUGCCACCCGAAGUUCAACCGCGUACUCCUGGAUAUAGACAUAAGUUUAGAAAAUCAUGUAUCGAAAAGUUUCCCCGAUCGAGUAGGUACUUAAAUGAAAAUUGACUUGAUAGAUUUGUAAUAUUUAUCUAAACGUAUGGUUUUUAUUUCCAAAGACUGCACAAAUCGAACCUAAUGGCCUUUAAAUUUUGUAACUAAAGCUUUCAUUUCUCUAAAUCAUAAUUACUAAAAUAAAUCAUAAAACUUUUCUCGAAAUAAACUUUCAUUUCCCUAAAUCACAAUUACUUUAAUUUAUUCUUUUAAGCAUUUUAUUAAUUAAGAAGAAUCUAGAGUUUCCAAUUCGAAUAGAUGAUAUAGCAAUGUCUUGGUUUUUCAAUGCAGAGUCGCUCAAUGCUUUAUUUAAGAAGGAUCUAGAUACCAAUUCUCACAACGAUUGAGAAAAUUCGUAACAAAUUACUACAGUGGUUUCAUGAUUGACGUGAGAAAUCACAAAGUUGAUUAUUGUUUAAUAUUUAUUUACUUUAUUUGAUUACUUAUUUUAAUUGUUUAUUUAACAUUUGAUUUCAUUUUUAUUUAAAUAUUUCAUUAAUUAUUUCAAUCGAUUAUGUAUAUUAUUUAUUAUGUUUUUAUUUUAAUUACUUGUUUUAUUUGUUUAUUUAAUAUUUAUUUGCUUUAUUUAGUUAUUUAUUUUAAUUGAUUGUGUAUAUUAUUUAUUUAUUUUAAUUACUUAUUUUAAUUGAUUUUGUUUAUUAUUCUUUAUUUAAUUAUUACUUUAAUUACUUAUUUAAAUUAAAAAAUUAAUAUUUAAUUUAAAUAAUUUCUUCCUUACUUUGUUGUGUAUAUUUUUUAUUUAAAAUUUAAUUACUUUAUGUAAUUAUUUAUUUAAUCACUUAUUUAAAUAAAAAUUUCAUAUUUUGUAUAUAAUAUUAAUUGGUUCUGUAUAUUAUGUAUUUAAUAUUUCAUUACAUUAAUUAAUUAUUUAAUAUCUCGUUUAAAUAUUAUUUUUAGUUACAUUAAUUGGUUAUGUAUAUUUAAUCUUUAUUACCUUAUUUUCUUUAUUUCAUUUUUCAUUACCUUAUUUAAUUAUUAUUUUGAUCAUUUAUUUAAAUAAAAACUAAUAUUUAAUUUAAUGUCUCGUUUAAAUAUUUUUUAUUUACCUUAAUUGGUUAUGUACAUUAUUUAUUUAAUAUUUUAUUACUUUAUUUAAAUAAAAAUUAAUAUUUCAUUUGAUUUCUCAUUUAAGUAUUUCAUUAAUUAAUUAUCUUAAUUGGUUAUGUAUAUUGUUUAUUUAUUAUUUCAUUACUUUAUUUAAUUAUUACUUUAAUAACUUAUAAAAAUUUCAUAUUAUGUAUUUAAUAUUAAUUGGUUCUGUAUAUUAUUAUUUAAUAUUUCAUUAGAUUAUUUAAUUAUUUAAUAUCUUUAAUUUUUUAUGUAUAUUAUUUAUUUAAUAUUUAAUUACUUUAUGUAAUUAUUUAUUUAAUUGCUUGUUUAAAUAAAAAAAAUUAGUAUUUUAUUUGAUUUCUUAUUUAGAUAUUUCAUUAAUUAAUUAUCGUAAUUGGUUGUGUAUAUAAUUAUUUAUUUUAAACACUUACUCAAAUAAAAAACUAAUAUUUAAUUUACUUUCUUCUUUAAAUAUUUCAUUAAUUAACAAUCUUAAUUGGAUAUUUUAGUCAUUACCUUAUUUGAUUUCUCGUUUAAAUAUUAUUUCAUAUUUCAUUACCUUAUUUAAUUAUUAUUUUAAUCAUUUACUUAAAUAAAAAUUAAUAUUUAAUUUAAUUUCUCGUUGAAAUAUUUUUUAGUUACCUUAAUUGGUUAUGCAUACUUAAUUACUUUAUUUAUUUAAUCACUUGUUUAAAUAAAAAAAUUAUAUUUAAUUUAAUUUCGUAUUUAAAUAUUUCAUUAAUUAAUAAUCUUAAUUAAUUAAUAAUCUUAACCGUAAUUACAAAAGAAAUUAAAUGUACAAUACUGAUACAAAAUAUACAUUUAUUUCGUAAUUACAAAAGAAAUUAAAUGUACAAUCUUACAAAAUGAGAUUCACAGUUAUUUUAAUUGUUUAUUUAAUUAUUUAUUUUAAUUGCUUGUGUAUAUUAUUUAUUUAAUAUUUAUUUAUUUUGAAUUAAUUAUUUAUUUACUUUAUUCAGUCAUAGUUGUAUUCAAAGGUCGACCGACAUCGUCUGACUUUUGAAGCCAAAGUAAUAAGAAAUCAAUAAUCUGACUGAAAAAUUGCAUGUCCUUCUACGGAUUGAAGGACCAUAGGAAUUAUUAACGGAGUAUGGCUAUAUGUUCCUCAUUGAGUCCCUCCAAUUCCGAUACAACGUAACUUUUCCCAAAAUGAGCUCUCAUGAUAUUGUUUAGGUGGGACUCCAUUCUGCAAAAUUAGUACAUGUUAAAAAUAUUUAUAAGAAAUUAUUAGCAUUUAUCAUAUUUUAAAAUUUAACAAAUCAAAUUACAUGCAUUAGUACGUAAAAAAUAAAAUCAUUUCCUCGCACAUUAAAAAAAGUAAAUAAAAAUUAAAUAAUACAUAAAUAGAAUUAAAUUAAAGCAAAAAAAUUAAUAGAAAAAUAUGAAAAUGAAAAAUAAAUUAUUGAAAAAAAAUUAAACUAAAAAUUCUAAAAAAAAAUUAUAAGAUUCUUGAUUUUGUUUCAAAAAAAAAAAAAAAAAAAAGCAGGUCGGCCCGGCCCGCUGGACCUUGACGGUUCGGACCAUGUGAAGGUCCGUUACGGACUGUAUGAUGGUCCGGAUCCAGACGCUCCAGACCCGGUUCGACGAGAACUCACCGCUCGUUGGAAAACUCCAUUUCCGACGAAUUUCAAUCAUUUUUUUCAUUUUCUGAGUCAUUUCAACCUCAAAUUCGAUAUUUUCUUCAAUUUUAAGUAUAAAUAAACUUCAAAAUUUGUUUUUAAUUCAUAAUAUAUUCAAUAAACAAAAUUUCAAAUUUCAAACAUUAAUAGCAACAAAAAAUAUUUCAAUGAAGAAUAAGAAAAAAACUAAACCCUCUGAAAAAUGACGAUCUCCGGCGAUGCUCCGAUCUAGGUCCUUCGAUGUCAGUAAUGAGAUUUUAAUUUUUCAUUUUUUUCUCUUCUUUUCCUCUUCUCUUCUCUCUCUCUCUCUCUCUCUCUCUCUCUCUCUCUCUCUCUUUAUUAUUUGAGGGUAUUCUUGACUAUUUGGCUUUUGUUUGCAUUUUCAGCAUUUGUUUUUUUUUUUUUUAAUUUUUGGUCAAAGGAUGUUUUGAAAAAAUGGCCGGGUCAACCGGCCGUUGGCCAUUAUUUCCUCCAUGUUAAAGUAGGGCGUUUAAAACUAGUAUUUUGAGAAUUUCAAUAAUAUCCUAACUUUAAAAAUUCGUUUGCAAUCAUGUGCUAUCUGAAUCUACAAAUCGUCUAUGCCAUGUAAAAGUUUGUUUCGAAAACUACAUCGUUUUCAUAUCGAAUGGUCCAAACGGAUAUCGAAAAUAGUUAAAUAUGUAUCAAACGUAUGCCUCAAAAAAGGCGUCUAACUCGUUUUUCUGUUAAAAAAUUCAAUUAAUUAUUAUUUUUGCACGAUAAAUUUUUCAAUAUAAUUUAUAUUGUUUCAUUCGGAAGUCUUAUAUGAAAUAUGACGUAAAUUUUUUAGGAUCGUUAAGGAUUAAAUGCAAUUUGAAUUACUUUCGAAUUAUAUUUGCUUUAAAUUUGAAUUUCAUUUAUUUCCUGAACUAAACUUGAAUUUUAUUUCAAUUCAUUUAAUUUAUUCAAUGUUAGUUCAGCAUUUACCAAUGAAAUGAUAAAUAAAACUAUACAAGUAACAAAAUUUAUUUAGUAAUAUUAAUAAUAAUGUAAUUAUACGACGUUUUCAAAGUGUCAAAAUACAUAUAAACUUAUUUUCAUUAUUAAAAAGAUUAUUUUUAAAAUUUUGACCCCACAAUAGUAAAGGUUUGGAUCCACCCCUGCUUACAUACUUGUCUAAGUUAAGUUUGGAUCAUUGAUACUUGAACUAUGAGGUUCAUUGGAUCUUCUAGUAGAUACAUAAUUUAAAUAAAAGUACGACAAUUUUCCUACUUGGGGCUAUUCAUAGGGAUUGAAUUGGAUGACAACUGACUACAGUUUCAGACAUUUGGGAGCUAUUUAUAUACUGAGCUUGGAUUUCAGACAAGGGAAAUCAAUUGCCGCCGAAGGACAUGGUUUUUGACGUUUUGUUGGUGUCAUAUGCUAAUUUGCUGAGAGCCGUAGUUAUCGUAGGCCAUUGGUCGGGAAAAAGCCUAUAAACUGCCGAAGUUUCAAAACUAUGAAGUUGAAGUUUCAUUGAAAUUAAGUAUGUCUAGAUAUCUUACUUUUUUUUCCUUAUUUUUAAGUGAUGAAAGGCUUGUAUUUGGUUGGGAAAAAGCCUAUAAACUGCCAAAGUCUCAAAACUAUGAAGUUGCUUUUAAGUUUCAUUAAAAUUAAGUAUGUCUAGAUAUCUUACUUUUUUUCUUAUUUUUAAGUGAUGAAAGACUUGUAUUUUCUUUUUAAUUUACCAUCCUUAUUAUCUAACUGGAUGAAUCUAUUUUAUACUUCUUGUCGAGUGUAAUCGCCACGACAACGGUGCGUCUAGGUAUAGCAUUAAAAAUAUUGUUGGUCACGUGACUUGUAAAGUUGUUUGGGUUUGAUCAUUAGAAUUUCUUUUGCUCAAGCGAGGACAGAAAUUUCGAUUUUUAUAAUCAAUUUAGUUACUUUUUCAUGUUGAAUUAGAGAAAUUUUGUCAUGGCUAACCUAAUUGAUAACAUGGAUCGGAAAAUUUUGUUAGUGCAUUAUUCCUAUCUUCUAGGUAUGUAAAAUGCACAUUGUUGAAAAAGAAGUCUUUUAGAAUUUAUAGAGAAACAAAAAUUUUAAAAAUAAACUAUAAGAUUGCACAAUCAAUUCAGUGAUAACUAAACAAAAAGUAACAAGACCAAAAUCCCACUUCGAGUUUAAGUAAGAAGAAGAAGAAGAAGAAGAAGAAGAAGAUGAUGAUGAUGAUGAUCCUGCCAUAAAAUGCAAUGAAAAGAAUAAAUAUAUUGGUAUUAAGUUUUUAAUACAAAUCUGAUCGUUAGUUAUCUAAGAUUCUCUUGACCCCAGUGACGGAGCCAGGAAAUUUGUUCAGUGUAGGCAUAAUUUAACCCAUGUCGAAUAUUGUGUUUUGGUCAUGAAUUUAAUGAUGAUAAAACUAUAAAACAAAAUCAUGGAUUUGGGCCAAAAAAUAAAACCCAUGUAAAUUAAAACAUAUUUUUAUUCCACCUCCCCUAUUGCUAUAUAUAUAUAUAUAAAGAAAAAAAUGUUUGGGCCUAAAAUUUCAGUGUGGGCAUACCCAUGUAAAUUAAAAUAUAUUUUUAUUCCACCUCCCCUAUUGCUAUAUAUAUAUAAAGAAAAAAAAUGUUUGGGCCUAAAAUUUCAGUGCGGGCACUCGUCUCAACAUGGCUCCGCCAUUGCUUGACCCCCUUCGUGACCCCUCCCAUGAUGGCAUGCUCAUGGAACUUUAAUAAAUGCGUGGCAAAGAUACUUAAUUCCAAGACUAAUCUUAGCAUCUAUAUAGGAAAAUUAUUUCUUAUCUAAUGAUGUCGCAUUAUGUAGCUGUCGAUAUUAUCUUUGCAUCAUUUCAAAGUUGAAAGUAUUUGUUCCUUUACUAAUGGCUACGAGUAUGGUAUUAAUGCUUAUUUUCACUAUCACACCUUUAUCAUAUUAAAAAAUGUAUGGUUCUACUUUUCCUUUUACUAGUGCUAUAAAAAGCAAAGUUCUAAAGUUUGAUUCUCAACAUGUAAAUAAUUAAAUUUUAUUCUUUCCAAUGCUCAUUUUCUCUAUCACACCUUUAUCAUACUAUAAAAUGUAAGGUUCUACUUUUUCUUCUUCUAGUGCUAUGAAAAGCAAAUUUCUAAAGUUGGAUUCUCAAUAUGUAAAUAAUUACAUUUUAUUCUUUCCAAUAAUUUAUUUUUAUUUAUUGAAUAGUGAAUGCAAUAAGCAAAAACAGUCAAUGGGAUAGAUGAGAACGUUGAAGAUUUGUGAUUAUAGAUGUAUCAUUUGCAUAAAAUGUAAUUUCAAAAGAGGCAUACGCCUUUUUAGAAAUAAUUACACUAAAACAUGGUUGCUGGCGUUUUUGUUCUCCAUAAGUUGUACAUUAAUUUGUUAACAGCCUUGGUUAUCGUAUGCAACUUGCUCGGGAAAAACCCUAUAAACUUUGCAUUGUGAGUGUCGGUAAGACUGUCCGUUAAAAAUUUUCGGGGCACUGUAGUAGCUUGUUUGAGAAAAGCUAAAAAUUGUGCCCCAACAACUUUUUCUCUUCCAUUGACUGCCUUUAGAGUUUAGACCAUUGACUGACUCGGCAUGUUCUCACUUGAAGCUCACAUGCAUUUCUGUCUCUUCUGCCAAUAAAAUAUUAAUUAUUUGUUAGCAUUAAUGAUGUCCUUAACAAUGUUAAUAGAAUAAUCUCAUGCUUUUAAAGUACUAAUUUUUGUGGUACACCUUUUACUAUUUCUUCAUCAAUCGGAGAAAGAAUUUUUUUUUUUUUAUUAAUCAUGUACCCACUUGAUUAUUUAAUAUUGUUUUGGGUAUAAUCAAGAAACCUAGGUCAUUGUGUACAAUUAAGAAAAUGAGCUUUUCAAGAAAGUGGAGAGCAAAUGUAUAGGUCGGUGCGUUUUCAAGAAAAUCGGCAAUUCCAUAAUAAACUACAAAAAAGCACCGUUGUAAAAGCUCGUCUAGACAGUGCCUAGGCAUCCCUUAAGCUCGAAGCUCGGGUACAAUGUCUUGCUUCACGUCUAGAUGCAUUUUGCGGCUGAAUUUUUUUCCUUCAUUUCUUUUGUCUUUCGUAGACGCGUUUCAUUAGUUUUGUUAAUAGUCUUUUAUUUAACUUUAGCUUAUUAUUGUUUUAAAAAAAAAUCAUUUGACUUUAAUUUCAAGUAUUCAAAAGAUUUUAUCUAUACAAAAGUUAAAAAUGAUUUUAUCUAAAUAGUUAAAUAAGAUUUUAAGUUAUGGUGUUAUCUAUAUUAUGUAAUUAUGAUCUUGAGACUCAUUUUAUUACAAACUCUAAAAGCAUGUAUGAAGUUUCUAUAAAUAUAUUAAAUAAGACUUGUCUAGUUGAAAAUUAAAUAUAUAAAAAAUAUUCUAAUUUUUGCAUUUUGAAAAUUGUAUCAUUGACUAACAGUAGAAGUUGUUAAGUAAAUAUUAUAUUUUAUAAUUUUAGAUGUUUAAAAUGCAUUAUUUUAAUUAUUAAAUAAUUCUUAAAAUGAUUAAAAAUUUAAAAUAAUAUUAUAAAUAAAAAAUGCUUUUUACGUCUAAACGUCGCCUAGGCUCGUAAAGCUUGAAAUUUCAGCUCCAUGCCUAGCCAUGCUUUAUGCUUUUUGGAAUGCUACAAAAAAGUAAAGGUCGAAAAUAGGCAUAUUUAUUUUAUCUACUAGGAACAUAUCCAAAAGGAUUCAGCGUAACUAACAAUUUAGGGAGCAGAAAAAUUUUAAGUACUCCAAGAUGCUCUUUAUUUUUAUAACUUACUUUUAUUACUCCUAAAAAGUAUUUAUUAUUUUUUUAUCUAUAUUAUAUUUUCACUAACUUUUCUUCAAAUUAUUAUAUUAUUUUUGUACAUUGAGAAUUGAAAUAAUUUGAGUACAUUUAAAUUUUUGGAGCAAAAUUUUAAGAGUUGACUUUUUAAAAUAAAGAGAUUUUUGUGUUUAAAGAAUAUUUUGAAAAUGCUCUAAUGUUGGAGAAAGAUAGAGACGGUAGAAAAACCCACCCAUCUCGCCCCGACGCGUGAUUGAUGCUUCGAUAUGCUUAAAAAGGCAAGGGAAGUAGCAUUUAUUAGAAGAUAUUCUUUAAUUUAUAAAUAGAUAAAAUGAAUUGUGGACAAAUGAAUAAUACUUGUGAAUUUAAUUUGUACUUCUUGUCGAAUAGAAUUUCCAUGGCAACGGUGCGUCUUGGUAUAGGGUUAAAAAUAUUGUUGGUCACAUGACUUGUAAUGUUGUUUCAGUUUGUUUAUCAAACUUUCUUUUGUUCAAGUGAGGCACAGAAAUUUCAUUUUUAUAUCAAUUAAGUUACUUUUCCCAUGUUGAAUUAGAGAAAUUUAGUCAUGGCUAACCUGAUUGAGAACAUGGCAUGGAAAUUUUGUUAUUGCAUUAUUUCCGUAUUCUAGCUACAUAAAAUGCUCAUUGUUGAAAAAUUAGUCUUUUGAAAUUUUUAGAUAAACUAAAAUUUGAAAAAUAAAUUAUAAGAUAGCACAAUUGAUUCAGUGAUUGCAUGAUAAUGAAACAUAAACUAACAAGACCAAAAUCCCACUUGGACUUUAAAUAAUAAUAAUAAUAAUAAUAAUAAUAAUAAUAAUAAUAAUAAUAAUAAUAAUAAUAAUAAUAAUAAUAAGCAAAGAAAGAUCCUGUUAUAAAGUGCAAUGAAAGGAAUAAAUAUCUUGGUAUUAAGUUUUUAAUGCAGAUAUGAUCGUUAGUCCCUUACUCUUAUAGUAAAACUUUUGUUAGUAUACUAAGAGUAUUUAAGAUUUUCUUGAUCCACUCCCAUGAAAGCAUGCCCAUGGAACUUGAAUAAAUGCGUGGCAAAGAUACUUAAUUCCAUGAUUACGAAUAUUGAUCAAUAUACGGAAAUUAUUUCUUAUCUAAUGAUGAUGUUUCAUUAUGUAGCUGUCUAUAUUAUCUUAGCUUCAUUUCCAUGUUGAAAGUAUUUAUACCUUUACUAAUUGCUACAAUUAUAGUAUUAAUGCUCAUUUUCUCUAUCACACCUUUAUCAUAGUGAAAAAAAUGUAAGGUUCUACUUUUCCUUUUACUAGUGCUAUGAAAAGAAAAGUUCUAGAGUUGAAUUCUUAACAUGUAAAUAAUUAAAUUUUAUUCUUUUCAAUGCUCAUUUUCUCUAUCACACCUUUAUCAUAAUAAAAAAAAUGUAAGGUUCUACUUUUCCUUUUACUAGUGCUAUGAGAAGCAAAGUUCCAUAGUUGAAUUCUAAACAUGUAAAUAAUUAGAUUUUAUUCUUUCCAAUGCUCAUUUUCUCUAUCACACCUUUAUCAUAAUAAAAAAAAUGUAAGGUUCUACUUUUCCUUUUACUAGUGCUAUGAGAAGCAAAGUUCUAAAGUUGAAUUCUCAACACGUAAAUAAUUAGAUUUUAUUCUUUCCAAUGCUCAUUUUCUCUAUCACACCUUUAUCAUAGUAAAAAAUGUAAGGUUCUACUUUUCCUUUUACUAGUGCUAUGAGAAGCAAAGUUCUAAAGUUGAAUUCUUAACAUGUAAAUGAUUAGAUUUUAUUCUUUCCAAUGCUCAUUUUCUCUAUCACACCUUUAUCAUAGAUUCAUAAUAAAAAAAAAAUUAAAAAAAUGUAAGGUUCUACUUUUCCUUUUACUAGUGCUAUGAGAAGCAAAGUUCUAAAGUUGAAUUCUUAACAUGUAAAUGAUUAGAUUUAUUCUUUCCAAUGCUCAUUUUCUCUAUCACACCUUUAUCAAAGAUUCAUAAUAAAAAAAAAAUUAAAAAAAUGUAAGGUUCUACUUUUCCUUUUACUAGUGCUAUGAGAAGCAAACUUCUAAAGUUGAAUUCUCAACAUCUAAAUAAUUAAAUUUUAUUCUUUCCAAUGCUCAUUUUCUCUAUCACACCUUUAUAAUAGUAAAAAAAUGUGAGGUUCUACUUUUCCUUUUCUAGUGCUAGGAAGAGCAAAGUUCUAAAGUUGGAUUCUCAACAAGUCAAUAAUUAAAUUUUAUUCUUUCCAAUAAUUUAUUUUUAUUUAUUGAAUAGUGAAUGCAAUAAGUAAUUGCAUUCAACGCGGUUGAUGAGGACGUUAAAGAUUUAUGAUUAGAGAUGUAUCAUUUGUCAAUAAUUCAAUUUCAAAUUAAAAUUCCAUAUAAAGAGGCAUACACCUUUUUAGAAUUACACAAGGUGGCAUGCUUUACUAUUGACGAAAGGAAAAAAUAUCAUGAAGGCAUGGUUAAUAAGUAGUACUUUGUUCUCCAUAAGUUGUACAUUAAUUUGUUAACAGUUUUGGUUAUCGUAGGCAACUAGUUGGGGGAAUAAGCCUGUAACCUCUGCACUGCACCCUCAUAGAAAAUCAUGUGAUUAUCCCCAUAUAGCAUGUUUGGUUAAGUGCCUAUGUCUAAAAAAUUCGUGAAGGUGCUUUUAGGUAAUUUUGAUUGAAAUUAUACUUGGACAACAUACAUUUUUUUUUUCAAGUGACAGAAAGUUUGCAUUUUCUCUUUUUAUUUAACCGUUCUCAUUAUCUAAUUGGAUACAUCUAUUAUAUAAUUCUUGUUGAAUAAAAGUGCCACGCAGCUGUACAUCUCGACAUAGGGGUUAAAAAUAUUGUUGGUCACGUGACUUAUAAUGGUAAUUCACGUUAGAUGAUCAAAACUUCUUUUGUUUGAGUGAGGUAUGAUAAUAAUGAUAAGUAAACAACAAGCAAAGAAAGAUCAUGUAACAAUGCAACGAACAUAGUAAACAUCAUGGUAUCAAGUUCUUAAUAUAUAUCCGAUCGUUAGUUCCUCACUCUAACCAUAAAACUUUUGUUGGUAUGCCAAGAGUAUCUAAUAUAUCCUUGACCCCCUCCCAUACAAGGCCGAGCACAUGAAACUUCAAUAAAUAAGUGGCGACGUUACUUGAUUCCAAGACUAUAAAUUCUGAAAUUUGCAUUCAAUAUUUGAAAAUUAUUUGUUUAUCUAAAUGAUGGCAUAUUAUCUAGUUGUAGGUAUUACUUUUGCAUCAUUUUCAAGUUGAAUUAUUAAAGUAAUUGUACCUUUAUAAAUUGCUAUAAUUAUACUAUUAAUGCUCAUUAUCUCUAUCACAACUUUAUCAUAGUAAAAAAAAUAAAAAAUGUAAGGCUUUACCUUUUUUGUUUUCUUCACCAGUGAUUUGAAAAGCAAUAAAGUUCUAAAGUUGGAUUCUCAACAUAUAAAUAAAUUCUUUCAAUAAUUUUUGUUUUUAUUUAUUGAAUAGGGUGGCAUAAGUAGAUUUAACGCGGCUGAUGUGUGUGUUAAAGAUAUAUUGUUAGAGAUGCAUCAACUAUCUAUAGUUCAAAUUCAAAUGAAAUUUCUGUAUAAUGAGGCAUGCAAUUUUUUAUUUUUUAUAAAAAAUAAUUAUGCUAGAUGGUAUUCGGACAAAACCCACAAGCAUGCGAAAUCAUUGACAAGUAAUAAUGUGGUGAAUUGAGUUAUCGUCCCAUGUCGAAUAAUUACCAACUAUAAUUCAUUAGUUUAUAUCAAAUUCGAUGUUCGUAACACGAAAAAGUUGAUUUUGACUAUAUUUAUGUUAACUAAAAAUCCUUGAAAGAUUUAUUUUUUUAUCAAAUAAUGAGAUGAAUGUAUUGAAUUUCAGAAUCCAUCUAUUAAUCUCUAUUUCUAAUUCUUGACAUAUGUAAAUUAGUGUUUUUCAAGUGUUCAUGGCAAUCGAUAAUUCAUUAAAAUCUAAUAUUCUUUUUUCAAGAUAUAUUAAACUUACCCAAAGCACGACCUGAUCCUAUUCUUAAUCUAAAUUUAUAUGCAUAGCAAGUAUUCGAUCAUAUGAUUAUCACACCCAAUUGCUCACGCCAUACAUAUUAUUCCUAAUACAUAUUGUCCAUGUGUCAAUUAUGCAUUGUUCUAAAACACUACAAGUAAGCAACUAAUUGUCUAAAGGGACUGCAAAUAUUUGAAUUAGAAAUAUCAAUUAAAAGGUUUCAUCAUUCAUUCAAUAUACAAAAAUCUUAGCCUAGCAUUGUCAUAUCCAAAUUAUACAAAAAGAUAUGAAAAUGCAUCACUCGAAGCAAAGAAAUCAACGAAGAACUUGAAAACUCAAUUCCUUGUACUUUAAUCUUCACUACUUACAAUUCUUGAUGUAAAUUCACUUGUUUCUUCCUGCUAGCUUCAAUUUUAUGUUAACAACAAGGUGUCUGCACGUUCUAGAUAGUUUUUAGGAUAAAGGAUGUAGAAAAAAUCAUACCAAAAAUUGCUGAAUCAAGAAAAGAAAACAUAUAUUUUUUUUUCUUUUGAGUUCUUCUAGGUGCGCGUCUAGUUAAUGGUGGAGGACGUGUCUCUAAGGUUCCAUUGACCUUCAAGAAACCAUGGUGAAGGGCCAAGCAUGUGACUUGGGAGCCAAUUUUCACAAAUUGGUGCCUGAAAUUUUCUUCCAAUACAUUUGGCCCUUCUUCAUUUCUUUUCGGUUAGUUUUUCCUUUUUCUCAUCCAAUUGGAUGCUAUCAUUCUCAAAUCUUCAUUCCGAGGUAUGAUUCAAUUUGACAAAUUUUAUUCUAGUGUUUGAACUUCAAAAUUUUUGCAAUUGAGUCCUUUUUCAACCAUUUUUCUCCAAUUUUGCCAUUUUCAUCGAUUUGUACCUAACAAAUAUAACACACAUGGAAUUAAGAUAAAAUUCAUUAAAAUAACCAACAAAUACUCUACCUUGAAGGUCUCAAUAAGUGUACAAAAUACACUUAUCAAACAUCUCAAACUUUAAUAUUUGUUUGUCCUCAAACUAAUUAUAACUCAACUCAAAACAAAAUUAGUUAAGUAACAUGUCAUUGGUCUCAGGAUUGAAAUUUAUGUGUCAAUAUAAAGAGUAGUUUCAAAAUCACACAGAAGAAUCAAUCUCUAUAUAUUCAGCCCCUGUUUGAUCCCCAUUAAAUUAAAUUACAUUACAUUUCAUUUUUCUCUCUCCUACUUUCAACCACACAAUAUUCAAUAAAAUAAUAUUACACGUAAAUCGAAAACUUUUCCUUCUUUUUCAACCACUCAUUUUUCUAAAAAAUACUAUUCCCCCCAUUUUCAUUUUCAGGUAAUGGAAAUCAAACAGGGGCUCAAUAUAAAACUCGACAUGUGCGUGUGAAGACUUAUGCAAACAUCACAAACUUAUGCUUGGUUAAAUUUUUGACUUGCAAUGGUCAAAAGUCUCAUUUCUUCACUUGCGCAAUACAUACUCCCAAACUUACUCUUUUCACUCAUUUUCCCAAGGUGUGAUUCUAGGAUGAAUUUCAGAUGACCCUAAUCCCCACUAUCUCUAGUUUGAAUAGGCUUCACUAGUAGUGGUUAAACACUUUAACAACUAAGUAUUCUCCUAUAUUUUGAUAUCUUUGACGGCUAAGAAUUAACUAGGUAAUUAUCUCUUAUCAAAAGGUAUAGUUCUUUCAAACAAAGUAUGUAGUUGGUCUUUUGUUUUUUGCACUAGCUCAAUCCAAUUUUAAAUUUUCUGUUUGGAAUUAAUAGAUAUCCUCAUUGGGGUCUAUUACUGUAGCUUUACGACACGACAGGUUUUACCUUUUUAUACAUAAUUAGUGCAAUACUCCUUAUUGAACACUUAAUCCAAAAAACUAACCCUUAAUUCAAGAUUUUCACCUAAUCAUUAUCCCAUUGGUCUUAGACAAUCCACAUAAAAAUAUUGAAUCCCUAAUCAUAUUUUUUCUACAUUAGUUCAAUCAUCUCUAAACUAUCCUAAAAUUGGUUGGUUUUAGAACUAAGUUCCACAACUUCAACCUAUUCCGACAUAUAAAUCAAAACACUCAUUUGUUAUGCUAAAUAUACAAGUCUCAUGUGCAAGUAAAAUCAAUUUUUACCUAAACAAGCAUAAAUCAACCCCAACAUGUAAUAUUUCCUUCAUUCCUAACCUGACACAUGAUUUCAAUAUAUAUAUCAUCGUUGACAAAGCCAUCUAACCCACACAAGUAAACAAAAGCAGUAAAUUUAUUUAUUUUACUAUGUAAACACACAAAAGCAGUAAAAAACAUACUUAAUCGACGAUAAUAUCCCACCUCCAAACUUAAAUCGUGCAUUGCUCUCAAGAAAAAGGGUAAAAAGAAAAGAGAGAAAACUAUAGAAUCGACUGGCUAAGCUCGAAGAUCGUGGCUGAAAUGGCAUGAACUAGAUGAUUUGCUUGAUCACAUUUACCCCCUUGGCCAGUAUUGAUUUAAAUAUUCCGAGAUGUUUGUUUCUGUAAAAUAAAUAAAAUCCAAACAUUAAUGACCAAUAAACUUGGAAAAAUUAAUAUUAGCCUAGAGCAUCUCACAACCAAUAAGAAAGUCAAGGGAGAAAGCGAAAAUGUAAUAGGAGACUGUUGUAGGUUACGGUUGUAGGUUGCGGCUGCAAGGUUACUGUUUGAGUUUUUUAUUUCAUGUAUGGAUGAUGAUAUCUGAAAAUAAACUCCACAUCCUAUUUCUAAAAACCAUAAUAAAUAAAUGGGAAGAAAUUGGAUUGCCUCCCAAUAAAUGCUUUUUUAGUCAUUAGCUUGAUUUUUUGUUUUUUUGGCCACUCAAGAUGACUUGAAAAGAAGAUUUUGGCUUUUCAACUAUUGCAUUUCCAGACAUCUUUAGGCUUAUCCUUGACUUUCAACAUUGAAUGUCCUCAUACUGAUCCUUUAUCACUCCAACUAGUCCACCAAUUCAUUUUUUAUAGCAAUGAUAUGUAUAGAGAUCCCUUACUUCAGUUUUCAUCUUCUUGAACUCCUCGAGGUAAGAUGGUUGCUUGAUUAAGGGUUUAUAGUAAAACUCUACUACUUUUCUUCUACACUAAAGAUCAACUAACAUGUUUCCAAGUGCAACAAAGCACGACCAAUUGCUAGGCAUGUUCUUCCCAAGAUUACUAGUAGCGAAUGUGCUUUUUCUAUAUCCAGGAUAAUGAUAUCAGCUGAAAAAAUGAGAUCUCUAGCUUUGAUGAACAUAUCUCCAACCACUCCAUAAGGGUGUUUAAGUGUUCUGUCAGCCAGUUGUAUAAUUAUUGAAGUUAUUUUCGGAUAUCCCAAUCCUAAUUUUUUGUAGAUAAGUAGUGGUAUCAAAUUAAUACUUGCUUUGGAAUCAAUUGAAGCAUUUAUAUGACAAGAAUUACCUAUAAAGCAAGGUAAAUUAAAACUCUUGAAAUCUUUCAAUUUAGGAGAGCUUGUAUUGUAGAAUUAAGAUGCAUUCUUCAGUCAAUGCCACUAUUUCAUCUAUCGGUAACUUUCUCUUCUUAGUCAAUAUCUCUUUAAAAGCUUAGUAUAAUUUGUAAAAUAGCAUUAACGAAAGGAAUGUUGAUGUGAACAAAAUUUUUUUGAAUUUCUUUUUUAGCUUAUUGUUUUGCAACCUUUGAGGGAUUGAGACUAGAUGCGUAUGUUUAUUAACAGGAAUGACUGCCUUAACAUGUGGACUUUUUCACUGUUUUUCUUGAUUAAUCUUUCCUGAUUCUUUAGAUUGAACAACUUGUUCAUUGCCGAUAGUAGGUACAUGAUUCUCCUUGAUCCAUAUCUUUUUUACAUUGAUAUCUAGCAUUUGAACUCUACUAAAUGUAGUGAUAGCCUGAGCCUGUUCCUCUUUUGAUUGCUUUCAAAGCCUUUGAGAGAAUGGAAUAGAGCUUAGACAGGAGUCACAGGCUUCAAUGUUGGUGUCUUUACACAACUGCAUAAUUCAUUGCCUCCACUACUAUCACAUGUUCUCAUCGAUUCCUCUCUGUGUCACUUGGUAGGGUACCCUAGGUGUUUGUUGGCUAAUGCAACCACUAUAUUUGAGUUUCCCGAAGCAUGCUAAUUUGGAAAUAUGGUCUCAUUCUUGGUGAUAUACUAAAUCAUUAAAUCUUCCAAAGAUGAAUUCUUCUAUUGUUGUUGCUGAAAGUGUGAUAGGUUGCUCUCAAUCUGAUUUAUAUGGCUUUGAUUAUUAACCCAUGAAAAGUUCGGAUGUUUGCUUUAACCUAGAUUAUGGGUGUUGGAGUAAGGGUUGCUUUGUUUCCUUUGAAAAAUUUGUGUAUAACAAACUCCGUAGGUUGAACAAGAUGAGUGAAAGCUAAAGGGCAACUAGUAGUGGUAUGAUGGUGUCCGCUGGUAUUCCAUAUUUAUAGAUUGAGUCAAGCUAUUUAGCUUCUUCGUUACCACUUCUAUUUUUGUAGCUAAUACUAUCAUUGCAUCAAUAUUAUGAAUACCAGUUGAUUUCUUAGGAAACUCUCUAUUGGUCUAAUUAGCUUGAUUUUUAGCAAUCCUCCCGUACAGCUCACACGUAUCAUUAAUGUUCAUCUUCAUUACUAUUUCACUUGCUAAAGAAUCUAUCAUAUUGCGAUAUUCUGGGUGUAGUCCAUAGUAGAUAAUAUAUACAUGCGCUUGCUUAGGAAUGUCAAGAUUUUGAUCCUUGUCAAGUCCUUGAACCUCUUCCACGUCUCUUGAUAGCUCUCAAGUCCUUCUACUUAAAUGUAUGGACUUCAUUUCGAGAACUCAAGAUGGCAAAAAGAACUUCAUGUAGAAUUUUUGUACCAUGUCAUUCCAUGGUAUGAUACUUGUAGCAAGUAAAGAACGAAGCCAUUCUCGUGCACUCUCUGUAGCUUUCCCAAAAAAACUUGAUGUCUUGAUGAUUUUGAAAAAGGUUAAUGACAUCCGAUUGAAGGUGAAAGUUAGCAUGUCCAAAUGGAGUAUAGAGAAUAAUAGAUGGUAUAGUACAAGAACUAGAUUCAUGGGCACUCAUUGGAGACAAGUCUCAAUUGAACUGGUUCUUGCACUUGAAUUGGAUCCUGAACCUUAUUCUGAUUCUCGCCCAUUUUCCUCGCUUUGCUCUGGUCUAUUUUACGUUAUCUGAAAUAUUCUUUCGACCUUGGCAUGUAUUGGAACGAUCUUGAUCUCCUCAGAUAUUGUAUAAGUUGUUGAAUGUUCGAAAAAACAAAGUUCAAUAAAGUGGUGUAAUAUGAUGAAUAGGCAAAAAAAAAAAAAAACGAAUAUAACAUGAAUUAAUAAACUACAAUUAAACAAUAUUACUCUCUGACAAUGGCAUCAAAAAACUUUCCAGACAAAACUCGCAAGCAUAUGGAGUGGUACCAUAACUUAAACAUAUUACAACUUGUUUCACUUUAGAUCAUCAACAUUUCAUUUUUUUUCUGGUGAGGCACGAUAAUAAUAUUAAGUAAACAACAAGCAAAGACAGAUCAUGCGACAAUAUGCAAUUGACAUAGUAAACAUCAUUGUUUUAAGUUUUUAAUAUAGAUUUGAUUGUUAUUUCCUCACUCUUACCAAAAAACUUUUGUUGGUAUACUAAGAGUAUCUAAGAUUUCCUUGACCCCCCACUCGUACAAGCCUGAGCACAUGAAACUUCAAUAAAUACGUGUAGACGUUACUUGUCCAAGACUAUAAAUUCUGAACUUUGCAUUCAAUAUUUGGAAAUUAUUUUUUUAUCUAGAUGAUGACAUAUUAUAUAGUUGUCGGUAUUGUCUUUGCAUCAUUUACAAGUCUAAUUAUUAAAUUAUUUGUACCUUUAUAAAUUGCUAUGAUUAUUCUAUUAAUUCUAAUUAUCCCAAUCACACAUAUAAAUAAACAAACUUAUAUCCUUUCCAAUAAUUUUAGUUUGUAUUCAUUGAAUAGGUUAGUAUAAGUAGAUGUAUUCAAUGGGGCCAAUGAGUGUGUUAAUGAUUUAUCAAUAAAGAUGCACCAGUUGUCUAUAAUUCAAUUUCAAUUGAAAUUUCCAUAUAUUGAGGCAUGUAAUUUUAUUUUUUUUAAUAAAAAACAAUUAAGCUAUAUGGUGUUUGGACAAAACUCGCAAGCAUAUAGAAUUGUUGACAAGUAAUAAUGUGAUGAUUUGAGUUACCAUCCUCCAAACAAAUAAUUGCAAACUAUAUUUCACUAGUUGAUAUCAAAUUCGAUGUCUAGAACACAGAAAAUUGAUUUUGAUUGUAUCUAGAUUAACUAAGAAAAUGCGUAAAAGAUUUGUUUUUAUCAAAUAAUGAGAUGAAUGUAUUGGAUCUCGAAAUCUAUCUAUUAAUCUCUCUUUCCAAUUCUCGAUUCAAGUAAAUUAGAAUUUUUCAAGUUUUCGUGACAAUAAAUAAAUCAUUAAUAUCCAAUAUUCACUUUCAAGAUAUAUUAAACCAAUCCUACGUAGGACUUGAUCAUAUUCCUAGCCCGAAUUUAUAUGCAAAGUAGGCAUUCAAUCAUACGAUUAUCACCCAAUUGCACAUGCCAUAAAUAUUAUUCCUAAUUCCUAUUGUCUGGGUGUCAAAUAUGCAGUGUUCUAGUUAUUGUGAAUCUUCCAACAUUACAAAUUAUCAAUUAAUUGUCUAAAGGGUGCGGAAACAUACAAACAAUAUAUUAAUAAUGAAUAUUUAAUUAAGAACAUAAGGAUUAACUAAAAUACUCAAGUUUCAAUUAGAAUAUCAAUCAAAAAAAUUCAUCAUUCAUUCCAUACACAAAAUCUUAGCCUAUCAUUUUCAUUUCAAAUUAUACAAAAAGAUAUGAAAAAGUAUCACCCUAAGUAAAGAAAUCAUCAAAGAACUUAAAAACUCAACUCCUUGCACUUUAAUAUUCAAUUUGAGCUUUGCCUUUGCAAUUUUUGAUGUAACUUCACUUUCUUCCUCUUGGUAGCCUUAGUUUCAUGUUUAUAACAAGGUGUCUACACGAUUUGAACGAACUUUUAGAUUAUAAAGGAUAUAGAAAAAUCAUAUAAAAAAUUGUCAAAUUAAGAAAAGGAAACAAAAUUUGUCCUUCGGAGUUCUUCUAGGGGCUUGCCUAGUUGAUGGUGAGGUGCAUGUCUAUAUGGCUCCAUUGAGCUUCAAAUGGCCAUUGUGAGGGGCUAGGUGCAUGCCUGACUCAUGACUUGGGGAAAUCAGUCCUUAUUCAUUUCUUUUCAGCUAGUUUUUCCUUUUUUUUCUCGACCAAUUGGAUCAUAGCAAUGUCGAAUCUUCAUUCUGAGGUAUGAUCCAACUUUUUCUAAAUUCUAUUUUAAUCUCUGAACUUUGCAUUUAUUGCAAUUGAGUUAUUUUCCAGCCAAUUUUCUUCAAUUUUACCAUUUUCAGUGAUUUGUGCCUUAAAAAACAAUACACAUGGAAUUAAGUUAUAAUUCAUUAAACUAACCAAUACAUACUCUAAGGUAAAUGCCCAAAUAAAUGUACAAAAUACAGUUAUCAAAGUUCUCCAAAAUUGAAUAUUUGUUUGUACUCGAACAAACUAUAACCUAACUCAAAAUAAAAUUAAUUAAAAAUAUGUUAUUGGUCUUAGGAUUUAAAUUUAUAUGUCAAUAGAAAUAGUAGUUUCAAAAUCACAUAGAAGAAUCAAUCUCUAUAUAUUCUAUGCAAAAGUCGACGUGUGUGUGUGUGUGAAGACUAAUGUAAAAAUCACAAACUCAUGUUUGGUUCAAUUUUCAAGCCACAAUGGUCAAAUGUCUCAAUUUCUUCACUCGUGCGAACCCCAAACUAAUUUUUCCACUCAAUUUUCCUAAGAUGUAGUCCUAGGCUAAAUUUCAAAUUUUCCUAAUCCUCACUUCCUCUAGUUUUAAUAGGUUUCACUAGUAGUAGUUAAACACUUUAGCAACUAAGGAUUCUCCUAUAUUUUGACCUCUUUAACUAUUAAGAUUUAGCUAGGCUAAUUAUCUCUUAUUAAGGGUUUAGUUCUUUCAAAUAAGUAUUCGGUGCUAAAUCAAAUUAUUUGGUGAGUCUUCUGUUUCAUACACUAACGAAAUCCUUUUUAAAUUUUCUUUUUGGCAUUUUUAAUAGGUGUCCUCAUUGGGAUCUUUUAGUUUAGCUUCAUGACAUGUCAGUGUUUCCCUUUUUUAUACUAUGAUUAAUGCAAUAUUCCUUGUUAAAACUUAAUUUUAAAAAACAAACCCGUAAUUCAAGUUUUUUACCUAAUCCUCAAUCUUAUUGGCCUUAGAUAGAAAUCCCGAAUCAUAUGUUUCUCUACACUAGCUCAACGAUCUUCAAACUAUCCUAAAAGUGGUUUAGGUAUGUAUGUAAUAGUGUCUUUUCUUCCACCACUUCAACUUAUUCCAACAUAUGAACCAAAACAGUCAUUCGUAAUGUAAAAUAUACAAGUCCGCCAAAUAAAAUCCAGUUUUACCUAGUAAAGCAUAAAUCAAUCCCAACAUAUAAUAUUUCCUACAUUCCCAGUCUAACACAUAAUUUCAAUAUAUACAUCAUUGUCAGCAAGGUCAUCUAAUACACAAAACACAUAAAAGCGGUAGAUUUAAUUUUUUUCACUAUAUAAUACACAAUAAACACUCAAAAGAAAUAAAAACACACAUAUGAUAACACCCCACCUCUAACUUAAAACAUACAUUGCUCUCAAUGAACGAAAAUACAUCAGUAAGUAUACAAGAAGGGCAAAGAGUUUCAUUAGCUAAGUCAAAGAUGGUAGCUGCAAUGGCAUAAAGUGUAUGAGCUAGAUGAUCUGCUCGAUCAUGUUCAUUCCCUUUGUCCAAGUUUAGGUAGAGCAUUCAUAAAUGUCAUGCUCCUGUGAAAUGAAUAAAAUUCAAACAUUAGUGAGCAACUAACUUGGAACAAUUAAUAUUAGACUAAAACAUCUCAUAACUAAUGAGAAAAUCAACGGAUGAAGAAAAAAUUGAAAAGGAUACUGUAGUAGGUUACGACUGCGGUUUGUAGCUUCAAGGUUGCUGUCUAAUUUUUUAUGUAUUGAUGAUGAUACCAGAAAAAGCUUCCUAUCUUAUAUCUAGAAAGUGUAACAAACAAAAGGGAUGAAAAUUCAAUUUUCUCCAAAUAAAUGCUUUUUAUAGUCAUUAACUUGACCUUGUUGUUUUGGCUAGUUAGAGUGACUUUAAAAGAAAAUUUUGACUUGCAACGGAUGCACUUUCAAAUAUUUUUAGCCUUAUUGUUGACUCUCCAGUAUUGAAAGUCCCAUACUAAUCCUUUAUUGCUCCAACCGGUCCACCAGUGCCUUUCUUGUAGUGAUGACAUGCAUAGUCAUCCCUUACUUCAGUUUCCAUCUUCUUGUACUCCUCGAAGUAUGGUGAUUGUUUGAUUGAAGUGCUCAUAGUAAAACUUUGCUGCUUAUCUUCUAUCCUCUAGAUAAGCUUACAUGUUUCAAAGUCCAACAAAGUACGACCAGUUGCUAAGAACGGUCUUCCCAAGAUUACUGGUUGCUUAUGUGCUUUUUCUAUAUCGGAGAUAAUGAAAUCAGGUGGAAAAUGAGAUCUAUAUCAUUGAUGACCAUAUCUUCAACCACUCUAUAAGGGUUCUUGAGUGUAUAGUCAGGUGGUUGUAGGAUUAUUGAAGUUGCUUUAUGAUAUCCCAAUCUUAAUUUCCUGUAGCUAGGUAGUGGCAUCUAAUUAAUACUUUAGAAUCAAUUAAAGCAUUUAUAUGAUGGGAAUUUCCUAUAGCAAAGUAAAUAAAAACUCCUAAGAUCUUUUAAUUUAGGAGAAGGUUUUUGGUGUAGGAUUAUGUUGCAUUCUUCAGUCAAUGCCAUCAUUUCAUCUACUGGCAGCUUUCUCUUCUUGGUCAAUAUUUCCUUAAAAAACUUAGAAUACUUUUGGAAUUUAUAGAAUGGCCUCAAUGAAAGAAAUGGCGAUGUGAAGUUGCCUAAGGCCAUCCAAGAAUUUCUUGAACUGCUUUUUUUAGCUUAUUGUUAUGCGACUUCGAGAUAAUAGGAAUGGGGCACGUGUUUAGUGAUAGGAAUUGUUGCCUUAACAUAUAGAUUGUCCAACUAUUCUUCUUUAUUAACCUUUCUAGAUUCUUCAGACCGAUCAAUUUGUUCCUCGACUAUAGUAGGUAUUUGAUUCUCCUCGAACCCUAUCUAUUUUGUACUGAUUUUUAACAAUUGAACUCUACUUCAUGCAAUGAUAGCCUGAACUUAAUCCUCCUUUGGCUACUUUCGAAGCCUUUGAGAAAAUGAAAUAGACAACAGAUAAGCUCUUACAAAAGUAGUAAGCUUCAAUGAUGGCAUCUCAAGCACUACAUAACUCACAUCCUCCACUACUAUUACCUGUUUUGGUGAAUUCUAUUCUGUGUCACUUAGCAGGAUACCCUGUGUUUGGUUGGCUAAUUCAGUUGCUAUAUGCCCCACUUGAGUUUCAAAAUUUUUGAUCAAAACUCAUUGAUUUUGGAAUGCAAUCUCACUUUUACUAAUAUCCUACAUCAUUAGAUCUUCCAAAGAUGACUUCUUCCCUUGUUGUCGCUGAAAGUCUAAUGGGUUACCUUAAUAUGAUAUCCCUAGCCCUGAUUAUUAACCCAUAAGAAGUUUGGAUGCUUGCUUCAACUUGGAUUAUGGGCGUUAGGGUAAGAAUUGUUCUGUUGCCUUUUAAAAUUCUUUGCAUAACUAACAUCUGCAAGCUGAACAAUAUGAGUGGAAGUUAAAUGGUAACUAGCAUUUAUACGAUCUAUCCCACAACAUACGCAAACUAGUGUCGGUUGGUGUACCAUAUUUACAGACUGGGUCAAGCUAUUUACCUUUUUCGUUACCAUUUUCAUUUGCGCUCUAACACUAUCAUUGCAUCAAUAUUAUGAAUACCAAGUGAUUUCUUAGGAACUUCCUUAUCGGUCGGCUAAUUAGCUUGACUUUCAGCAAUCCUCUUAUACAACUCAUGGGCAUAAUCAAUGUCCAUUUUCAUCACUAGCAGAUUGCAUAGGGAUGUAGGCACUAGAUUCACAUAAUACCUGGCUAAUAUUGGGCCCUUGUUGGUGACCAACCCUCUGUUGAAUUGGUUCUUGCACUUGAACUAGAUCCUAAACCAGAUUCUGAUUUUUAGCCAUUUCCUUGCUUUGCUCUGUUAUCGCUAUGCUGUUUGGAUAUUCUUUCGAUCGCAAUCUCAUCAUAUCUUGAAUUCAUUGUUGAAUGCUUGAAAAAAACAAAGAGCAAGAAAGUGAGGUAAUAUAAAGAAUAGUCUAAAAUAAAUAGAAAAUGGAAUCUAAUAUGAACUAAUAAGCAACAAUUAAACAAAAUUACUCACUGAGAAUGGCGCCAAAAACUUGUCCAGACAAAACUCUCAAUCGUACGGGAUUGUUGCCAUACUUUAACUUAGUGCAACUUGUUUCACUUUAGAUCAUCAACAUUUCUUUUGUUCAAGUGAGGAAUGAUAAUAAUAAUUAAUAAUAACUAGCAAAGAAAGAUCGUGCAACAAGAUGCAAUGGACAUAGUAAACACCAUAGUAUUAAGUUUUUAAUAUAGAUAUGAUCAUUAGUUCCUCAGCCUUACCAUAAAACAUUUGGUGGUAUACUAAGAGUAUCUAAGAUAUCCUUGACCCCCUCUUAUACUAGGCCAAGCACAAAAAGUUCAAUAAAUACAUGGCGACGUUAUUUGAAUCCAACACUAUAAAUUCCGAACAUUGCAUUUAAUAUUUGGAAAUCUUAUUUUUCCUAGAUGAUAGCAUAUUAUGUAGCUAUCGAUAUUAUUUUCGUAUCCUUUUCAAGUUGAAUUAUUAUAUUAUUUGUAUGUUUAUAAAUAUGGCUAUGAUUAGACUAUUAAUGCUCAUUAUCUCUAUCACAACUUUAUCACAGUAAAAAAAUGUAAGGUUCUACAUUUUUAUUUUUUUUCCUCUCACUAGUGGUUUGGAAAGCAGUGAAGUUUUAAAGUUGGAUUCUCAACAUAUAAAUAAAUAAACUUUUGUUCAUUCCAAUAAUCUUUGUUUUUAUUCAUUGAAUAGGGUGGUAGAGGUAGAAGUAUUCGACAUGGGUGAUGAGUUUGUUAAAAAUUUAUCAUUAGAGAUGCAUCAGUUGUCUAUAAUUCAAUUUCAAAUGAAAUUUCCAUAUAAUGAGACAUGAAUUUUUUUUUUAUAAAACAUCAUUAUGCUAGGUGGUUUUCGGACAAAAAUCGGAAGUAUAUGAAGUUGUUGAGAACUAAUAAUGUGAUGAGUUGAGUUGAGUUAUCAUCACUCGGGGAAUAAUCGCCAACUAUAGUUCACUAGUUUAUAUCAAAUUUGAUGUUCAUAAUAUAAAAAAUAAAUAAAUAAAUAAAUAAAUAAUUGAUUUUUAUUGUAUCCGGAUUAAAUAAAAAAUACAUAAAAAAUAUGUUUUUAUCAAAUACUGAGAUGCAUGUAUUAGAUUUUAGAAUCCACCUAUUAAUCUCUAUUUCUGAUUUUGGGCUCUUGUAAAUCAGUGCUCUUCAAGUAUUCGUGACAACCUAUAAUAGACUAACAUUUAAUAUUUUUUUCAAAGAUAUAUUAAACAUAUCCUAAACACGACUUAAUCCUAUUUUUAGUCUGAAUUCAUUAUCCAAAUCACGUAUUCAAUCACACGAUUAUCACACCUGGUUGUACACGUCAUAAAUAUUAUUCUUAAAACCUAUUGUACGUGUGUUAAAUAUGCCAUAUUCUACUUACUGUGAACCUCAUAACAAGACAAAUACGCAACUAAUUGUUUAAAAGGUGCUCAAACAUUCAACCAAUACAAUAAUAAUACAUAUUUAAUCAAGAACUUAUUCAGACAAAACUCACAAGCAUGCAAGAUUAUUGACAAGUGAUAAUAUAAUGAGUUAAUUAUAAUUCCGCAAGGAAUAAUUGUCAACUAUAGUUCACUAGUUUGUAUUAAUUUCAAUGUCCGUAACAUAAAAGAGUCAAUUUUGAUUGUAUUGGGGUUAACUGAAAAAUGUGUAAAAAUUUUGUUUUUAUCAAAUAAUGAGAUGAAUAUAUUGGGUUUCAUAAUCCACCUACUAAUCUCUAUUUUCAAUUCUUGACUCGUGUAAAUUAGCGUUCUUCAAGUGUUCGUAACAAUUGAUAUUCCAUUAACAUCUAAUAUUCUUUUCAAGAUAUUUUAAACCUAUCAUGAGUUCACAUUGACCCUAUCCCUAUUACAAAUUAAUAUGCAAAGCAAGUUAUUCAAUCACAUGAUUAUUACACCUAGUCGCACACGUCAUAAAUAUUAUUCCUAGUACCUAUUUCUAUUGUGUCAAAUAUAUAGUAUUCUACUUAUUGUUAGUUUUUCAACAUUACAAAUAAACAACUAAUAGUCUAAAUGGGGCGUAAACAUUCAAACAAUACAAUACUAAAGCAUAUUUAAUCAAGAACACAGUAUUAACAAAAAUACUUAAGUCUUGAAUUAGAAAUAUCGAUUAAAAAGUUUCAUUAUUCAUCCAAUAAACAAAAACCUUAGCCUAACAUUGUCAUAUCCAAAUUAUACAAAAGAUAAGAAAAGACAUCACUCAAAGUAAAGAAUUGACGAAGAACUUGGAAAUUCUAUUCCUUGCACUUUUAUCUUGAAUCCGAGCUUUGCCCUUGCAAUCCUUAAUGUAAAUUCACUCGUUUCCUCUUGCUAGCCUCAAUUCUAUGAUGAAAAAAAAGGUACCCACACAUUCUGGACAGUUUCUAGGUUAUGAAGGAUGCAGAAUCAAGAAAAGGAAACAAAAAUUUUCCUUGGGAGUUCUUCUAGGCUCGUGCCUGGUUGAUGGUAGGGGAGCGAUUCUAAGUUUCCUCCCCAUGCAUUUUGGACCUUCUUCAUUUCUUUCCAUUUUGUUUGUCCUCUUUUCUCGUCCAAUUAGAUCAUAGCAUUCUUGAAUCCUCAUUCUGAUGUUCAAUCCAACUUUUGAUAAACUACAUAUUAGUCCUUGAACUUUGCAUUUCUUGCAAUUGAGUCGUUUUUGUGCCCUUAUUCUCCAAUUUUUUUCCUUUUCAUCAAUUUGUACCUUAAAACAUAAUGCACAUGGAAUUAAGCUACAUUUCAUUCAGAUAACCAAUAAAUACUCUAAUUUAAAGGUCCAAAUAAGUAUACAAAAUACACUGCUUAUCAAGUGGCGAGUUCUAUUAAUAAUAAAGAUAAAAAAAAAUAUUACAAUAAAAGUAAAAACAUACCCAUUUGGGGAUAACGAGUACAAUGAACAAUAUUAGUCUCUUUUAUUAAUUCAUCUUUCUAAUCCGAAAAGCUACACUUUCGCUUUGCAUUUACCAAAUUACAAUUCUUUUAGUGCUUUAUCUAUCCAAAUAUUAAAGAAAGCAAUGUAGAAAUAGUUCCAUCUAUGGAAAACCUGUCGCGUCUAGGUACAAGCCAAGAUCUCCAUUUGCGUAUGAGGCAUUUGCUUCUUGAUGAAAAUAAAAUUAUUGAAAUCUUUCUAUGGAAUGGGUUACACUUUUAGUCUUUCUCUGCUAUGCUAUAAAGCCAUUCUUCAAAACACGCAUGAAAGAUUUUUGUUAUGAAUGUUUUUGGUAUAGCGACUAUAAAGAGAGUUGUGGUAGCCGGUUCAACUCUAACGAACAAAAUCUAAUAUUUAUUUUGAAAAUAAUUUCCCUUGUGCUUUUUGUGUUUACCCUUUUAGUUACCUGCAUUUUGGGAUUGAAUUACAUUGAUUUUAUGGACGAGGUCCAUUAAUAUGAGAAGCUCCAUUUUCAUCCUCUUUUCUUCGACAAUCAACUGUUUGUGGUGGGUGAUAAAUGUGAUAGCAUUAUUGUCUAGCCACAUCAUUGGUAGCUGCCUUUGGAACUUGUAUCGUCACAACCAUACUUACUAACAGGGGCGGAUCAAGGGCUAGAACUAAGACCGGACUGAAAGGAAAAAAAAAAAUUAUAAAAAAAAAUUGAUUGUACAUAACCUCCCCCCCCCCCCUUCUUUCCCACCUAAAAUGCUAAAUGGGCCGGGGACUGGACCAAGCUAUACCCUAGCCCAGCCCAGCCCCCUACAUUUGUCCAUGCUUACGAGCGCAUGUCUUAUCAAUCAAACUAGUAUUCUUAUUGAAUAUGAAAUUUCUCAAUUAUAGGUAGAUCUAAACAGUCUUCUUAGGUAAGUCCCUACUGCCCGACUCAAUCUUCUGUUUGGAAGAUUAUUGAAGUAGCAUUCACCAAUAGGCUAACUUAUUUAUCUUACGUCAAACCGAUUAAAUAUGAAAACUCUAACCGAUGAAACAGAAUCAAUAUUGGUGCUCACUAAAUUUGAACCGUCAAAUAAUAACACACUAAAAAGGAGACUCCUUUAUAAUUACCAGCCAAUACUUUCUCGUUAUAUAUAUAUAUAUAUAUAUAUAUAUAUAUAUAUUUGUUAGCACAAUAAGAAAAAAAUAGCUUUGGAAUCAAACAAAUAAAUAAUUUGCUCCAAAGAAACUCAGCUUAGGCCAUGGGCCGUGACCAGGACCAUCAUCAGACCAAUAAUGGACACCUCCAGGACCAAUGUACUUUGAAAUCCCAAUGGGUAGCUAGUUAUAAUUUUUAUUUUUCUUUUAAUUUCCAUGCUACUUAUAAUUUUUGGAAGGAGAAAGAAAUUUUAAUAUGUUGGAUGCUUAAUGCGAAAAAUAAAAAAAAAAUAUUUUUUUUUUUUUGAGUGUUGGAGGCGAAAAUAUGAAAUCUACCUUUUAAAAUUAAUUGAUGUGGUAGUAGUACUAUUUUACAUGGCAUUUUGAUUGUAUAUGAUAAUAGUACUUGGUGUUGAGUAAUUUUAAUCUAAAGAAAGUAUUAAAUUAUUGUAUCUCGUUCUAGUUAUGUAAUUUUUCCCAAAAAUGUAUAAAACUUUUAUAUCUCAAUUCCAGUUAAGAUAAGCAGUUAUAAGAAUUUGAUUUUUAUUUUUAAAAGAGGAAAAAAAAAAAAAGAAGCCACUGAUGGGCCUUUCCCCGUCAAUAUGCCAAAAGGUGGGGGAAUAUUAGGGCUGGGCAAAUCUCCCGAACCGAACCCGAAUCGAACCGAACCGAACCCGACGGUUCUUGUCAAAUUAAAUACCCGAACGGGUAUCUGAAUUGAGAACCGACGGGUACGGUUUGGUUCUCGGUUCUAGACCAAGACCCGAAGAACCGAAUAAGAACCGAAUUUUUCUAAUUUUUUUUUAUUUUGAGUAAAUCAAAUUAUUUUAAUUUCAAUUUUUUCUAAACAAAUUGACAAAUUAACGAUUUCUAAAUCCAAAUUUUUGGCCCAAUAAUUUGUUUCGUUUCUAAUUUUUUAAUUUUUGGCCCAAUUACCCAUUUUAUUGUUUCAUUUCUUAGCCAAGCAAGAUCAAAUACACUAAAUAACCCUAAACACCAACACUAAAGUGCAUAACGUUGUCUCGACUCUCGCACUCACUCUGCAGCCUCGCUAAUAUUCCAAAACCUAUACAAUCAUUGGUCGACACUGUGACCUCCAAUCGAAGCUGUGACCUUCGCCAACCGAAACUUUGAUCGUAGCGAUCAUUUGAAUAAGGUAGUUUCUUAGUCUUUGACAUUCCAAAACCAUUGAAUGUAUCAUUAGUUGUAUUUAUAUAAUGUUGUUAUAAAUGUUAAAAAAAUUUAAUUAUAGUACAGAACCGAACGGAAUCGAACCGAUCCGAACCGAACCGAAUGGAACCGAACCCGAACGGUUCCAUAAUUAUAUUUGGACCCGACGGUUCCAUUUACUAGAUACCCGAAAAUUUCGGUUCGGUUCGGUUCUCUUUAGAACCGAACCGAACCGACCCGCGCCCACCCCUAGGGAAUAUAGUGAAAUUUUACAAACUAGCUUUGAUUUGGAACAAGAAUUUAGAGAACGUUAAGGAAAAGGACAUUUAUUCAUGAAAUUUGGAACAAAAAGCCAAACAUAUAGUAAUUUUUGCGGGUAACAACGGUAUCGUUGCCCUCUUAGUAUUUGGAGGCGGUCACCUGCAUUACGAGGGUGUUGUACGGAGCCGGUAACUGAAUCACUAAAUUGAAAUUUAAUGAUUCAAUUGAGAAAUAAUAAAAAUUAAUUAUCUUAAUAAAAUUAUAUGCGAUAAGUUUAAUGACCACGGAGGCAAAUAACUAGAAUAAUAUAUUUUUUCCUUGAAAAGGGCAAUGACCAUUUUGUGUCUGAAGAUCCUAAGUUAGACAUGUUUAUAGCUCGACAUUACGAGAACUUAGUGAGUCAAAGUUCGUUUAUUGCUUUAGAUUGUUUUCUAUGUAAAAGUAUUAACGUUCGUUCAAUAGUUCAUUUUCAGGACUCAGGAGGUAAGGCAUGUGGCAAGGUUUAUGUGCCUAUUUCUUGUCAUAGGGUGCAUUCAGCUGUCCUUCUUGUGAAUAUGUUAUGUCGACUAAUUUAUAAUGAUUGGAGUUUUUUUUUUAGUAAUUUUUUGAAUGAUAUUAAAUUCCUAGAUAGGAAUUUUUCCCCCAAAUGGAAUAUAUAUUUGUUGAGACGUUGACUAUUGGAGGAAUAUGGUCCGCAUAAAGUAUCAAGCACUAAAUUCCCUUGUCAAGGAAACUGCACGUAUCCUACUACAUAUUUUUAAAUGUUCACUCUUACUAUAAUUUUAUAGGUUAGAUCGGGUCGAUUAGAUUUGUGACAAGAUGGUGAUACAAGCUACCAUGAGGAUCAAAGAAAAGGAAAAAUUAUACCUUAGUCUUUUGUCAUUAAAUUUUAGUUGUUUAAAUUUAUUAAAAAACUUAUUUUUAAAUUAAUUAAUUGAAUAUGUUUAUUUUUUUUAAAGAUACAAUUUCCAUGUUUAGUUUAAAUUUAUGGACAUUUCGAUUAUAUUAUUCUUAAAAAAAUUUAUUUUAUUUGAUUUGCUUCAAUACGAAGAAAAGAAAAUUUUUGGUAAUACCUCAAGAUACAAGGUUUAUGCAAAUUUGGUGUGAUCACUUAAAAUCAACAUAUUAUCAACAUACAGACAAAUAAAUAUAACCUAUUUAUCACCUAUUUUCGAAUAUAAACACUUAUCUACACUAUUAUGUAUAAUUGAAAUAAAAUAAUUGUUAAUUCAAAUUUCUCAUGCCAUUUCUUAUGUGCUUGUUUUAAAUCAUACAAUAAUUUUACUAACUUGCACACCUUAUGUUCAUUUUCAGGUAAAGCAAAUCCUUCAAGUUGUUCUAUAUAAACCUCCUCAUUAAGAUCCCCAUUUGAGAAUGUCGUCUUAACAUUCAUUGAUAAACAUGAAAUUCAUAUAUGGAUGCUAAUGUGAAGAAUAUUUUAAUUGAUGUUAUUCUAUCUACGUGUGCGUAAAUCAACAUAGUCAAUUCCUUCCCUUUAUCGAUAACCUUCAGUUACUAAUUUAGCUUUAAAGGUAUUAAUAUAACCAUCUACAUUAUAUUUUCUCCUAAACAUCCAUUUGCAAUCGAUAGUUUAGAACCAGGUGGUAAAUCAACAAGUUCUCAUGCAUUGUUUGACAUAAUUAAAUUCAUUUUAUCUUUAAUUGCAUCAUUUCAAAAGAUACUAUCGUGAGAAUUGAUAGCUUCUUUAUAGGUGUUAGAAUCAAUUUUCACUUGUAGAAUAAAAGGAAUUGUUCUAACAACAUUCUUCUCAUUUCACUCUACUAAACAAAAUAAAAUAAGUUGAAAAUCAAUUUCAUCUGGUUCGAAAGUAUUCUCUAUUCGAGUUCUUUUGUUUCUUUGAAGCUCAAUAAAUUAAUUAACAUCUUUAGAAUAUGUUUUAGCUUGUGUUCUACUAGAGCUAGGAAUCCUUUUACAAUUUCCCUUAAUUCAUUAUUUGAAGAUAGAAAAUUAUCAAAGAACUCCACGUCAUUUGAAAUUAUCACAUUGAUCUCCAAGUUCAAUAAUCUAAAUGAUUUACUACUAUUAGAAUAUCCAAUAAAGGCAAAUUUUAUACAUCUUGGACCCAACUUAGUCGUUUUCAGAUCCAUGUUUCUACAAUAUAUUAAAAUCCCCACACUUUUAAGUACUCAAUAUUUGAUUUUUUUUUAAUUUUAUUUUUUGGUUUCCUCAAUUUAUGAGGAGAAACCUUGUAAAUUUUAAAGGAAUCUUAUUUAAAAUUCUACAUGUAUUUAGCAAGAUUCACCUCGCAAGUUAAAUGACAACUUAGCAUAAGUUAACAUAACAUUUAUUAUUUCAAUUAAUGUUCUAUUUUUCCUUUCAACUAAUCCAUGUUGUUUGAGUAUCCUAGGUCUAGAUCAUUGAUGUACUAACAUAGCAGAAGCUUAUAGGAAAGAUGAACAAAUCUGACAAAGUUGAAAAACUCACGAAAAUUUUAUUUCAUUCAAUCAAUACGGGCUCAAAGGGCUUACAAUACUUUAUAUAGCGAAAACCCUAUGAAAAUUCUAAAAAUAAAAAUAAAUAAUAGUAAAUUGUUUUUGCAAAAGUGGAAAAAAAAGUUGAGAUAAUGACUAAAAUUGAAAGUUCUAAUCUUCGAGAUUAUCCUACAACAAACGAAAUUUAAAUCCAAGUUUAUUUGAUUGAUAAAAAUUACCAAAAAAUAGAAGAAAUGCACAAAUGAAUUUCUAAACGAAGGAAUUUGCCCAAAAUUGGCACGUUUCCAGGAAAAUUUGACUAAAAUUUGCCAAAAAUGGACAACCCAAAAUUUCUUCAAAAAAUCGGGAAGUUUCCUAAUUGUGCUUGCGUCAGUCUCACUUUGCCAUAAAGUCUAAUUCAUUCUACACCACAUCAUGUACUAUUUCUUAUUAGUAGAAAAAUUCACCAUUGAAUUUGGCGGGGAAGUAAUGUCAUCAUUAGAAUUAUCACCACAAAAUAGCACCAGAUACUUGACACUAAAACAUCAGAUGUACGAAUAUGACUGGGCAACUUCAAACGAUAUGCAUUGAGAUUAAUCCUCUCAAUAAUCUCCAAUGGCCCAAUUUUUCUCGAGCAAAUUUGGUGUAUUAAUAAGCAAGAAUACGAUCUUUUGUUAACAUCACCAAACAAAAUCACCUACCUCAAGCUCGACAUGACAACGUUUAAGAUCCGUAUUAUGCUUAUACCUAGUAACAACAGUCUGCAAAUGAUCAUAAGCCUGUGAAUGAACUUGUUGCAACUGCUGAAUGAAAUCCUCCACUUUACCCUGCAUUUUAACAGUAGUAGAAAUUGAAACCAAAUCAAGAGGACUACGAGGAACAAGACCAUAUGCAACCUAAAAAGGACUAAAGCCUUUACUUCGAUUAAUUACAUGAUUGUAAGCAAAUUCGGCACGACACAAUUUUUUAUCCCAAGACUUGAUGUAAUCACCAUCUAAACAACAUAGUAAAUCACCCAAGGAAUGAUUGGCAAUCUCUGCUUGACCAUCUAUUUGAGGAUGAUAUGCACUACUGAAGUCCAACUGUGAAUUGACCAAAUGCUAUAAACUGCACCAAAAGUGACUAAGAAAAUUAUUAUCCCAAUCAAACACGAUAGAAAUAGGAAGUCCAUUUAGACGAUAGACCUCAUGAAAUUAUAGCAAUGCUAUAUUGACAGCAUCCGUUGUCUUCUUGUAGGGAAUGAAAUGGACCAUCUUGGACUGAGUCCUGGGAAGCCCCAAGAUGAAAUCUAUACUUACGUCUAUCCAAAGUUGGGUCGGAAUAGGCAGUGACAAAUAUAAACCAGCAUUUGUAGCCUUACCUUUAGGAAGAUGACAUGUUCGACAGUGCUCCACGAACUUAUCGACAUCUUUGCACAAUGAUUGCAAAAAAUAAGAAGCAGCAACAACUUUUAAUGUUUGAACACAACCCAUGUGGCCCUCAUUAUGCAAUUCUUGAAUUAUCUUAAGCUGCAAACUGCCCUCAAGAAUACAUAACUAUUUCCUCGAUAAAGAAAAUCAUCGAUCCACAUAAACUUUGAAUGUACACCCUCCUACAAUUUUCAAAUAAUCAGAGAAAAAUAUGGGUCAGUAGCAUAUAAAUCACAAAUAGUGUCAAAACCUAGGACCUCCAUUCGCAAUUCUGUCAGAAGAGUUUAUCGCCUACUUAAUGUAUCUACGACCUUGUUAAGGGAGCCUUCUUUGUGCUUAAUCACAAAAGUAAACUGCUACAAAUAAGCAAUCUAAGAAGCAUGUCAAGUAGAUGCCUUAUCUAGAAUACUAAAUUGUUUAAGGGUAUCAUGGUCAAUAUACAAAACGAAUUCCAUCUAGAACAAAAAAUGACGCUAAUGUUGAACCACUAGGACUAUCGCAUAGAAGUCCACAUCAUAAGUAAUAUAUUAGGAUUUAGGACUAGAAAGUUUCUUACUGAAAUUACAUUAGGACAAUUAUUUAGGCUCAGCACACCACUAAUACCCACCUUCAAAGCAUCGCAAUGCAACUUAAACGACUGAGUAAAAUCAGGCAAUUCCAAAAUUGGGACAGUUGUCAAUUUCUAUUUAAUCAACUAAAAAGAUGACUCUACCCCAGGAUUUCACUGAAACUUGCCAUCCUUUAUACAAUCCAUAAUUGGUGCCAUGAUACUACUGAAACAUGGUAUAAACAUACUGUAAAAGAAAGCAAGGCCAUGAAUACUCCGCACUUCUGUAAUGGUCUUAGGCUAUGGCCACUGACUUCUUACAUUUACUUUGGAUAUAUCAAUUGCUAAUUGCUCUUUCGACAUCACAUAACCUAAAAAUACAACACAGUCAAUUAGAAAGUUACACUCUUCACUCACUACAGCAUAAAAUUUAUCCCUGCGAGGGACUGAGAGAACUUCUCAAAUGUGCUAAAUAUGAUCAUCAUUGUUAGCACUAUAAAUCAAAAUAUCAUCAAAGUAAACUACAACAAAUUUACCGAUGAAUAGACGAAGAGCUUGAUUCAUAACCCCCAUUAAAUUGCUAGGCGCAUUGGAAAGGCCAAAUGGCAUGACUAACCACUUGUAUAACCCUUCCCUCAUCUUAAAGGCUAUCUUCCACUUAUCCCCCAAGCCUGAUAUGAAUCUGAUGAUACCUACUUCUCAACCACUACAUUCUAGCAACUCCCAGAAUCACUAACAAACUUACAAAUCCUUCCAUCAACAGUACACGUAGAUUGAAAGAUAUUAUUAUGCAAACAGUCACUCUUACUCUCCAUAGUGGUCAAAAAACUGUCUCACCACCAAUUCUUGACCCGCAUCACCAACAACAAAUUCAUCCUCAUCUGUUGUUUCUUCAGCGUCCCCAUUAUCAAAUACAAGCACCCUCUUAUAAUCUCCAUACCCCUUAUCAACAAAGAGUUUUGCAUGAAAUUUUGGGACAUUCAGAUUAUCUAUGACCCAUACCUCCAUAAGUACAGUGAGUAACACCUCUAGGACGUGUUGAUUGUUAAACAAGAUUUGCUUUAGAAGAACCAGUCUGGCUAGGAUUAAUAUGACGCAUUGUCUAUUAAUGUGAAUUACUGGAAGAAUCCCUGCAAUGAAAAGACCUAUAUUUAGUCUGUACCGUUGUUUCUAUAUCUGUAUCUCCUUUUGAUUUGGCUCAAACAUUGUCACGAAAUCAAACAUAUUCAGUAUGUCCUGUAUUUGGGAAUGAAGACCACCCAUAUAUCGCGAUACCAACUAUUCCUUCAUUUUCAUCACCUUAUUUGAAUCAACGUGUAAAACUUCGUCAUAUAGUCAUCGACCAUCUUCAUGCUUUGAUGCAAAUUCUACAAUCACUGAUACAUAGUCCGAACAUAAUUUUAGGGCAGAAAUUGCUUCUUCAUGUACUUAUUUAUUUUAUCCUAAGACGCAAUCUUGGCCUUCCGUUAUCUAGAUCUCGUAACCUUUGUCUAUGGCCACCACGUCGCUGUUUGUCCAAGAAAUCUUGUUGCAACGAAGAGGCACACUUUUACCAGCAAAAACCUUCUCAAAUUUCAAGACCUCCUCCACUGUAGUCACUCAAUCCAAGAAUUCUGUUGGACUUAAUCCACCAUGGAACUCAAGAAUAUCAAUCAAAAACCCUGAUUUCUAGUGCCUACUCUUCUCCUGGCCACUUUCUCUCCAUUGGAGUGGCAGAUCUAUUGGAAUAUCAAGUUGCAUAUAUGGAUUUUCAUCUUCAGAAUCCUCAAGCGAUUGGGUUACAGGAGCAUGUUGCUAUGACGCGAGUGUAGCGAUUUGCAAGGUCAGCAACUCCGCUCGUUGAUCCAGCUGUACGAUCUCAUCACAUCUAUUCACCUCAUCUACUAGGGCUUCACGAGCUUCUGGACAUCACAUUGGCAGCAUGUUGAACGAACGAAUCUCGCUUUGAUACCAACUGGCUCAGUAGAAGCUUAUAGGAAAGAUAAACAAAUCUCAUAAAGAUGAAAAACUCACAAAAUUUUUAUUUCGAUCAAUGUGACUUCCAAGGGCUUACAAUACUGUAUAUGACGAAAAACCCUAGGUAAAUUAGGAAAAAAUUAAAUAAUAUAUAUAUAUAAUAAUCAAAACAAAAAUUAUCAAAAAAGGAAAAAAAUGCACAAACGAAUGCCUAAACGAAUGAAUUUACCUGAAAUUGUCCUUGCAUCAUGGGGGCAUAGUCUUGUUCAUUGGUUUGUUUCUAAUCAAAUUUGAUUAAAAAUUAGCAAUAAAUGGACGACCCCAAAUUUUUUUCAAAAAUCGAGAAGUUACCUAUUUUCUGCUUGCGCCAAUCCCACUUUUCCAUAAAGUCUAAUUCCUUUUGUACCACACCAUGUACUAUUUCUUAUUAUUGACAAAAUGAAUUAAAAUUACUAGAGAAGUAUUCUUCUCAUCUAUCCCUUCUAAUUAUUUUUUAUUUUCUUAUUUAAGUGAUUUUUAAUUUCAUUCUCAUUUGUCUUAAACAUAUCAAAGGUUUUAUGUUUAUUUUUCAUUAGAUAAACAUAAGUAUACCUAGAGUGAUCAUCUAUAAAGGUAAUAAACUAUCUAUUUUCACCCCUAAUUAACAUGCCAUAAAGUUCAUGUAUCUCUAAAUGAUUAAGUUCUAAAAUUUGAAGAGUCCUAUUCACAAUUUGAUAAGGCUUCUUAAUUCUUUUAGAUUCUACACAUGUUUUACAUUUAUAAGCAUCAUUUGCAUUGUAAGAAAUCAUAUCAAAUUUAAGCAUUCAUUUCAUCGUACUAGAACCUAUGUGACCUAGUCUAAUAUAUAAAGUAAAAGAAUCAAUCAAGUAAGCAAAAUCAAUUUUAUUAUUAUUAAUAUUGUCAAACGACACAUAAUUUGAUCAUUCCUUUGCAAGAAUAGCAUUUCCAACAAAUUUUCCAUUUUGGGAUAGUACAUAUUUUUUGGGCUCAUAAACACAUUUGAUACUUGAUUUCCCUAAGAUAUUUCCACUCAAUAAGUUCCUAUUUAUUUUUUGAACAUGUAAUACAUUUGUUAAAGUAUUGAUUUUUCUGUAAGUGAAGAUGAUAUCCACAUUUCGUUUUCCUACCACUUUGGCGCGGUCUUCAUUACCCAUUUGUAUCUCUUGCUAUCUCUUUGACUCAUGAUAAUUCUUGAAGAGUGACUUUUCGUAUGAUACAUGAAUAGUUGCACAUGUAUAUGUAUUGUACCACCAAUAGGGCUCUUUGCCCUUGAUUGCAUUAAUUUUGCUCAAUGUAGCCACAAUGCUAUUUCAUCAAUGGAAUUAAAUUUUUUAAGUCUUUCUUGGUUUAUUUCUGGUAUAGAAAUUUCUUUGCAAAAUGUCCAGAUUUUCCACAUACAAAACACUAUCCAUUAUUCUUCUUCUUAAAUUUGAUAAAGUUAUUAGAAGAUUUCCUCUUGUUUGCUUUGAUAGACCACAUGGUAUUUUUAAUGGCAUUGGCUUCUGAUGUGCCUUCAUAAGAGUUUUAAUUCUUAUCUUUUGCCCUCGAUUCUUCCAUAAUGUGGAGGUGAUUCCGAACUUGUUCCAAAAAGUAAUUUUCAAAAUUAAGAAGAAUCUUCUAUCCGUAUCCUUUCAACGUCCCUGAGACUUUAGCAAUGAUUACUCAUACUUUGAAAGAUUCUAAAAGUUCAAUCUUGAUCGCCUUUAAUUUGUUGAUGAGUACUUGCAAUUCAUGCCCUUGAGGAAGAAGAUGAUUGGUUUCAAGAAACUUAAAAUCGAAAUAACUCAAUAUCAAAAAUUUCUUGGUGUUGAGUUUCUUCGGCUUUGUAUUUGUGUUCUUCCAAAUAUCUUUUGCCGAGGAAAUGUUGAUUUAUAGAUCAUACAAUAGAUCGAUGAGUGCGUUGAGUAUGUGACUCUUGAUGCUUUUGCCUUUCCAUUCUUAUGAAAUCGAUAUCUCCAUUUUAUUAGCUCUGGAAUUGAUAUCUCCAAUUCCAGAUCAAGGGUGUAAAAGAUCUUCAAUGCUGUGAGAAGGAAUUUCAACUUGUCUUGCUAUUGAGUAAAUUUGUUCUGUCGAAUCGAUCCAAACUAACAAGAUGUUGAUUCAUAAGUUUGACGGUAGCCAUGGUAGUCUCGUUCUCCAUAACUUAAUUUAGUUUGAGAGUUUUGCUAAAUUGAAUUCUUCAAGGAGAAUGGAGAAGAGAACCAAUAGAACCAGCAAAAAUGGAAAAGGCUUGAAUGUGUUAUCAUUGUCUUCAAUAUAAUUUGCUCUUUCUAGAAUUGAUUAUGAUACUUAAUAGGACUCAAGGCAAAAUGGUUUGUAAGAUUGAAGAAGCUUUAGAGGAAGAUAAACACUAAGCACUUGUGUUUUCUCCUUAUAACAUGAAUAUCACUUGAAUGAAUGAAUAUGUACAGAGAAGUUUUUAAAAGAUUCUUUCUGUAUGGAAUGAUCUCAUGAAUUGAUAAUUUUAUAGUGUUUUAGAAUGAAAAAUAUUUCAUAUUUAUAGAUUAUCAUUCAUGCACCAAGAAAAGAUCUCAAAAGUUCAUGAAAAUGCGCCAAAAAAUGAAUCAGAAUUUCAAAUUCAACAAUUAAAAAAUUGGCAUGGACAAUAGCCAGUACAAAAUCAGGCCCUCGCCUAGGCCAAAGUUUUGGCCUCGGGUAAACCAAAUCAAGGCUGAGUGAAUGCCUAGACUUAAGCUUGGGCAUUCGUUCUGGCCAAAAUUACAGUCCUUCCUUUUUUCUUCUUGUUUGACUUUCGGUGUUUCCGUACUUGCUCGACACAUUCAAAUGGAUGCAUUAUCGUUCCAAUACACUUGUCAUUAUAAGUUGAACAAUAAACUACCACAAUUCUUCCUAUUUAUCAUUCCACACCGUAUUUUGCAUACUGGUAAAGAAAUUACACUUUAUAAAUUCACCAAUAUAUGAGCAUCCUAUCAUACACGGAAUCAAAAAUAAUUAUUUGUAGUAAAAAAAUGUAAAAAAAAAAGGUUUUUCCACAAUAAAAAUGAGAUCAUAAAACACGUGAAAUGGGAGCGUUUUCUGAACAUGUUAAUUUAUUCAAUUUCAUAUUUUUAAUAAUAAGUCAAUCCUUUAAAACUCUAUCCAUACUUAAAUUUAAAUCAUUAAUGUUGAAGGCUUAUUUGUUAAAAUGAAUCAUUCAAAAGUUUAGAUUAAUAUUGAAGACAUACAUGGAUCUUCAACACGCUAUAUUGAAGUGCGCGAGGAUUUUUCUUUUCCUGCUCAAAGGCGUGAUAUGUACAUAAUUUAUUUUCUAUAAAUGAUUUAUUACGAGAACUGUAUUCAGAACCUCAAUGUGCUUUGGUAUGAUAGAACUCUUUCAUAAAAACCAUUUAAAGAUGCAUUUUUCUUCUUUUUUCAAAAUUUUAAGCUUGACAUGGCGCAAUUCAUAAAUAUCAUUAUGAAUUUAAGUCUCCCACAAUUUUUCAAGUUUGCAAAUCAAAGAUUAAGAAAAUUUCAAAUCAAAAUAACUUUUUUUUUGUUGAAUUAGUGAUUUGACAUUGCAUUGUGGUGAGAGGUAGGGUUUUUGUAAUGUUUAACAGCUUAAUAUGUACGUAAUUUUCGUAAAUUGUGAAAAUGGAAUUCAUGCCAUUUACAUGUUCUGAUGUGAUAUAAAAUUCUUUUUAUGAUAAUUCAAUAAAGAAUGAACUAUUUGAAAAUAUGUGCACUUACACAAGGGAACUUGCUAAAUAAUCGACCACCAAUUUGGUGGAAUUUCGGGCUUAGUAUACCAAUCUCAACCUUAUCAAUACACCCAAGUAAUCACAACCCAAAACCUUUAACUUCCUCCAAACUCCAAUUGCUCAAGAUUUGUACCCACUUAGGACACAAGGAGACGGUAUUUGUAGCCAAAAAGCUGGUGCCACAAAGGCCAAAGAAGAACAAGAAGAAAAUGGCCAAGGAGAAGCACAAAACAAGGAGGCAAACUCGGUUCUCUCUCAAACAAGGAAAACACAUGUUAAUGAUAAAACAAAAAGAGGCUAGUAUAUAUAGGUUAGGUUAGGUUAAAGUGAUGGGACCAAGCCCAAUACAAAUACGGUGAGUGGGCCAAUAUAUAUAAGUCAUCCAAUGAGUGUAGAAACCAAGCCAUAAGCAACACUAAUUAAUUAGGUUGUUUCCAAUGUCCUAAAUAGUCUUAGGGUUGGGUCAUCAAUUUUGGGUGUCAAUAUUUAUUUUAUCUAACAUCGAUUUAACAUUAUCCCUCGGAUUAUUGGGUAUCAAAAGCCAACAAUAUUCACCUUAAUGCCCAAUAAUCUGCAAGCAAACAAAAUGCAAAGUUUAUGCUUGCACAAUCAAGGUAAUCUAAUAAAAUUGGUAUCACAGACCUUACAUCGGGUUUUGGACCUGAAACACAUAUCAUACCUGCUCCAUGUACUCAUCAGGGCUAAGGUCCAAAAAAACCCAUGUAGGAACAAGUAUUCACAGUGAACAAAUAAUUUUGCGAUGAAGAUAUUAUAUUGGAUAAUACACAGAUCUUUUCAAAUGCAUAAAUGACGCCACGAAAAAUCUCACCACACUUAUCAUAUCCCAUUUCAUGUUACUCCCACCUCAAGAACACUUAUCUCUUCUCAUCGCCCACCGUGCUCACUAGAUAAUCACUCAGCUCAUGUCUAACUGACAAGUCACAAUAGAUUCUAAGCUCUCGGUAUAAUCCUCUAUCACCACAUCACUUCUCUCAACCUACGUGGUUAAUGAGUUUCCAACUUACCGAAGUGAUAGAAGUGUCUCUCUCACACUCCACCUGUACAGGGUUUCUUUCACAGAUAAAGGAUUUUAGACAUUUGAUCACAUGUCCACUCGUGAUCCAAAUGUCACACUUCACAUCCCCAGUACAAACCACAAUUUACUCCUAGACAUCUAUACUCCACUUCACAAAAAGACACCGAACACACUACUAAUGCAUCCUAAAUCUACUAUGCAUGCAACCAAUUACACCCGGUAAUCAUAUUAUCUCAAAACUCAUGCAAACACAUAUAUCAAACAAAUUGAAAAGUAACAUUUAAUCAUGCAAUAGAAUUAGACAAUCACACACAUGUAGAAAGGAUCACACAUAGAUGCUUAUGCAACAACUAAAUUUACUCUCAAUAAACCUGAUGCGAACCCCGUAACAAUGGAAACUACGAAACCCACAACGAGAUUGAUGCGAAAUCCAAGAACGCCAAUACUAACCCGAUUUUGGAUCUUGAACCCCAAGAAUUGAACUAAGAACCCUAGAUUAGCGAAGAACCUAAAACCCCUUGAUUACAAUUAAAAGAACUCACAAUCCGAUUGAUUAGAACGCCACAAGAAGUUGAUUCUUGAUAAGUUCCAAGAUUGUUCAAGAAAAACAAGAAAUUGAAAGAACAAUUCUCUCUCUAUAAUAUUAAGCAAAAGUCAAAAGUUCUUACAAUGAAAAGUAAUCUCCUAUUUAUACUAAUGAAUAAAAAUGUCCAAAACCAUCAAAUUAUGGUAAUAAUUUGAUUUCAUAAGAAUUCUAUCGAAACUAGGAAAUUCAGCCAAAAUUAGAAAAUUCGCCAAUUUUUUUUGGCUUCUGCGGCCGCAUGGUGUAAAUCCAUGCAGUCACAUGGUUCAACAGGAAUUAGUCUUUUGGUUUUCUAUAUGCACGUGUGUGGCCGCAUGUGGUUUUGCCAGUGCGACCGCAUGGUGUUGUCUUAAGCCUCCGCUUUCGUCGCUUGAUAACAAAUUGAUCCAAGUCGAUUCGACCUUCAACCCGAACAUGAAAGUUGCUCCAUUUUGAGUCCCGAACAUGGUUCCAUCAAUGGUUUCUUGAACGAGCAAUCCCAUCGCUUGUUUCACUUGCUUUGUCCUUGAUUACAUCAUUGGUUCGCCAUCGACUAUCAACGGGUCUCGUCUCGCACUUGCCUUCGUCGGGUUCGACUCCUGGAUCAUAUCAUCUCCUCCCUCUUCAAAAGGAUUCGUCCUCGAAUCUGAACCUACAUCAAACAGAGAGAGAUCAGAUACAUUAAAAGUAGCUGAAACAUUAUACUCACUAGGUAAAUUCAUUUUGUAUGCAAUGUCAUUGAUCCUCUUGAUGAUUUGAAACGGUCCAUCGCCUCGUGGUUGCAAUUUUGACUUCUUCUGUUCUGGAAAACGCUCUUUUCUGAAAUGCACGCAGACCCAAUCUCCAGGCUCAAACGUAACGCGUCUUCUUCCUUUAUUUGCUUUUGAUGCAGUCAGCUUUCCUUUCUCUUCGAUCUGCAUCCUGACAUUUUCAUGAAGUGUUCUCACCAUCUCGACUUUUCGUUUUCCAUCCAAGCUACCUCGUUCAUGCAUAGGCAAAGGCAUUAAAUCCAUAGGUGUUAGUAGAUUAAAACCAUAAACAAUUUCAAAAGGAGAAAACGAAGUAGUAGAAUGUGUAGCUCGAUUAUAUGCAAACUCUAUAAACGGUAAACACUCUUCCCAUAAUUUCAGAUUUUUAUUGAUCACUGUCCUACGUAGUUGAGUCAUAGUUCGAUUAACUACCUCAGUUUGUCCAUUUGUUUGUGGGUGACAAGUUGUAGAAAAUAAUAACUUAGUCCCUAACUUACUCCACAGAACACGUCAAAAAUGACUCAAAAACUUCACGUCCCUAUCAGACACUAUACUUUUAGGUACUCCAUGUAAACGUAUUAUUUUCCUAAAGAAUAAGUCCGCAAUAUUAGUAGCAUCGUCAGUUUUAUGACAUGGUAUGAAGUGCGCCAUCUUACUAAACCUAUCGACCACUACAAAUAUUGAAUCCCGACCCCUUUUUGUCCUAGACAAACCUAACACAAAGUCCAUAGAUAUGUCUACCCAAGAUUCACUAGAUACAGGCAAAGGAGUAUACAAACCAUGGGGUUGAACCUUAAACUUAGCCUUUUUACAAGUUAUACACUUUCCACAUAUUUGUUCUACGUCAUGUCCCAUUCUAGGCCAAUAAAAAUGUUCCCCUAACAUGUCUAAAGUCUUUUGAACCCCGAAGUGUCCCAUUAAACCACCCCCAUGUGCUUCCCUUACCAAUAAUUCAUGCAAAGAACAAUUAGGAAUGUACAAUUUAUCUUCCCUAAACAAAUAUCCUUCAUGCCUAUAGAAUUUAUCAAAUGCUCCUUUGUCACAUGAAGCAUAAAUACUAGAAAAAUCACAAUCAAAUUCAUACAUGCCCUUAAUAUGCUCGAAACCAAGUAAUUUAGUACUUAAUGAAUUUAAAAGCACAUACCUUCGGGACAACGCAUCAGCAACUAUAUUUUCGUUACCUUGUUUGUACUUGAUGACGUAGGAAAAUGUCUCGAUAAACUCCACCCAUCUCGCUUGUCUUUUGUUCAACUUACCUCGACCUCGCAAAUGCUUUAAAGAUUCAUGAUCGGUGUGUAUCACGAAUUCCUUUGGCAAUAAGUAGUGCUGCCUAGUCUCCAAUGCUCGAACAAGUGAAUACAGCUCCUUGUCAUAUGUCGGAUAAUUCAAUGCUGCCCCACUCAACUUUUCGCUAAAGUAAGCAAUAGGUCUCCUUUCCUGCAUUAACACUGCUCCUAUACCUAUUCCUGAUGCAUCACACUCAACCUCGAAUGUUUUAUCAAAAUCUGGUAAUGCCAAAACAGGUGCCUUACAUAGCUUAUCCUUAAUGGUGUUAAAUGCAAUUUUUUGAGAUUCUCCCCAAUGAAAACCUACACUCUUCUUUACUAUUUCAGUCAACGGUGUGGUGAUGGUGCUAAAAUCUCUUACAAAUCGCCUAUAAAAACUAGCCAAUCCAUGAAAACUCCUAACUUCAGUUGUAGUCUUAGGUGUUGGCCAUUCCUUUAUAGCUUUUAUCUUUUCUUCUUCGACUUCCACCCCGUUAGGACUAACCACAAAUCUUAGGAAAACAACUCUCCCCAUGCAAAAUGUGCACUUUUUGAAAUUAGCAUAUAGUUGUUCCUUUCACAACACAACAAGCACACAAUUUAAAUGUUCUAAAUGCUCAUCUAGGUUUUUGCUAUAGAUUAAGAUGUCAUCAAAAUAAACUACAACAAAUUUUCUAAUAAAAGCACGCAAAACAUGGUUCAUUAAACGCAUAAAAAUGCUCAGUGCAUUAGUGAGUGCAAACGGCAUAACUAACCAUUCAUACAAUCCAUACUUAGUCUUAAACGCCAUUUUCCAUUCAUCACCCUCCCGCAUGCGAAUUUGAUGAUAUCCACUCUUAAGAUCGAUCUUACUAAAAAUACAAGCACCAUGCAACUCAUCAAGCAUAUCAGCUAGCCUAGGUAUUGGGUGACGAUACUUUACCGUGAUAUUGUUGAUAGCUCGGCAAUCCACGCACAUUCUCCAAGUCUCGUCCUUCUUAGGCACCAACAAGACAGGUACAGCACAUGGACUCAUGCUCUCCCAACAUAACAUUUGCUCAUCAACUCCUCCACUUGCUUUUGAAGCUCCUUCGUCUCCUCAGGAUUGCUUCGGUAAGUUGGUCGAUUAGGUAUAACAGCUCCGGGUACAAAGUCAAUCUGGUGCUCGAUGCCUCUGAUUGCUGGCAAUCUACUUGGCAUCUCUUCAGGAAACACAUCGUCGAACUCCUGCAAUAAAGACUUAACCCAACUAGGGAGGGAUGUGUUAGAAUGCUCAAAAUUGAGGAAGGACUCCUUGUACACUAACAAUAUCAUUUGCCUAUUAUCGCUCAUAGCCUUUUUCAACUCACUCUCUUUUGCAUAGAAGUUGACCGUUGGCUUUUCUCUCCGCUCAGCUGACUCUUUUUCUCUCCUAUUAACUGAUUCUUUUUCUCUCCACUCAUGUGGCUUCUCUUUCUUUUCUCCACUCUCAGCCACCUCACUAUUUUCUCUCUUAUUGAUGGUUUCACUAUUGCCUCUCCUUUUUCCUGACUCUCUUAUUAUCUCGUCUUCCUCACUUUUCAGCUUGAUUUGAUCUCCAUACACUUGUGUCAGUGUUAAUGGCGCAAGAGUAAUAGUCUUCCCAUUCUUGACAAAGCUAUAACGAUUCCUAUAUCCAUCAUGUGUGAACCUUCUAUCAUAUUGCCAUGGUCUUCCUAACAAGAUAUGACCCACAUGUUUAGGUACCACAUCACAUACUACUUUGUCACUAUAACUCCCAAUUGAGAAAUCAAUUAAAACUCUUUUAUUCACCCUAACUUCCCCACAUUCAUUCAACCAUUUCAACUUAUAAGGCCUAGGGUGUCUUAACAAUACUAAUACUAAUUUCUCAACUAAAGUUGUGCUAGCUACAUUCGUGCAACUCCCACUAUCAAUAAUCAUACUACAUACCUUAUCGUUGACGUAACAACGUGUGUGGAAUAUAUUUUCUCGCUGCUGCUCCAAAUCAUCCACUUUGACUUGAGUGUUAAGAGCUCUCCUUGACGCCAAUGAUUUUCCAACAGCAAACUCCAAUUUUUCUUCUUCUUCAACGUCCUCCAAUGCAGGCAUGUCGUCAAACUCUCCUUCACUUUCACUCACCACCUCUCCAUUAUCCAACAACACCAUUACCCGUUUAUUUGGGCAUUGAGAAGCAAUGUGCCCUGAACCCAAGCAUCUGAAACACUUGAUGUCUCGAUUACUUGAUGGUUGUGAAUCUGUUUUGGGUGUUGUUUUGCUAGCACUUUCUUCUUUCCCUUUCCGCCACUCAUUCAUACCUUUAGGUCUAGCUUUAUCACCUUUGUUGUUGUUCCACCCUGGCUUCCAAGAUGGAUUAACACUCGAGGUUCCUAACGGCUGCCUAGCUGCCCCUUUCCUCUUCAAUUGUCUCUCUACCUUCAUAGCCACAUGCAACAUGUCUUCCAACUCGACAUAAUGUUGCAACUCCACUACAUUGACAAUUUUCCUAUUCAACCCAUUCAAGAAUCGUGUCAUGGUAGCCUCCUGAUCCUCCAUUACAUUGGCACUAAUCAUGAGUAUUUCCAUCUCCUUAUGAUAGUCCUCUACACUUUUCGACCCUUGAUAUAGACCUUGCAGUUUUUGAUGGAUCUCUCGGUAAUAGUGGCUAGGAACAAACCUCUUUCUCGUCAAUGACUUCAAUUCCUCCCAAGUGCUGAUUGGUCUUCUCCCACUCCUACGUUGUGAAGUAAUCACUUGAUCCCACCAUGAAAUUGCAUAGUCACUGAACUCUAAAACUGCUAACUUCACCUUUUUCUCUUUCGAGUAGUUAUAACACUCGAAGAUCAUUUCAACCUUCCUUUCCCACUCCAGGCAGGCCUCGGGAUCACUCCUUCCUUUGAAUGAAGGAAAGUCAUUUUUAUAUUUCCCAAGUUUCCAUCCAACUCUUCCCUGCAAUCAUUCCGACCCCAUCUGUCGAACCUAUCGCCUCUAUUCCUCAUCCUUUCCAUCUCAACACCGUGAAAUUCAUCUUCGCCCAUGUCACUCCCAUAUCCAUACUCCUCUCGUCUUUCCCUCCUAGGCUCCCAUCUAUCUGGUCCUCUGGCAUUUGAUACAUCCACUCGAUAUCCCCGACUAAGAUUAGUCACCGAUGUAUCUAAUCUAUUCAUCCAAGCCUCCUGCUUCUUCAACCUAUCUCUCACAUCUCCAAAUGCCCUCUCAAACCUUUGCACUAAAUCGUCCGAUGCAUUGCUAUUAUUGUCUUGUCGGCUUGAGUUUGAUUCUGCCCUUUCUGACAUCCUAACACUAAAGACUUUAUUUUACUGCCUCACCAAAAGUCACUCGGAAAUAGACAGGGGCUUUUACCCUCUAUUAAGCUCAUCUCUCUGCCUUUUACCACUCAGUUCUUUCAACAAUUGCUUCUAGGAACAAUCAAUGAACUCAAUCAAUCAUAAAGUCGUGUAGAAUUCCCCAAACCGGAUGGGACUCAAUAAUUGUAACAAAGGACUCAAAGAAAACUUUUAAAGCUUGACUUGAAUUGAAGGAAUGGAAUGAUUUAAUGUGUCCAAGUAAUUUAGAAACGAUAAUGAAUAAUAAAAGUUGGUAUUUGACGGAUCAAUAAUAUUUAACAAUUUUUUUUACUGUACGGAUAAACAGUACUGUACGGAUGAACAGUAAAUUUUUUUUUUAAGAUCCGAAAAUCAAUAACAAAACCAACAAAGAAAACGAAAACUGAUUUGGGCGAAAAUUAAGCCCAGAAACGGAAUUUGAAGAUUUUUUAUGGAACUUUUGGAUCAAAAGAUCAAGAAAACCUUCUGGACACAAGAACACAAGGAAUUGAAAAAAAAAAUUAGAAAACUAAGGAUAUAACCAGAUUAAAUUGGAGUCAAAGCUCUGAUACCAACUGAUGCGAAACCCGUAGUAACGAAAACUACGAAACCCACAUCGAGAUUGAUGCGGAACCCAAGAACGCCAAUACUAACCUGAUUUUGGAUCUUGAACCCCAAGAAUUGAACCAAGAAACCCUAGAUUAGCGAAGAACCUAAAACCCCUUGAUUACAAUUAAAAGAACCCACAAUCCAAUUGAUUAGAAUGCCACAAGAAGUUGAUUCUUGAUAAGUUCCAAAAUUGUUCAAGAAGAACAAGAAAUUGAAAGAACAAUUCUCUCUCUAUAAUAUUAAGCAAAAGUCAAAAGUUCUUACAAUGAAAAGUAAUCUCCUAUUUAUACUAAUGAAUAAAAAUGUUCAAAACCAUCAAAUUAUAGUAAUAAUUUGAUUUCAUAAGAAUUCUAUCGAAACUAGGAAAUUCGGCCAAAAUUAGAAAAUUCACCAAUUUUUUUGGCUUGUGCGGCCGCAUGGUGUAAAUCCAUGCAGUCGCAUAGUUCAACAGGAAUUAGUCUUUUAGUUUUCGGUAUGCAUGUAUGCGGCUGCAUGUGGUUUUGCCUGUGCGGCCGCAUGUUGUUGUCUUCAACCUCCGCUUUCGUCGCUUGAUAACAAAUUGAUCCAAGUUGAUUCGAUCUUAGACCCGAACAUGAAAGUUACUCCAUUUUGAGUCCCGAACAUGGUUUCAUCAAUGGUUUCUUGAACGAGCAAUCCCAUCGCUUGUUUUAUUUGCUUUGCCCUUGAUCUCAUCAUUGGUCCACCAUCGACUAUCAAUGGGUUUCGUCUCGCACUUGGCUUUGUCGGGUUCGACUCCUGGAUCAUAUCAAAACCUCACUAGGUUCAUAACUCGACCCCUCAACCACAUUCAUCUCACCUCUCACAUUAUCCAUCUGCUUAUCCUUCUUCUUGGGACAGUCCCUGAUAAAGUGUCCAAACUUAUCACAACUAUAACACCGUUUACCACUAGACUUUUCCCGUCCCUUGCCCUUCUUCUUACUACCUUCAUCACUCGAGUGACUACUCGAAUUACCAUUAUUUUGAGCUCUACCCAAAUUCAUUUGCUUAAAUUUCAUCUUACUCCUUAUCAUGUGUAAUUCACUAUUCCUAUUAUCUUCAUUUUCAGCCAUAAUUUUCAUUUACUUACUCUUGAGUGAGUCUAUUACAAUCUCAUGUGUUAAGGUUCCCCUACCAUACUUAAUUGCAUUCUCAAAUUCUCUAUAUAAAUUAGGCGUGGAAUUAAGUAAGAUAAUUGUUUUAUAUGUUUCAGACACAUUUUCAUCACAAUCAACAAUGUCUUGAACAAGUUUGUUAAAAGUAUCAAGAUUGUCGUCAAGAUCCUUUAAAAAAUCCACAAAUCCAUUUUAAAAUUGAAAAAUCUUUCAAGCAAGUACAACUUAUUAGGAGUGGAUUUAAACAAAUAUAAAUCCUCCAACUUUUUCUAAAGUUCCUUUGUAGAAUCUAGUUUCUUAACUUUUUUCAAAACAGUGUCAGAUAAAUGUAAAAUAUUCAAAGUGGAAGCAAGUUCACUGUAUUCCUCUUUUUGUAUUUCUAUCAAGUUUACGAGAAAAUUGCCAUUUAUGGCCCUUGAAACUUUUUGUUGAACUAAAAUCUCCUUCAUUUUUUUGUUGCCAAAUUGAAAAAUCUCUUUUGCCAUUGAAAAUACCAAGUUCGAAAUUUGAAGACAUUUUUGGAAAAACAUAACAACUAAAUGCACAGAUAGGUCACACAAAGUAAUCUUACGGCCGCAAUAUACACCGUUUUAGAUUCCCAGGGUUUUAUAAGAUUCGCGAUAUUAGAUCAAGGGAAUUUUCAAACAAGUUAAGUCUAGGUGUUCUAACUGGAUAAUUAAUGCAACACGUAUGUUAACAAAAAAUUCAAAUUUUCACACAACGCAGUUUCACGCAGUGACUAUAUGAUAAUUACAGUACAAAAUCAAUUACCGACUUGCAAUCAACUUUAACCCUUCAAAUAGGGUAGAUAAUUCCUAAAUUUUCUAGCACAAGUAAUGGUUGUCAAGCAAUGACAACCCUCAAUCCUAAUGAUCACCCUACACGAUGAUCUUUUAGUGCAAUAAUGUCAAGGUUUCAGCCAAUUUACCAGAGCAGACUUAUCUGAGUCCGUAAAUUACGAGAAAUGUGAAUUUGUUACUUUUGGACAUUCACUAUUUGCUCUAAAGUCGCCAGUAACCAAUUGAGCAAAAAUGAAUCCCGAACACAUAGGGGCAAAAUCGUCCUAAUUUUAAAGCAGCACCCAAAACUGAAAACUAACGCCACCGCAGGGUCCAUCUCAUCGUCUGGAGAAAACCGCCUAGAGACACCGUCAUCGAAGGAGGCCCCACGUGCCCACACGAGCUGUUUGUCCGACUGCACGCCACCCACUCUGGUACACCUCGAUUUGCUGAACACGCCGACAAUCUUGGUUUGUCCAAAAAGUAAGUAGUUUUACCGAAAAAAGAAGAAACAUAUUUGACAGAAAAAAUGUCAAUUGGACAGAUCCAUUUUCUGCCUUUCUACUGAAUUUCAGUCCAAUUUUCGAUCUAUUUCAGGCUAGAAAUCCACCAACAAUCUUGCUCUGAUACCAAAUGUUGAAUAAUUGACCUCCAAUUUGGUGGAAUUUCAGGCUUAGUAUACCAAUCUCAACCUUAUCAAUACACCCAAGCAAUCACGACCCAAAACCUUUAACUUCUUCCAUACUCUAGUUGCUCAAGAUUUGUAUUCGCUUAUGACACAAAGGGAUGGUGUUUGCAGCCACAAAGGCCAGAGAAGAACAAGAAGAAAAUGGCCAAGGAGAAGCACAAAGCAAGGAGGCAAACUCGGUUCUCUCCCAAACAAGACAAACACACGUUAAUGAUAAAAAAAAAAGAGGUUAGCAUAUAUAAGUUAGGUUAGGUUAAAGUGAUGGGGCCAAGCCCAGUACAAAUAUGGUAAGUGGGCCAACAUAUAGAAGGUAUCCAAUGAGUGUAGAAAAUGGGCUAUGAGUAACACUAAUUAAUUAAGUUGCUUUCAAUGUCUCAAGUAGUCUUAGGGUUGGGUCAUCAGUGUUGGGUGUCGAUAUUUAUUUUAUCCAACAUUGGUUUAACAUUAUCGUCCGGAUUAUUGGGUAUCAAUAUCCAACAAAAAUAAUAAAAAAUCACUGUCUUUAAAGUCGGAUUGCUCAAGAUAUAAUUUCUUAACCUAAUAAUCGUAGUACGUAUAUAACUACAAAAGUGAAACUAUAGUAAAAGAAAGAAGAAAAAAAACUAGGGCAAUUUCAUCAGGAUCACUGGACUUUGAGUAAAAUCUCAAUCGAGUUGCUAAAUCUUAUUUAUCUCAAUUAGGAUCAUUAAAAUUAAAAUUAAAAUAUCACCUCCUGUUACACUACGUCAUCUUUUGUUCCCCAAACUAGCUGAAAUUACUUAGUUUAUAUAAUAACUCAUUUUGGGUACUUACUGAUUUCGAUGCUUUCUAGACGUAACGUAGUGAUUAGUUGGUAAGUCAUGCAAUGAUUAGUUCAAAAAUUCGUUGCAAGAUGUGUUUCUAUUCGAUUUUUUUUAAUCAAUUUUAGAGACGAGAUAUGUUAGACAAAUCCCACGUUUUUUCUUUUCCUUUACCUUAAUCGCAUUUUUCAGAAUGACCAAUUAGAAAAGCAUGAUUUAGUAAAAGUAAUAUUCUAUGCAUAAGCAUUGUUUUUUAGAAAGUUAUUUCAAUCUAUGUUAAGUCAUGUUUAACUUUAUUACAUUAGCAUUAUCUAUUUACAUACACUGAGGUGCGUUGGAGCUAGACAAUUUUCGUUGUUGGUUCAAAAAUUAAGUUAUAUUUUUUUGCUAAACAUUUUGUUGAACACUAAUUUCAACAAUAUUUUGAUCUUUACUCGAAAAUAAAAAUUACAUAUUUAUCUAUAGUUACUUGACAUGGAAUUUAAUAAAUAAAUAUAUGCUAAUCCAUUCCAAAUAAUAAUACAAUUAUAAAAACACAAUCAAUUUCAAUAGACAAAUGACAGUACCUAAAUUCCAUUAAAUCACAAUGCAAAACAAUCAACUAUACGUAAAAAUAAAAAUCCAACAAUGUAAUUCCCGUUGGAGCUGCCUAUUGGCAUUCUUGGUUUGAGCCGGUCAGCUAUGGGUAACCUAGGCUGGUUUACCUCCUUAUGGUCCUUUGCCGGCUAGGAUCACAAGGCGGGAUUUACCUAGUACGCACCUUCGGGUAGCGGCUGCGGGUUCCCUUGUCAACAAAAAAAAAAUAAAAUCCAACAAUGUAUUUUAGUAUUUCAUAAAAUCCAAAACCACUAAGUAUAAGUUAUUGUUCCUUGAGAUCGUAGUCGAAAUUUGAUAUUGACACAUUAUUUUUUUUUUAAAUAUACAAUUUACUGAAAUUUCGUAUUUACAUUGUUAAUGGCUAAACAUAUUAAAAAUACGAGAACUGAAUUUUAUUGAUCAAAAAGCACGAACACUAAUCAAAAGCACAAUAAUUGAGGGCCCAAAUAUAUACCUCCAUAAAAUUGAUAAAUAGAAAAGUUAAGGACCAUAAGUCCAUCACAAAAUAAAUAAAUAAAUAAAUAAUAAUAAUAAAAAAAUAAAAAAUUUCACAUUGUUUGAACAAGUUGUCUUUUAGAAUGUCUCGACUGCUGUUGCUCACCUGAAAUACAAAAUUCAUGUUCAACUUCCGCAGUGUGGUUUCACUUUCGACUUGUAAUGCAUCACAUGAUCAAAACCUUCUUGAAAUUCUUUUUCGAUCUUCUUGUAUUCUUGUUUCAUUUUCAAAAUCUCGCCUUGAAAUUUUGCAGUUUGAUAACUUCUUAAUAAAAUUUUUUCAGAACCUUCGAAGGCCAUUUUGAUUUCCUCCUUGACAUGGCAUAAAGAUUCAAGUCUGUGGUUUAGUUCAUUUAUUAGGGACAAGUUUUGCUCCACCCACGGUGUUAGUUCCAGCUGUAUCUCUCUCAGGUGCUUGUUUAUUACUCGGCAGUCUGGUUUUACGUCCGGUUUAAUGCUUCCUUCUUGUUUCUUUUUCUCAUUAUAUUUUGCUACUUUGUCUCAUGAACCUCGGACUUCGGUCUUGAGUUUCUUGAUUUGCUGAAAUGCAGUGCUAAAUCUUUACCAGAGGUCCAAGUUUUUGUCUAAUAUUGCUUCAUUGUCCCUCUGGAGCUUUGCCUCAAAUACUGAAAAUAGCAGGAUCUUUAUCAAUGAAGACGAACUUGAUUUUAUCUUCUUCAUUUGUAAUGGGAAGAUUGGCAUCAUCAUUCAAUUCAAAAUCAUUAUGUGCACACAAUUUUCCUUGAAGAAGGUUCAAUUUUUGGCGUAAUUAUCGAAUUUUUGCAUUCCUCUUAGCAAUAGCACCCUUCAGUCCUCUCAUUCACAAUGUCGUCUCAAAUUGCGAGUCCUUGUCUUUCUUCUUCUUGUCACCAAGUUUCCGCUUCACAUCUUUGUAAUUCCUGAAAAUUGUAGUAUAUUCCAUUGGCAGAAUCUUCUCUGUCCUCUAGUCCAUUCAAGAGCAUCAACUGCCAGUUUAGAUAUUCUUUCUUCUUGUUAGUAUUGGCAAUUCUGUAGACAAAAUUAAGUCCAAGUUAAAUUAUGUUAGGAGUUUAUUGAGUUGUGACUAAAGUCAAAAGAGUUGGAAUUUGUAGUCCAAAAUGUUCAAGAAGAUCACAUGUGAUAAAGGAAAAUGUAAUUAGCAGUCUAAAUAGUGUCAAAGAGUCGUAUAAAUUAUGUUCCAAAUUCUCAGUUGUAAAUUGCAACGCAUUGUUAAAAAAGAAAACAUUGGAAUUUGGAAAAAGGUGUCUAGAAGAAUUGUAUUCCUUUAAGUUAGCUUUCCAAUGCAUUUUGAAUCAACUCAAUCAGAUAUCGAGAGUGAAAGUUAUGAUGAAAAUACUGCUCAGAUGUCGCUGGCUUGAUGCUCGAGCGACGGUAUUACGUGUUAACCUAGUUCGCGUCUUUCUAGAAUUUUAUUUGGCCCAUGAUACCUAAUUACCUCAUACUAUAAAUACCCAAACCUAACGUGUUUUUUGGUGUGGUUGAUCAUUAUAUUACUUCUUCAUAAUAUCAUUCCAAAAUCCAAGAACACGUUCAAGCAUUGAGAUUAAUCAUUUAAUUCUUGAGAUCAUUCAACCACAACUUUGGGAAAACAUCAAAUUCAUGUAAUCCAAAAUACCAAUUUUCUACACACAUACAGGAAGAUACUUUUUCAAUAACUUUCAGAGGUUGCUGAAGAUUGAGAGAAGUUGGACCAGAAGUAUAGACAGAGUACAAGAAUGAGGCAUUCUUGGUGAUCCACAGGAGAUAGACAAUUUCAUAAGAUUGGGAACAUGCGUGAAUGAAGCAUGUUCCAGUGGGUCGUGGGGAUUGCUUGAAAUUUUGUAGACUGUAUCGUACUGUAAAUUCAUCAUUGUUUAUAGUUGAGUUUUCUCCGUCAAUAAUCUUUUAUGUUAUUUACUACUUUAUUGAUUAUUGUCUGGUUAACAAUUUAGAAACAAUUAAAAAGUAAGUUGUUGCUUUUGAUCGAUAAUUUUAAUUCUGCACGUAUUCACACCCUCUAGGUGAUCUUAGGGUCGAACUAGUAACUUUCAAGUGGUAUCAGAUCCAAAAAUUGAUCCUUGACCAUAUUAGUCUAUAUGAGUUAACAUUAUCCGGUCCUCAUUAUUUUGCAUAUUGGAAGGUUAAAAUAAGAGCUUUCCUUAAGUCUAUGAAUGAGCAUAUUUGGCUGAUUGUAGUAAAUUGUUGGGCUGUACCUUCUAGCACCGUUAAUGGUGUUACCACCCUCACUCCUAUUGUUAAUUGGUCGAAAUCUAAUUUAGAUGAGUGCAAUUGGAAUAGUAAAGCCCUACAUGCAUUAUUUAUUGUAGUGUCCCUAGAAGAAUUUAGGCCUAUAUCUAUGUGUAUGGUUACGAAAGAGGGUGAGAUAUUUUACAGACCACACAUGAGGGAAAUCAUUUUUCAUGCAGGUAUUUCUAGUUAUUAAUUCCCAAUUUAUGCAUUUCAGUGUUUUUAUUUCUAAUUAUAAGUUAAUUAAAGUUUCACGUUCAAGAAUGAAUUUCAUUAUUAACAUCCGUGUAUGCUAAUUAGAAAACAAUUUCACUUAAUUGAAAACUAAAUUAUAUUCAUUUAAUAUAAUUGAUUUGAAAUUCACUGCUAAUAUUCUCGAUAUUAAUUCCAAAUUAAUUAACAUUCACAUUAAUUAAUGUAUUAUAUUUGCCAUUUAUCUUCAUUUAUGCAUUUAUUUGUAAUUCUAAUAUUCACAUUCAAGUGUGCAUUUCAUGAUUUACCUGCAUGUAUAAAAUCAACUAUAUUUAAAUUUUAUUCACAAAUUGGUUAUUAUUUCAUUUCAGUCAUCAAAUAUUUUGUUUUUCUUUCUAACACACCAAUGGAGUGGUUUUAGUUAGAACCGAACCGAAAUAAAAUUUUCGGGUAUUUAGCAAAUGGAACCGUCGGGUCCAAAUAUAAUUAUGGAACCGUUCGGGUUCGGUUCAGUUCGAUUCCGUUCAGUUCUAUACUAUAAUUAAAUUUUUUAACAUUUAUAACAACAUUUUAUAAAUACAACUAAUGACACAUUCAAUGGUUUCGAAAUGUCAGAGACUAGUAGACUAAUUUGUUUAAAUGAUCGCUACGGUCAAAAUUUCGAUUGGCGGAGGUCACAGCGUCGGUCGACGAUUGCAUAGGUUUUGGAUUGCAGCGAGGCUGCGAGAGUCGAGACAACGUUAUGCACUUUAGUGUAGGUGUUUAGGGUUAUUUAGUGGGUUGGAUUUUUGUUCGGCUAAGAAAUGAGACAAUAAAAUAGUAAUUGGGCCAAAAAUUUAGAUUUAGAAAUUGUUAAUUUGUUUAGAAAAAAUUAAAAUUAAAAUAAUUUGAUUUAUUCAAUAUAAAAAAAAAUAGAAAGAUUCGGUUCUUAUUCGAUUUUUCGGUUCUUGGUCUAGAACCGAGAAUCGAACCGUACCCGUCGGUUCUCAAUUCAGAUACCCGUUCGGGUAUUAAUUUGAUAAGAACCGUCGGAUUCGGUUCGAUCGGUUCGAUAGGGGAGAUUUGCCCAGCCCUAGUUUUAGUCAAAUUGAAGCUUGCAAUGACAAAUAAAAAGGGUCCAAGGGUAGACAAUACUCAUGUUAGAGUAUAUAUUCCAUAACAUGUAUUCUUGUAUGGACAGUUAUACAUUGCACUUUGAUGAGUAAUUUCUAUAGCAACUACAAAGGUUUUAAUUAAGUCAAAUACUCCUAAUCAUAUAUAAAAUAUAAUGUUAAAAAAAAAAAAGAUUCUUAUUGAAUAAAUUGAUUUUUGUUAACUAAUUUUCAUAUUCACACAUUUUGAAGUAUUAUUUUCAUAUCACUUACAAAGCAUUUCAAAAUAAUGUGCAAUUCACAUUAAAAAUCAUGUUAUCCUUUCUUCUUCUUCCCCCCCCCCCCCCCCCCCCAUCAUGUUAUCUUCUUUUUUCUUUUCUUUUUUCCUUGCAAGCUGGCCAAAAAACUCGGCAAAAUCGUGUUCGAUUCACCAGUUUCCGAUUGAACCUAAAUUUUAUUGGAUUAUUACCGGUUUUUGUAUAUCUAGUUACGAGACAAAAACCAAACUGAUUACCCAACUAGUUAUGGUUUUUCAAAUUGAUCAGUCUAGUUCGAAUUUGAAAAUAUUGCUUAUAAUGCUCGAAAAUUACAAUAGUAGAGAAAUACAUGAAAAGAAAAUGAAUAAAAGAAAUUUACAAGGUAACAAAUUCGAGUCUGAGAUCUAGAAACAACCAUUUUUCAAAUUAUCCAUAAUAUAAUACAAUUUGUUACCGAACCAUUUUUUAAUUUUACUUGUAAUAAAAAUUCUUAGCUUCACUUUUGCAGUAAAGAAAAGACUAUGAAAUAUAAAAUAAUUUAAUCAAAUAAAUUAAUAGAAAUGUUUUUGUGUCAGGCAAAAAAAGAGAGGGGGCGGGGGGGGUGGGGGGGGGAGAAAUAGAGAGAAAAAGGAGAAAUAAAAAAAAAAAGUAUGAUGAACUUUGACUCACACCAUGUACACUAGUAGAACAGAGUCUCUUUACUCCCUAAAUGUAUGGUCACUUCAAACUCUUACCAUAAUUGUGUUAUUCUUUGCGAAUUUGCCACAAUAAUAUGCCUCAAUCUCGUCUAGGGUAGUAAAUAUAGCUAAAUUCAUAAGGAGUUGUCUCCAAAUUUUUGCAAGAUCUCAACACCAAUCGUUCAAGUGCAUGGAAAUGAUCAUUUGAGGAAUUUCAUUGUCCAAGAUCAUACACAAUAAGUCAAGGAAUUUGAGUUUUUUGGAACUCAUUCCCUCAAAGAAGUCCAAUCUAAUUUCAGAACAUUAAGGUUGGGCAAUGUCCUAAUUAAUGACAUAUUUUCCCAUGGUAAUCUGAUUUUAAAAAGAGUGAGUUGACACGACACAUCUCAAAUCACCCUAGUGGAUCCAAAAUUUGAUGUGCGCCGAUAAUAGAUGCUGACUAGAUGUCAAAUCUAUCACCAAAGCUGACUAUGAGUCAUUUCAAAAAAUGUAUUAAGCCCUCAGGGGCAUAGCCCAGUGGUGCAAAGGACAUGAGUGAGGUUAUCUCACGCCUUGUGGGCAGCCGCAGUGUGGGGGUUCGAUUCCUGAGACAUGAAAUUGGACUCCUUGUAGGCACAGUGUACAUGUAGCUCUUGUUCCCUAACCUGCUGGGGUAUAUCCCGCGAUUUACCUCCCUCACAAAGCUUUAGGGGCGGGGCAGUGAGACCCUCAAAGUUGAGAUUCAGCCUUUUUUUUAAAUGUAUUAAAAUCAAAUACUUGUGUAAAACAUAAUGCGAUGAUCUCAAAUUAUUUACUUCGUACUUCAUCAAUAUGAGUUAUAACACUCAAAUGUCGUGUGGCUCUCAUUCCGAAAUCAUUAAGUUCGUCUAACUAAAAAAAAUCAAUUGCCAUCUGUAGGAAAAUUACGAGAAAAUAUAUGAGCUGAUAGCUCAGUGAGUGAAAAAGUUCGAAAAUAAUUAUACUGUUUCAGUUUUACAUAUUUAUUGAAAAUCGAAUUUAUAUCAUUGAAUAAUUCGCAACAUCAUAUAAUUAUAGCCAAAACAUGAGACAUCCACAUAACAUCAUAAAAUAUCAUUUCAAAUCAUGAUAUAAACAUAAGCUGAUAAUUAUAUUAUAAUCUCAUCACAUCAAAUGUACUGGAAAAAUCCACAAAAAAUGUACCCUCUGACUGAAAUAUGUAAUCUGCCGCUCGGGCUAAGAACUUUGGUCACGGGCCUUUGGCCCAUUCGUGAAUGAAAGCUGACAUCAAGACCUCUCGUAAUCAAUUCUUGAACACGGUCAAGACCUCUUUGUAAACUAUAUGUACACGAUCAAGACCAAUUCCAGGUCAAGACCCCUCCGUGUAGGAUAAAACACGGUCAAUGCCCCUCUGUGAACUAGAAAAAACAUAUAAUCAUUAGUACAUUUCUGACCGAUCUCAAUAUCACAUAUCUCACAUACCAAACAAAUCUCAAUAUCAUAUGUCUUACAUACCAAAUCACAAAUGUGUCGUAAAUAAUCUUUGAAAUUCCUCAUAUAACAUAAUAAAUGGGUUUUCCAUAAUAAUCAUAUAGUGAAGACAUAAUUGCACAUACUUUAAUAAUAUACUCAAUUUAUAAGUAAUUAAUAAAUAUUUAUACUUUUCCACUCACAGUACUAUGUUCGCAAAUCAACUCGGUAAACUAUCCCAAAAUCCGUAUCGUCGUCUGAAAUGUGAUAUAAUUUUUAAAUCAACAAUUAAUUAUUUUAAGUAAUUUCAAUAAUUAAAUAGGCGAUACCCAAACUUAAUCAUUUCAUGUUUAAAUUACUUCUAAAGUCUUUUUAAUAAUUAAAACUAAUUUUUCUUUCAUUUAACUCAACUUCAUGGUUUAUUGUACUUAACACUUUCAAUAAAAUUGAAUUUAAUCUAGCAAUCUAACAAUUAUAAAAUUAAACAUAACUUGACAAUAAGUAACAUUUUAUUUACCUUUCAAAAUUGAGGAAUUCAAGCCUAAUAGUUUAGAUCACUUAUUUUCUAACAACUUGACAAAAUUUUCAAAUUUUUUUCUCUCUUCUCUCUCUCUCUCUCUCUCUCUCUCUCUAUGUGUGAAAUGAAAUGGGUUUUAGAUGACUUUGGUGGUGGUGGUGUGUGUGUCCACCGACUGCCAAUUCGGUUGUCCUUCUUUUUUUUUUCUUUUUUUUUUACUUUAUAAUUUGCAAAAGGUAUUACAUAGCUUUCAAUGAGGAUGAAGGCACUAGUGGGGUGUUCAGGGGAGAUUGGUGGCAGGCUGGUUGGCGCCUGAACAUGGUCCCAAUAAUCAAAAUAUUUGCAUGGAGAUUUUUCUACAGUGAUCCACUAAGAGCCCGUCUGGCAGGGUUUUUCCAAAAGAAGCUUUCGAGGUUCAAAAGUUACUUUUGGACCUGUUUUGCUAAUUUUGUUAAAGAGCUUUUGAUGGUUAGAAAAACUUUUUGAGGAAGUUGGUUCAAUGUGAUUUCUUCUAAAAGCACUUCCGGAAUUGAAAAUGCUUUUAAAUAUUAGUUUUCAAACAAAAAGUAAAAUAGCUUCCUCCAAAAAAAUUUCUACAAGAAACAAAAGUAAAAUCAAAAGUUAUGUCAAACGGACCCUAAGUACAAUCUCCGAAGAAGGGGUGUAAGUCAUGUCAGGUGUUCCCGUUGUGGACUACAGGAAGAUAGCAAGCAUACCCUAUUUAUUUGUUUGAAAUCAAAGGUGAUUUUGAAUGAUUUAGAUGCAGGGGCGGAUUUAAUGGGCGCCCGCCCUAACUGGAUUCGUCGGAGAGAAUUUUUUAUUUUUUGCUAAUAAUAGAUAGAAUUUUUAGAUUAUAUAUUUGAUAAUUUAAAUUAACAACAAACAUUUCUAGUAGCUCAGCUGGUUAGUCCUAUUACUAUUGAAUUAGAGGUCUUGUGUUUGUAACUCUUUAAGACCAAUAUUUUUUAUAAUUUUUGUAUUUCAACAAUUUUUACUAAAACAAAUACAAGAAAGGUGAUUCGAACUUACUACAUUUCUUAAACAUAUUGACCACUUUACCAUUAUGAUACUUAUUGAUUUUUAGCAUAUAAUGUAAUAAAAUAAUAUAUGUUCAAUUGUACUGGUUUAAUGCAAAUAGAAAAAUUUUAACCGGUGUUUUGUCCCUCUUCUUGAUUUUCUUUUUCUUUUUCCUUUUUUCCCCUCUCUAAUCAAUUGUAGGAAAAUUGGCCUUAGUGUCAUAAGAAAUCUUUCAACAAAACUUAUUUAAUUAAUACAAGGUUCCACUUUUCGUACACAAAAAAUCAAUUGGCCUUAGUGACAUAAAAAAUCUUUCAACAAAACUUAUUUAAUUAAUACAAGGUUCCACUUUUUGUACACAAAAAAUCAAUUGCGAAAGUUGAAUCAUAAAAGCACAUAAAAUUGAUAUAAGUACAUAAUGUUAAUAUGAUAAAGUUUGUUUAAUUAACUUUAAUUGCAAAUUGAAUAUUGACAUUUUGUUGAUAUAUAUUGCCUAUUUAAUUGAAAAAUAAAUUAGGGUAUUUUGAAGAUUAUGGAACAAUUUUUUCAUCCAAAAUGAAAGUUCGUACCUAGUUUUAGUUCUAGUGGAGUAUCUAGUUCUUUUAGCUCUAAUCCAUACGAUUUUUUGAAUAUUAUUUAAUUAAAUAUUAAAAAAAUCCCACUAUCAUGGACAUUAACCAUGAUAGUAAGCUUUCAACACUUGCGGUCCUCCCUAGUUGAACUCAACUCCUGGAUUCGCCCCUGGUGGUAGGUGCAAAAAGCAUUUUAAAGGAUACAGAUAAUGAAUAGAAUAGAAAUUGAUAUUGAAGGAGAAAGUUUAUUCUAGCAACGUAUAAUAAUAAUAAUAAUAAUAAUAAUAAUACAUAGGUCAGUGUGUACAGCCAAGAAAACGAUUUUCAAUGAUGGAUCCACGAUUGAAAAUUCGUUUAUAGUACGUUUUUCCUAUAUAGAGCCUAUAAAUAAAAAUAAUAAUAAAAAAAGAAGAAGACAUCUUUGUGUUGAUUUUGUUCGAAAGGCCCGGGUUUUGUCGAUAAAAAAAGAAGAUGGAUUCAAGUAGAGUUUUCUGGAACGUAUCAAUAAGCUGUAGAACAAUGGUAGCGCGUUUGUUUUGGGUACAAAAUGGGAAUGGCUCUUAUCUUAUGACUUGGAAGAAAGGUUUCUCUGUAGAGGAAGGGAAUAUAUAUAUAUAUAUAUAUUACUAAUUAUGUAACUCACUUGAUUAUUACUAUUGUUGAUGAAAUAAAUUGUCCAAGCGUUUUGAGUCGAUGUCGAGUAAGAUCGAUGUGUUUUGCUCAAUAGAUAGUAUCUUCGCCUUUUUUCAUUAAUCUUCUCUAGAGAUAUACAAAACAAAUGUUUUUUUUUUUUGUUGAUAUAAUGACAAUAAAUAAAUUAAAUUAAAAAGAGAGAGAGAGAGAGACGAUCAAUUCAGCUCUGAAUUUCCAAAUCAAAUAUUUGUUUUGUAAGUAAUUUUUCUUGUGUGUUUUUAUUUACCUUUUCAAUGACUUGCAUUUGGGGAUUGAAUUACAUUGUUUGAAUGAAUGGAUUUCACCAAAAUGGGAAGCCUCCAUGUUUAUUCUUCCUUCGACAAUCAUAGCUAGUUGUCUUUGGAAUUUAAAAUGGUAUUGAGGUAUCGGUUGGCGAGUUGAUUUAUACUAAACUUCAAUUUAAUUUUCAAUUUCGCCAUUGUGUUACAUUAGUCACAUGUUGUUCCCCAAACAAAAAGAAAUUACUUAGCUUACAUCAUAACUCAUUCAGUGUAUUAACACUCUCUUGACAUGCUGUAGAGAUUAGUUGGCAAGUCAUAUAGUGAUUACGUGAAAGAUUUAUUGUGCUAUGCCUUUUGAUUAAACAAUUUUAUCAAUAUGAGAAACAACAAGUGAUCAAAUUGUGAAAUUUAUAAAACAAAUUAAAAUGUAACCACUGCAUUUUCUUUUAUAUAUAUAAACUGGCUUAAAGAAAGUCUUGUCAAAUGAAAUCACUGCAUUUUCACCUUCGACUGAGUGGGCACGUGCGAGGCGUCUUUUGAUUCAAAUAUCUCGAUAACUUCGGGAAAGUGCACAUGCACAUUUGUCUAUUCUAAUAUACAACAUAGAAGAAACAUUUAAAAAUUAACAUUGUACUAGUAAAUUGUCAGAGCAUUUACAAUUCAAAGAAGACGUUGAAAGAUUGAAGUUUCGAAAUACCCCAUUCUUCUAAUUUGAUUUACAAAACGACCCCCCAACUAUAGUAAAAUAAAGAAAAACUGGGGCAAAUUCAAUCAGGGUCACUAAACUUUUAGUAAAAUCUCAAUUGAGAUGCUAAAUUUUAUUUUGCCUCAAUUAGGAUCACUAAAUCUCAAUUUAAUUUCUAAUGUCAUCGCUAUAUUACAUUACGUACUAUAUUGUCCGAAAUUGCUUGGUUUACAUCAUAACACAUUUAGUGUAUUUAUUAAUUUCAACGCUUUCUUGAUGUGAUUUAGUGGUUAGUUGGCAAGUGAUGCAGUGAUUACAUGAAAGAUUCUUUCCAUUAUGCUUCUUGAUUAAAUUUAUCAAUUUAAAAAAUGACAAAACUUUAAUAAUAUGAUCACAUAUGAUCAAAAGGGAUCCUCCUACAUUAUUCUUAGUUGGAGGCGCACAAUCAAACUUUGUACAAAUCAAAUUCUUUGUUCUCGAUUUUUGAAUGAUUUAUAUUUGACCCGAGAAAAUGCAAAUUUACAUUUAAAAAAAAUUCUUCAUUAAUAUUUUGAUCGCCAUUUUCAUCAUUUGGAUUUCGAACAGUCAUUUUAUUAAUAUUUUGUCAUCACAAGAAAAUGCAUACUUAUGUCUAAAAAAUAUAGCGUAUUUAAUACAAACAAUCAAUUCAAGUGAUCGAAAGGAAAAACAUAUAAAAAAUAUUCAAUCAAAUAAAUACAAUUCAUUAAAUACAAGUUAAAUUGAAUAUAACCAGUUCAAAUACAUUCUAUGUACACAAACAUGAUAGGAAAAAAUGCAAAUUUAGGUUCUAAUUAAUUAAAAAUUUGAUCAGAAUGUGAAAAUUUAUAAUAGAUGUGAUAAUUUGUUGAAAAAUUAUAGACAAAUUUAAAAAAAUUAAAAGAGUUAAGGUUUUGGUAAAAAAUGUGAGGGAGAGAGUAAGAUAAAGUAAAAAAAAAAAAUUCAAAUUUAUUGUGAUUUACCCUUGUUUGGUGGGAUUAAAAUCAAAUUUUUAAUAUAUUUUGAUAAAAGUUAAAAAGUUAAGAUUUUUAUGAAAUAUGUUAUUAAAAUUAACCGUUAACUUUGAUUUAGAUUAAAAUUUAGAUUUCAAUCGAUACCAAAUAUGACUUAUCCUCCAAAAAAAAAAAACAAAAAAACAAAAAAUACUCGAAAGUUAUGGACCACCUGGGACUCCUCUUAGAUCCGCCAAUGCCCCGAGAUAAUUUGAGAACCCUUAAUAUGAAAAGCCCUCCAUAUACACAUAAUUAUGUAAAAACUCGCUCAAUUAUCCACAAUUUAUUAAUAUUAAGAGCGUGAAUAAUUAUGUCAAAUAUUUUUAGUGAAAAUUACAUGGAUUAAAUGUUUUCAAGAUCUCAAUUUAUAUUUAAGGAUGAUAAGUUUUUCUUUCAAAAAAUCUCUUAUUUCUCUCUCACUACACAGAUACAGCCAUGUACCCCUUUCUCUUUCCCAGUCUCCUCUCUCUCUAUAUACAAUGGCUGAGCAGCGGCGAUGAGCAUGUUCAGAGAGAUGACGACGAGUGUCGUGCAUAGAGCAACAGCUACAAGUGUCGCUCACCCAGCGUGGCACUGAUACGUGCACUCUCCUCGGAGCGGCUAUGGGUGGUGUGUGUUUCCUGUGUGAGACCAAGUGAACGUCGCGCCAUCGCAAGUGAGAUCACGAUUGGUUUGACUAGCUAACUCUUGCCUCUUGUUCCUUUCCUAAUUCAGCCCCCUCGACCGCCGAUUGAGAUUUGUUGUGCGCCGUGGCUGGGACUAUCUGGGUGGGUAUUUUUAGUUAUGUUUUCAAUUGGUGGGUAGGGGCUUUGGUGGUGUUUGGGUGACGGUGUCUUUGUUGGAUCUAGCGGUGACAGAGGUUAUGUUGUAUUUGGCGGUGGCUGUGUUUUUUUUGUGGCGGUGGCCGUGUAUCUUGUUGCUGGCGUUGGUGGAUUUGAAGUUCAAAAUGGUUGUUUGUAGGCGAUGGCAGCAUUGAUUUGUGUGAGAUGGUAAUGUUGUUGUCAGGAGGUAGUGAUGGUUCUGCCAACACUGCUACUGCAGGCAGAGGUGAUAUGGCGGUUAUAAAUGUUGAUGGUGACGACAAAUUAUUUAAUUAAUUAUAAUAAAUAAUUUUGUUAAUAUGUGACAAAUGAAAUAAAUAAAUUGUGGCAAAAAUAAUGUCAUCUAAAAAAAUUUUAAUUUGUGAUCGAUAAUUUGGUUGUAAUUUAUAAAUUUUUUAAUUUAUGACCUAUAAAAUUUUUUAAUUGUAAUUGUAAAAUAAUCUGUAGCAUAAAAAUUCUGAUUUAUGACUGAAAAAUAAUAUGUAACUAAUUAAAUUGUUAAUUUGUGAUCAAAUUAUAUAGAUUUGUGACCUUAAUAUACAUAAUUAAUAAAAUAUAUAAUUAAUUAAUUAAAUCAUAAAUCAAUUUUAAUAAAUAUCUGAGUUUUGGAGCAUUCCCUCACGCUUGGCGCCAAUGAGGUUUUUUUUUAUUUGAGAGAAAAAAGAAGACUGUGCCUAGAAAUUUCAGGACUUGGAGAAAACUUUGUAAUCCCCCUGUCUUCCCCCACUUCCUCGGUUUCAUUACAAGAUGAUUCUUUCAUGGGUGGGCGUGUGAUACGAGUUAUUUCCUCCCCCUUUCUUUCCUCGUUUGAACCUCGCCCUUUCUCUAAUUCCAACCGGAGCGAUGUUGGGAACUUGCACUCCUGAUAACAAAAGCUGGAUUCUUCCUCCUCUGCCCAUGAAUCCCUUCUCUCUCUUUCUAUUCCAAUAGUCUUAUGCGGUCCUCGAAAGAAGAGCUUUCUCCCCCCCGGAGGCUUUGAGUGAGUCUAAAAGGAGAAAAAGAAAGAGCUGCCAUUAGUACAACCAUACUGAGAUACCGCCCGUACAUAUAAGAAUAUAGUAGACAAUAACGGGGGGUGUCCGCCCCACAAUUCCUAAAUCCUAUUCUGAAACAUUUGUUCUUAUUUUUGAAAUAGAUCAUACUUAACCUCUUAAUUAUGAAUUUUUCCCAUACAUUCAUCAAUAGUUUUCUACAGGGGCAUGGAAAAUGGGUUGUGGGUCAUUCGACCGUAGACGACAAAUCAAUUUUGGUUCUAUAUUUUUCUUUAUUAUUUUCAUAUGUACAUGAAACAGUAACAACUAUUUCCUAUAAUAAUAUUGAAUAUCACGAACUUUUAUAUAUAUAAAAAAGUCAAAUAAUAUCAAGUCUGAAAGAAGCACUAUUUAAUUUCUCAAAACAUAAACUUAUAAUGAAAAUGAACAGGGGAAAGCUAAAGAAACGAGGUGGAGAUCAUAGUAAAAAAAUUUUAAAUAACGUAGAAGAUAGUUAGAAAUGAUAUGGUGGGUUGUUUGGUAAAAACAUGUUUUCUAAACUUGUCGCAAUUUUUAAUAAGAGACACAAAAUUAAUACAUAAAAUUUUUGCAGUUCACCUCAUGUCAUCGGUCAACCUUUUUUCGUGAAUCAAUGUUUUGUUCAGUUCAUUUAGAGAACGAGUAGAUUAACUGAUCGAUUAAUCAGCCAAUUCAAAUCAGGCUUAACAAUAAUGAAUUAGAGGUGUAUGUUUUCUAUGACGAAAAUAAUUUAUUAUAUUGGAUUCAGAAUUCAAUAUUAUUAAGAGCUGUUAUUAGUGGGCAAGUAUUAAAGGGUAAAAUGUUAUUAUAAUGACGCAUAUGAACGAUUUAGCUGCAAUAGGCAUUACUCAUAAUAAUUGACCUAGAUUUCUUUUCAUGUUUUCAAAAUGAAGUUCGACAUUUUGUUAUUUAUAUCAUAUUGUUGUGUCUUCACAAGUGUGUAGGGUAAAAUGUUAUUAUAAUGACGCAUAUGAACGAUUUAGCUGCAAUAGGCAUUACUCAUAAUAAUUGACCUAGAUUUCUUUUCAUGUUUUCAAAAUGAAGUUCGACAUUUUGUUAUUUAUAUCAUAUUGUUGUGUCUUCACAAGUGUGUAGGGUAAAAUGUUAUUAUAAUGACGCAUAUGAACGAUUUAGCUGCAAUAGGCAUUACUCAUAAUAAUUGACCUAGAUUUCUUUUCAUGUUUUCAAAAUGAAGUUCGACAUUUUGUUAUUUAUAUCAUAUUGUUGUGUCUUCACAAGUGUGUAGGGUAAAAUGUUAUUAUAAUGACGCAUAUGAACGAUUUAGCUGCAAUAGGCAUUACUCAUAAUAAUUGACCUAGAUUUCUUUUCAUGUUUUCAAAAUGAAGUUCGACAUUUUGUUAUUUAUAUCAUAUUGUUGUGUCUUCACAAGUGUGUGAGUAUCUCGAGUUGGUCACAGCAAUACAAACUUCCAAGUAAGACACGAGUACAUUUGGAUUCCAAUGGAUAAGAAAAUGUUAAUUUAUUUUUGCUUAAAAAGCAUUGAAUACUUAACUUUACUUGCUUGACAAAAUAAAUUAUGCUACUCUUGUGUGGGUUAUGAGUAUCUCUUUGAGAUAUAAAAGAGUGACAUUAUUGAUGCAUCAUUAUCUCGAGACAUAAAAUUUGUGAAUAUUGGGAACAUAUGGUUAACAGGAUAUGAAUCUAUAACUUUCACAGGAGAGUUGAAUAUCUCUUAUAAGAAUUUUAAUCUAAUCACUCAAGAAUUUACUACAUUAUCAUAUUUGUAUUGAUUAUUUCAUUAAUGGAAAAAGUCACUUAAUGUUACAGAUGUGAGUCGAGGGUUAAAAUGUGUUGGGCCACAAUAGUGGACUAACAUAAAAAUAAACGAAAUGGAAAUUUUCGUAAUUUUGCAAGACUUGAAGGCUAUAUUUGCAAAUUAUGACUAAAUAAACCAACCUUUUUGCCUUUUCCAUACUCAACCUCAAACUCUAAGCCUAGCCAAUCAGUUAACUAGAGGAAGAGAAGUCAUCAAACCUUAAUAUUUCAGCGGUCCGUGGUCCGAUUAACUCUUGAUGUCGAACAAAAGAUUCAGAACCAUUGACUUUCAAAUCCACAAGUUUAAAUCAAGAUGCCUUUGUUUAGUUGAGAGAUAUAACCUUCUAAACAUUGACAAAAUUUGGUGGAAUAAUUCUUCGUUGAAUUUAAUUUGGUAUCUCCAUGAAUUCAUCAUUGAAAUUUUUUAACCGUUGGAUGCCUCGAUUUAAUACUUGGGCCAAAUCUUUUGUUGUUGUGUUAAACGAGAUUCCAUCUUUUAUGGAUGACUAGUUUUGUGGCCAUGCAAUGCAUGGCUUGACUUUUAUUGAAGGUAAUAUUAGUGCGUUGAGCAUGAAGAGUUCAAGAGAAAGAUAUGCGAUGAACGAGCUUUUGAGAAGCAAAGAGAAUAUUUAACUGGUGUGUAAGGAAAUCAAACAAAAACAAGACAGACAAAGAGCUAACCUAUGAAAAAAACGUAGGGAAAAUAUGUUACCAUUGAACAUGAAAUAUCGAAAAUAGUUCAAAACAGGAAACUAAAAUAAUAAGGAAACAAAUGGGAAAUGCAAACAUGACAAGUAGGAAAGAAUUUAAAGAAUAUAAAAAAGUCCUAUUCGUUAGCUUUCUUUUUCCAUUUAGGUAUAUAGGGAAAAAAAACUGAUAAAGUGGUAGUGUAAUAAGCUGCUAAGAAUAUGGGAGGGAAACUUUCAGUAAUCAUUUCAAUCUUUCGAUACCAAAUUCAAAAAAUAUAUAUAUAAUAAAUAAAAAAUGCUUCAACUGAAUAUUUAAUUGAAUCCAAAAAUUUGAAAUUGUUGAUUUACUACAAAAGGCAAACUGUGUACCUUUACGGAAGGAUCAAGUUUUCUAAAUACUAUUUCUGUAAAUGCAAUUGGAGCCACAGUCCUAUCCUCCUUUGCUAAGAAUGGGCUUCCACUUCCAUUUCAACGGGAAGGGAAGUUUUCUAAAUAUUUGCUACCUGUGAGAAUAGGAAAUAAGAAACGGCUAACAUAAACGAGAGAUUCAUUAAUCAAAAUGCCCGUAUGUGACUUGACAUGAAGAAAAAUGUUCCUUUAAUUUUAACAAACAAUAAAAAAUACAAGCCUCACCAGGAAAAACACAAGCAAAACCAUCAGCCUUUUCUAUUAGCUCAUCAAUAGGCAAAGCAACAAAAGUCUCAUCUUUCUCAUGCCCUAAUAAUGCCGAUGAUGGAUACAUGUUGGUUUCCAUCCCCAGACAACGUCACGUUUCUUUUCCUAUUGCUAACUGAUCACCUAGCAGAGAUUGAAUACAGCUGUUGAGACAUAAAAAUAUAUAGAUUAGGGUAACUCUCAUUUAAAAUUGGAAUAAGAUUUCAGCAUAUAGCUGAAUGCUAUACAUAAGCGUUUCUACUUAAGAAGUGUGAAAUUUGUCGUCCAACAAACAAGGUAUAUGAAAGAAAUUGCUUUUGCUAAAUUGCUGUUAGCUUAGCAUGUUGACACAUUUUGUGAAACAAAAUCAAUUUUCAUUAAGUUUUUAAAGUUUCAGGAUGGCAGUAUUGAAUCACAAGCAUCGUUGGGAAUCCAGGUGCAGAACUUCUUAAAGUAUAUGCUUGAGGUCGACAUUUCUCGGAAAAACUAACUCUACAAUUUUCAAUUAAUAUAGGCAUUUAAAAGGCUUAAUAUUGUACGAGUUUAAUACUUUAAUUUGCCUAAAAUUAGAAGACUUCUUCAGAAAAUUCGAAAACUAAUAACUGGAACCAUGAAUGUGAGAAGACAUUACUAUUCAACAUUGCAAGAUGCACUAAUGAAGGAGUGGAUAAGCACAUUUUGGCAUGGAAAACAACUGCACCCUAUUGCAAUUAAUAAUAACAGUAAAAUCUAAUUAAAUCCAUAUGAAUGAUAUGACAAUGAUAUUCACAUGGAGGCCAAUUAGAGAUGGCAAUUUGAACCGUCAAAAUCGAAAAUCGCGGUUAACCGAACCGAUUUGGGGGGAAAAAAACGAACCGAUGGUGCAAUGGAGCGGAUAUGGUUUUGAUUUUCAUGAACCGAUUUGUAUUGGUGCGGAUAUGGUAUUUACGUCGUAAAAUCGAAAUCAAACCGAUUACCCGCUAAAAAAAAUCAGAAAAAAAACAAUUGAAUUGAUCAUGGGCUUUACACUACUUUUCUAUCCAGACCAAAACAAAAUCCCUCCCCUCCUCAUUACAUCUACCUGACUAAUUCGGCCAGCCCACUUACCAUUAGCCCAUAACAGUAUUAGUAUGACAGUACAUAAAUGCAAACCCUCCUCUCCACAAACCACAAACUCACGCACGACUCCACUGCCUCUACGGUCCAAGUCGUCGUCGCCUCCGAAAAUUUGUUACAUUUGUUAGGCAUUCUAUUACUGCUGAUCAUUUAAAAACAGAGUUCGAUGUUUUUCUAGACGCGCCAGUAUUGCCAAGGAUGAAUAGGAAUCAACUUUGAAUGCUGAUCUAUACUAGUAAGACUUGUAGGGAAAAAUGAAUCAAAUAACUUCGAUGCACAACAAUUAAGAAUGAAAGAAAAGUUUAAUAUUAUUAUAUUUAUAAUAUUGUUUGUUAAAUUUGUAUUUUACAAUUGAAAAUUAGGAUAAUGUUUGCAUUUACGUUUGGAAUAUUAUUUGAUAAUGUUUGCAUUUUCGUUUGGAAUAUUGUGUUUUUGUUUUCAUUGACUUUUUUCAUAAAUUGUUUUAUAUCAAUUUCACGGAUGAACCUAUAAAAAAUAAUUUAUUUUCGUGGUUAUUAACCGAAUGGAACCGUGCCGUGCCGAACCGAACCGAUUUACGUGGUUAUGGUGCGACUAUGGUAUGGUUAAAAAAUUGUUGGUGCAGUUAUGAUUUUCGCCGAACCGACCCAUAACCGAACCGUUGCCAACCCUAAGGCCAAUAGUGAGACCGGCUACAUACCAAGCCAAAAUUUCCAUCAAAUGAACUCAUAAAAACAUGCAUAACUUUCUCCAAAUUUUUGCAUGUGCGUGAAGAUAAAGAUAGGCACCUAUCACAGUUCCAACAACCCUUCGUGAUGAAGAAGACCUCUUCUUGAUUUACACAAGACAGAUGAUACGCUUUGGGGCAACCCCUGGAAACCAAUGCAAGGCACAAAUAUUGAUAAGCAUUACGAACACAAAUAGUCAAGAAUAUAUAAUUUAGAAUACUGGUUUUAUUACUUUUUCAACUUAGAAUUCUGAAGGUUGAACACAUUUUUUAGAACUUAUUGGCGAUCACAUAGCACAAGGUGCCCCAGCAUCAAAACAACUUUCCUCUCCUACCUUCUUUCUAACUGAAGCUUUUGGUGUGGCCUUACACCUCAAAAGGAAUUUUUGAAUUCCUCGCCCUAAUCCAACUUCUAUCUUUGUAGCUUUAUCAAGAUGGUAUGUAAACACCGUAUUCACUAUGUAUGGUUGAUCAUCUCCAAAUAUAGGAUCACAAAUAUUGUACCUUCAAAAAAAUAUUUCUUGGUUAUAUUUCAGAUUUGUAUUUACCAGUUUGUCUUAAUAAGAAAUUAAAAUUCAAAAAGAUUAGUAAACAACUGAAAGAUAUAAAGAUAAAUAAUAGUUCAGAUGUACACAAAAUAAUAGUAUUAAUUUAAAGUUAGUAGAUGCUCCUACUAUAUAUGUAUUCAAAGUCUACAUAUUCCUUGAGUUUAUGUAACGAUACUAUAAUCGAUAAUUUGAUUUUUGUUCUCAACAAUUGAAUUUCCUUCUGCAAGGAAGUAACAUUAGUGUGAAAUUUUGAUUAUUAUUAUUUUUUUAAACACUUUAAAAUACAAUUUAAAGCCAAAUUACAUAUCAAGUAUAAAUCAUAAGGUUCACGUUCCAUCAAAACAAAUAUGUGGUUGGAAUGUUAGCUAUAAAUGAUUCUCUAAUAAUUUCCUCGAUUCUUUUUUACUUUGCUCUUCCUGACUUCGUAUGGCUUGUGCUGAGCUUAUGAUAUAUACAUUUUUCCAGAAAGAAAACAUUUGUUUAAGCUAAAAAAGUUCACUUAUAAGUAAAUAAGUUUCAAAAUAAGAUUUUUCUUUAUUCAACAAAAUUUGAAAUGAGUAUGUUAAUUUUGAAAGCACGGUAACAGUUACUUUCAAAAUAAGUAUUUUUUUUUUUUUUUUAAUGAUUUCAAAGUAUUUUAUCUUAACAUGUUUGGAAACAAGCAACUUUCUCCUUUAUGGCCAUGCUAUACCUGAAUAUCAUCACCACCUAGUAAAUCCAAUUUGUAUAUAAUUCAAAUGAAGUAUUGAGACCAUUUGACAAACUGGAUAUUCCAACCUAAGAAUGCAUGCUGCAUCCAACAUCAUAUUGGAUAAUUUUGCAGCACAUAUUACAAUAUUAGAGUGUUUAUUUAACUUAAGUUGCUUCAGGUCUUCAAUGGUUAUAAGUUGAACUAAGAUUUCCGUUGAAGUAGAAUAGUUUCUUCUGCUCCUCGUUAGACCUACACAAGUAAUAUCCUUUUACUAUAACCAAUUAACGGUCUUACUAUAAUCAAUUAACGGUAAACGAAAACAAGAAUUAACCAUAUAAUCACAACAGCACAAGUAGGAGUCAAUCCAUUAAUGCAUAAUGAUUGAUCCGGGUACCAGGCCCAAACUUUAGCAUUCAAGGAACCUUCAUCAGGCCACACCUUUUUUCUCGGAAGUAUUUUGUCGAAAAAAAGUUAUAUAAAUCCUAUAGUAGUCUUGAAACAAUUGAAUUUAGGUAAUAAUGCACACUUUUUCAGGACGCUAGGAAAUAGUCAAAAAGUUGUGUAAGAAUAUACAAGACGACCCCCAAUAUCAUAUAAAAAUCCAUUUAAACAGAGCUCUACACUGCUAUGUCAGUGCUUUGCUUUACAGCAACACACUGAUUCAAUGCAUCUAAAGCCUAUACUUGAACUCAAUAAUUCAACAUUACCAGAUCUAUACCUCGAUUUUGGAUAAUUGAGGAGAAUCGAUAAUAAAAAAAUAACAAUAAUAAUAAUAAUAAAUAGAGGUAAUAUGCAGGGUCAUGCCAUGUGGAAGGCAAUCUAUUGAAUGAAAAAGGAUGGAUUGAUGAACCAAUAAACAUUAUAAUCCCAUACCUUGAAAUACUGGAUGUCAAAAGAUGACACGGCAGGCUUGCUUUGUCCGAUGAAGAGGACAACCAUUAAGUUGAGUGUAUUUCUCCACAGCAUCAACAGAUGCCAAUGUUGAGGGUAUCUGAAAUUAUACAAAUAUAUGAAGCCCGUGAGAUUUGUAGGAAAGAAUUUUUAAUAGCUAAACUAUAAGACAUGGUAAUACCAUUUAACCGUGCAAAAACUCUAUAUCACUAAAAGUAUGACCUUUCGCUUUUUCCUUAGAUGUGAAAGAGCAGCAUUAAAGUCUGAAAGCUUGGAAAUGAUAUUAUUUGAUAUUCCAGGACGGACCUUUUCCCCAUCUGGACCCAUGUCAUCAUCCCCAGCAGUUGCAAACAAAAUAGAGUUAUAUAAAUCAGCAAACACAGUAAAUAGAAUUACUCUACUUGUAGAGAAGUCAAGUACCUCUUUUCCCAUUGCUUAAGACAGCAUUAUUAACUGCAUUUGGUGCUGCUACUGACAUGGGUAUCUGUCCUUUUACCUGUGCUAGUAAUGCCACUGCCUCGUCCCUUUUCUUAGCCUUGUAACAACAUUACAUAUGUACAAUCCAUAAACAAAUAUUUAUAACCUCUUCAAAAUUGAAAUUGGAAAUAUUUGUUUAUUCGUAGCUUAACCAAUAGGAUAAUUUGUCUUACAAAUACACAUGUCCUGCUCCAUUAUGUAUAGUUUAUCUCAUUCACACUUGCAAUUGAAUCCACCUCACUUGUUCUCAAAACUACAUCCAGCACAUUGACAGGGGCAAAUACAAUGCACAAUUUUUUUAUUCCUCAAAAAAUCAUGAAAAAUAACAUAACCCAAUUUAAGUAAUUUCUUACUUUCCCUGAAUAAAUUAAGAAAUAAAAUUGUGUUUAAUGCAUCAACUAAAAAAAUCACAAAAUCAAAUAAAAUAGAGCUGAUAAAUAAAGAUUUCACAGAACUACCAAAACCGGAGAUUAUUUAUGUUUCCAGUUAUUGUAACUUACUCGAGGAGGUAUUUACGCACGAGCAUGUCUAGGGAAGUCUGAAGCUCAAUCGAGUACAGAAAGAGCUCUGCGUCGUGAGAAGGCUGUAAAGAUAGUAGUAUGCUCGUCACUUGCUUCAAGGAGGACAACUUUACAGCCGAAUCUCCAUGGUUCUUCGUCGAAGUGAAGAGAGGAAACGCGUGCUCCUGCGCGGGUCAAGCCAUGGAAUAAGUGAGGCCUUCUACGUAACUAAAUUCGACUUACCUGGAUGAGGGAGAUUCAGGGAUGACGGCCUACAAAUAGCUUUGGAAGAUUGAAGAUUGAAAACUAUCAAAGAAGAAAUGGAGAAAACACUGCAAGGGUUUGCGUGAUAAAUGAAUUCAAAAGUAAUAAGAAAUAUCUACGAAAAAGUGAAGAGAGAAUGUUUUAGCCCUAAUAAGCAGUACGAACCAGUUACACUUUCGAGUUCCAUUUCUUCAUCCUGGGUGUUUGAAACAAGAAUUUUUCCUCAGCCAUGAGAGAAAAACGGUAAGUGAAAGAGAAGGGAAGCAGUAAAAGAUUGAAAUGCGUGACAGAAGUGAACCAUUAAACCUUUUACAAAAGAAGAUAUUUAAUUAACACUAGAAAAUCCGUUCUUGAACAAUAGAAUCUGGAUAGGUGUGAAACUUAGGUCUCAUGAAUGAACAGUGAUGGGCUCAUCCUCUCUUUUAGCCCCCAUUUUCUGGUAAUCAAAAUGAAUGGAAUAAUAUUUUUUUUUAAAUGAACAGUUGAAAAAGAAGGAAAAUAUUUCGAUUUAUGUGUAAUAUUAUUUUAUAGAAAAUUGUGUAGUUAAAAUAUGAGAAAGAAAAAUAAAAUGUAAUAAAAUGAAGUUUAAUGGGAGCCAAACGAGGGCUUCAUUAGUGUAGUGAUUUAUUGUUUGUGUGCCAAGAUUUUAUGUCCUUGAUAGUGUUCAUUAAAAAGAGCAUUGAAUUCCCAUGGUUGAUUUUUACCCUUUGGUUGACAAAGGUUUUUCCACGUAAAAGAAAUCUUGUGCGGAUUGUGUUUAUUAUCAACAUGCAAUAACAUGUUUAGAUAGAGUUUAUUACGUGAUUUAAACAAGAAGAGAAAGACAAAUUUCCACUCUUUUCACUUAAAACCAAGACUAUAUCAAAAUCUAGCCGACUUGAAAUUUUUAUUGUUACUUUCCAAAAAGAUACAAUUAAUAAUAUAGGCUCAAAACAACAUCAUAUCCCUGCACACUAACGUCUCAUCAUCUAGCUGAGAUUGAAUUUUCAAAUAAAACAAGACGAACUUUUUCCAAUCAUAAAAUUAGAAACAUACAACUAUGACUACCUCCAAAUUUUUACUCUUGAAAAAUACAUCUCAAGUCCAUCAACAAAGAGGAAAAAUUUCACUAAAUUAUGUCACUAUUUAGAUGGCAAUAUCACAUAAAUGAAUGACUGUAACCAUACAAAAUUGAAGACUAAUGUGUUGUGCAAAUGUCUCCAAAUUUCAAGUAGAUUGGACCACGAUUCACUGAGUACCGAGGUUUGAUCAAACUGUGCCAACUGUGAUUUUGGUUCUCUAGUUUUGCCAGUGGUGCUUUAUUUAUGGGUGAAUUUGAACUCCAAAUCACUCUUACCAAAUGGAAGACAAAUAAAGUUAUGGUUCUUAAAUCAUGUUAGCCUAAAUUACCUAUGUAACCCUUCACGUCUUGCAGAAUAUCAAAAGUACCAUUCAUUAUAAAUUAUUAUUUCCCACUAAUACUUUUUAUCCCAACAAAUAAACAAUUUUCAUUAAACUCCAUUGCCAACCAAACAAAAGUUGUAUUGAAUGCAGAGAUUAAACUAAUCUGUCUCUCCCUGUUAUGACUCAGCAUUUCAACUUAUGCCAAUCUCCCUGCCAACUUAUCUAGCUGCACAAAAGAAAAAGGAAAUCACAACUAUCUAUUUCUCCUUUUUUCCAACAAGAAUGAGUCAAAAAAGGGAGAUAUCGAAACUGAGGAAGUCAGACAAGAGUAGAAGCGAGCCAGGUGAUCUAGCUGUUCUGUGUAUUGGCUUCUCUUGCCCUGGCUUGUUCAACCCGCACCUCUGUCUCGAAUAGCCUAUCCCCCAUAUUCUCAUUUGUCACUGCAUUCUCAUUGUCCAUGGGUCAGGUCCGAGCUUGGAUUUUAGAUGUUUCAUUUCUCAAGGGCAAUCGACUGCAGCCAUAGCUCAUGGUUUUUGGGCAUUUUAGUAGGCAACUGGUUGGCAAAAAAAGCCUAGAACCUCCUGCACCUUAGAAAAUGAUAUGAGCAUGUGUUGAGCACCUUCAAGAGGAUUUCUAUUUUUAAAGAGAAUAUUUUAUAAUUUAUAAAGCAUCUAUAAAUUUAAAGAAUAAAAAUUUUUUAAGUACUCCAACAGACUUCUGAUCUUUUAACUUCUAAUUUUACUACUUCAAAAAUAUAUGAGCUUUGACUUAUACUCUGUACAUCAGUAGAACGUAGACUCUUGGAAAAAAUCGAGUGUACAGACAGAUUUUUGACAGAAUUUUUACAGAACUGAUUAGCAGAUUUCCUUUUUUCUUUUUCAACUGCAAAUGAAAACUUGAUAAAUAUAAAUCUGUUAAUAUUCUAGCAAAAAGAAUUUGUACUCUUAUAAAUGGUCACUUCAAAAUCUUCAUUGCCGUAAUCCCAUUGUUCUUCACGAACUGGCAAAGCUGAACUUUAGAAAUUUUUGCACAAUAAUAUAUCUUGAUCUCGUUAUUGUUUAAAUAUAGCUAAAUUCAUAAGGAAUCUUCUCUAGUUUUUUGCAAAAUCUGAACAUAGGUCGUUCAAGUACAUGGAAAUGACAUUUAAGGAAUCUCAUUGUCCAAGAUCUGACACAAUAAUUCAAGGAAUUUUAGCUUUGGGAGCUCAUUAUCCUACGUUCCAGAUUUUCCCUCAAAGACUUCCAACUCUAAUUUCAGAAUCUUAAGUUUGGCGCCUUAAUGUUGUCCCAAUAAUCAAAAUAUUAGCGCGGAGAAUUUUCUACAAUGCACUAACCACUAAAUGCAAAUCCGAAGGAGGAUAGCAUGCAUGCCUUAUUUCUUUGUUUGAAAGCAAGGGCAGUAUGGAAUGAGUUAGAUGGGUGGGAAACUAUCAAGGGCUGUUUGACUCCACUGACAAUGGUGAGAUGUGCUUAGUCCAUAAUAUAGAUCCAAUCACUUGUCAAAUUAACCAUAAUGUGGUACAAUUUGCAACCGGAUCAUUAUUUAUUUUACUUACAAUAAAGAAGUUAACUUCACGCUAAGUACAAAGAAAAACAACUAACAAUUGACAUGGAGCCCGAAAUUAUUUUCUAAUCAUGAGGUGUGGGAUGUAAAGGAAUCUCUUGCAAGGAAAUUUAAAAAUAUUAAAAAUGAAUAAUAAAAAUGUUUAUUUCAGAAAAAAAAAAUGAUG